GCCGCAACCAGAGGAGGCAAAUCAUCAAGGACGGAUGGGUAGACUAUGAAGGAGAAGUUGUAAGGUCUGAAGACAUAAAGCUUGAACAGAACUGUCCUGAGGAGACCGUAGCACCGAGUCAGGUGUGGAGAGAGAAGAUAGUUAUACACGAAGACCAGGCACCGCCGGAACCACCGACUACGCCAUCCAGCGAAUCCCAGGACGACUGAGAAAAUGGAGAGUCCCGUUCGGAGGACUUAAAAACACCGAACGCCUUGCCAAGAGGUAAACUUGGUAGUUAUCUUUUUCCUUUCAAUUAUUUAAAAUAGUUUGCUUAGUUAAUCAGGUUCAUAUCAUCUUGAAAAGAAAAUAAAAAUAUUGAAGAUAGUAAGCCCCAUGUGAGUAUGCUCAUGGCAUAAAACCCAUAAGUACAUUCACUGUGGUGGCAUAAAAAUAAAAUAAAUAUAUUCAUGUUCUAUAAAAAUGAAAAUAUAAAAAUAAAUUUAUGAUCCUACUAAAGAGAGUAACAUUUAUUGAGGAGGCUCAACAUGAUAAAGGCUAGAUAUUUAUGCUAACACUUAACCAGUUCCACAAAGCUUUGUUGUCUAUUUGAGUUCCACAAAAUUCAAGGAUCAAAGAAAACUAGCCGAUGGAGGACAUCCUAAUCACUGUCAGGAUGCUGCUGACAUUCAAAUACAUCUCCACCACCUGCUAGCUACAUCAGAAGAAAUUGCGUCAAAAUCCAGCUUGGGGGAGAGCACCCCCAUUUAUCGAGCUAAGUAUUCUACUCACGUUUAUACUUUACUCUAAUAAUAAAAAGAUGCAUAAUCAUAGAAACCAAAAUAAAGAUUUUGUGCUUAUAUAUAUCUUUACUUAUCUUGCUAAAUAAAUAAAUAAAUAAAGUUUGCUAUCAACCCUCAUGAUAAGCUCUCACAUGGAAAUAAUGAAUAGUUGCUUUGCCAUGACUAGUUCUUAAAACUGAAAUCUCUCUCAAGUUUAGGCUUGACUGUUAUGAAUUAAGAUUUGCUCUAAACCUGAACUUGUGGGGAGAAUAUUUGAUCUAAAGUCUAAGUCGUUAACGGAUACGAUAUGGGAAGGUUGAGCUGCUGUUUAUCUGUUCCUAGAGAUGCUAGAAUUCUGGAGAAUUUUAUCUUUGAAAAUCUUUAAAAUGUUGCUUGAUGAGUUCCUGUAUGAUGAGAGUUUAAAUUCCUACCACAGCCAUAUAUACAUGCUUGCUAGACUAUGAGCCACACAUUUACUUUUUACUGCUUAUGAGCAUUGAGUGUGGUCAAGCUGUGUAGACCCUUAGGAGCUUGUCAUGUGGUUAAGUCAAGAUUCACUUGCACGUUCACUCAUACAUGCUACUUCUACUCUGGAAGUACCAUCCACAUAUACCCAUUUCCAUCUCCAGAACCACCCAAAAAUAUUCUACUCCUAAUCCGGGAGAGAAUAGCCAAAAAUAUUUCUAUUUUUUCUCUGUGAAAUAAAUGCUCAAGUUAUCUUGUUACUACCACUUGCUAUAUUAUCUCAUGAGAUGAGUGCUCUAAAGAAAAAAAAGAGAAAAAAAAAGAAUACGAGGAAAUAAAAAGGGGCAAGUGCCCGGAACCUCGAAAGAAAGAAAAAGUGAAACGAGAGGUAAAAAUGGACAAGUGUCCGACAGUAGAAUUAGGGGUACAAGAUACCCACCUGAGAGAAAAGAAAAAAGAAAAUAUAGAGCAUCUCAUUCUCCUCAAAAAGUUUCAAAAGAGCAAGAAAGGUAUGUAUCCCCUCAAAAGAGCAAAAGUAGAAUUAGACUUUCACCAUUAUCACCAUCAUCACCAUACACCAUUCAUUCACCACACAUGCACAUCUUGAUUUGACUUAUUGACUUGUUCUUCUGGAUCCAUGGUUUGACUAUGCAAUAAAUGUCUUGUAAUUAUGUAUUAGCUGUCUCCCACCUAUGAGCUCCAGAUAUCAAAACCUUAUUAGAGUAGGGUGAGAGAGAAGGCAAUGUCACUAUGCCUCAUACCAAAAAUACCACAUACUUUGAGAGAAGGCAUACACCAUUACUGCCUUGGUAAGAAUCCAAAAAUACCACAAAAGAGAGACUAGAGAGAGUCAUACAAGGAAUCUCUGAGUUUUAUUUGAAAAUCUGCAAAAAACUCCAGAGCUAUAGUUAAUCAAAGAACAAGAGACAUGGCGCUUGACUAGACUGUUCUAUCUUUUAACUACUCAAGACACAAGUGACGGUUACAAGUCCCAUGGUGAAAGGUAAAUGAGUAAGUUUUAAGUCUUAACAGUUUACUCUAACCAGAGAUGAGAUCUUGUUUAAACGCAUGUGUAUCUUUAAGGCAUGAAACCACUGUAGAAACUCUUGAGUCCAUCUUUGCUCAGGGACGAGCAAAGGUUAAGCUUGGGGGAGCUUGUUGACGGUCCUUAAUGCUCAUAUUUAACCAUCAAUUAAUCAUAGAAAAGGAUCCAAAUGCAACCAACACCUAGACUUAGGGUUUUAUCUGACAGAAUUCCACAAGUUUUGGUGUUUGUCUAUUUCUGCAGGGGGUUAUCAGGAAAUAUGGAAGAAAGGCCCACACGUCGGGUUUACAUAGAGAUAUUAACGUGCCACGUAAUUUUCUAUCAUCUAGAAGACUCCAGAAGCCACGGGACUGAAGCGGAAGCCGAGAGGCCUCAGGGACAGGGCGCCCGCCCUAGUCCUGAGGGCGCCCGCCCACCUCUUUCCACCAAUCAAGGUGAAGUUCGAGGAUCAUGCUCCACCGACCUAAUACUUCAAGGAAAACCACACGAUCAAUGUCGGUUUGAUCCGACGGCCCAGAUUCACUUGAAGGGACUAUAAAACCAGACCCCCCUGGCCCCUGGAGAUCAUACCUCUUCUACAGAAUCAAAGCUAGGGUUUCAAUUCUUCAUCCAAGUAGAGAGGAUCCCUCUAGUUCUUCUAGUUCUACUUCUAGUUCAUCUAGAUCUAGUUCUAGUUCAUCUAGUUCUAGUUCUAGUUCUUCUAGUUCUAGUUCUAGUUAGUUCUAGUUGUAAUCUAGAAAAUAGGGAGAGAGAAGAGGAGAGCGGAGGAGGAGCCGGAUCUGUCGGAUCUUCCUCAACAUUGUACUUUUGCAGUAUCUGGUUCGUUCUUCAUCCUUCUCCAGGUUCUUCAAUUCAUAAUUCCUGAGUUCUUUAAUUACUUUUAUUUACAUUCAAGUUAUUUAUUGGAUUCCUGCUUGCAUCAAGUGCUCUACUCUUUAUAACGCUAGAGUAGUAAUUAAUAGAUUAGACGUGGUGUUUAGUCUUGCGAUUACCUGGAAUUGUACCCAAUCCUACGGAUUGUUGUGGUAGCCCUAGGGUAGUGACAGCCCUAACGGUCGACGUAUUCCACCACGUUCGGAUUGGUGUUUGUAGGACCGUAGUCAGACCUUCCUAGCCCCCUUCUCAUCUCUUUCUGUGGUCAGUGCUCUGAUGUCUCGAUAUAGAUAAUCUUGAAGUAAUUCUUGAUUCUUAGAUCAACUAGAGAACUCUCAGGAAACUUCCUCUCUUCCCACCAAAAACAAUUAUAUAGUUAUCCUUGGGCGAUCUUGGAUCUUAAUUAGUACACUCACGUUCUCUGUGGAAAAUCGAUACUCUGGAAUACUCCCGGGUGAAAGCUACAUCGGUAUCCGUGCGCUUGCGGAUUUUUCUGUUUGUGUUUAAAAUACCCAACAUAGGGAGAGCGAAGCAGUGGUUCUACGCUACAAAGGAGAAGAAUACUACGUGGGCACUCUGCUCAACAAACUUCCUGGCUAAGUUCUUUCCCAUGGGCAAGACCAAUGCUCUCCAUGGGAAGAUUACAAGUUUUCAGCAACAAAAUGAUGAAUCCGUUCUAGAAGCAUGGGAGCGCUUCCAAGACUACAUCCUAGAAUGUCCCCAUCAUGGAAUGGAGAGUUGGCUGUUGAUGCAGACGUUUUAUCAUGGGCUCGGCAACAGUGCCCGAGAGACCAUGGAUGCUGCAGCUGGAGGAGCAUUCUUAUCACUUACCAUAUCACAAGCCACAGCUCUUGUGGAGAAAAUGGCGUCCAACCAAAGCUGGAAUGAAGAAAGGACCCAGACACGCAAGAGAGGUGGAGGUAUGCAUCAGCUCAAGGAGGUAGACAUGCUGUCUACAAAACUAGACCUACUCAUGAAGAAGCUCGAUGAUAGAUCUGGAGAUAAGAAACAAGUUAUGUACAUCUACGACUCUCACAUGACUUGUGAGGAGUGUGGAGACACUGGACACUCAGACAAUCACUGCCCUGAGAUGCUUCAGGAUGUGAACUACAUCAACAACAACAACUACUACUACUACUACUACAACCGUCCUCAACAAAAUCAAGGUUGGAAUCAACAGAGGCCUAACUACUCAGGUAAUUAUCAAUGUAACAAUUCUUACAACAAUACUAAUAAUUUUCCACCUCUGAGAGAGUUAGUGUCUAAUCAAGGAAAGCUAAUGGAUAACCUAUCUAAGAAAUUGGCAUCAAAUGAUAAAAUGCUAGAAAAUAUAAAUAAUAGAAUGGAUAAUUUCUCUACUGCCAUCAAGAAUCAAAUUAGCUUUAAUAAAUUGAUUGAAUCUCAGUUAAAUCAUAUAGCUGCUAUUGUUCCUACUACUAACCCUGGUAUACCAUCACAACCGGAAGGAUUAGAAUCUGCAAAUCUUGUAGACAUGUUUGAUGCAGGUGAUAAUUGGAGUAACCCCGUCACUGAAUUCAAUACUGACCUUCUGUCGGUCAAGAGAGGUGAUCCAGGACGCCCUGUCAUCCCGAUCUCCAUCGGCAUGGUGGACUUCCCAGAAGCACUCUAUGACUUUGGCUCCAGCGUCAACAUUAUGCCCAGGGUACUCUAUGAAAAAUUCUUUACAUAUCCUUUAUUAGAAACAACCAUGUGUUUGCAGUUUGCAGAUCAGGCGUUAACUUUCCCAAAGGGAAUAUUGAAGAACCUUUGUGUCCGAGUUGGUACCUUGUACGCCCCAGCAGACUUCGUAGUGGUAGAGACCGGUAAUGAUGAGAGAGCACACAUCAUCUUAGGGAGGCCAUUCUUAAACACCUCGGGAGCUGUCAUCUACGCUAGUGCUGCCAAGAUCAGUUUCUACAUCAAAGGGGAGAAGGAGAAGUUUUUCUUCAAGAACAAGACUACAUAAAUCCCAGAUCAAUCUAGAUGUGAAUCAAGGAAGAGGACCAACAGGAGGAACAGGAACAAGCAAGUGUGGACCGAGUCAGCUAAGAUGGUCACUGCAGUUCAUGGAGGUCAAGAUCAUCAACUUAAGUCACCAUUUUUGACCAAGAAGGACGACCCAGGAAUGCCAAGCAUCUACUGCUCCAUAAAUGGGUACAGCUUCUACAAGACGUUUUGCGACACCGGAUCGGGUGUCAACAUAAUGGCCGCAGUCACCUAUCGGCUCUUGUUCGGAACCAUGCCCUUAACACCAACAUACGUUCAGCUCCAGAUGGUAGAUCAGACAUUUCGAGAAGUUAAAGGAACAGUAACUGAUGUCCCAGUCAAGAUAGACGAUCAUUUUGUCUACACAGACUUUCAGGUUAUUGACAUGGGAGAAGACGAAUACGAUCCACCCAUCAUCCUUGGAAGACCGUUCCUCAGCACCGUUAAAGCAAUCAUCUACAUUGGAACCGGAGAAGUCCAUAUGCACUUCUCCUCAGAGAAGGUAUGCCGUUAUUUUAUUGACCCUAACUAUAUCGUUGAAGAAUCUAAGCAGGUAAGAAAACGACGCAACCACAACCAGAGGAGGCAAAUCAUUAAGGACAGAUGGGCAGACUACGAAGGAGAAGUGAUAAGAUCAGAAGACGUAGAAUUUAAACAGAAUUAUCCAGAGGAGACCGAAGCACCGAGUCAGGUGUGGAAAGAGAAGAUAACCAUACAUGAAGAGGAGGCGCCGCCCGAAGUAUCGACUACGCCACCCAACGAAUCCCAGGACAACUAGAAAACGGAGAGUCCCGUUCGGAGGACUUAAAAACACCGAACGCCUUGCCAAGAGGUAAACUUGGUAGUUAUCCUUUCCCUUUCAAUUAUUUCGAAUAGUUUACUUAGUUAAUUAUGUUCAUGCUAUCCUAAAAAGAAAAUAAAAUGUUAAAAAAUAGUAAGCCCCAUGUGAGUAUACGAGUGGCAUAAAACCCAUAAGUACAUUCACUGUGGUGGCGUAAAAAUAAAAUAAAUAUUUAUUUUCUGCUUUAUAAAAUGAAAAUAUAAAAAACAGGGAGUAACAUUUAUUGAUGAGUCUCAACAUGAUAAAGGCUAGAUAUUUAUGCUAACACUUAAUCAGUUCCACAAAGCUUUGUUGUCUAUUUGAGCUCCACAGAAUUUAAGAAUCAAGAAGACUAGCAGACGGAGGACAUUCUAAUCGCUGUCAGAAUGCUGCUGACUUUCAAAUACACCUCUGCCACCUGCUAGCUACAUUAAGAGAAAUUACGUCAAAAUUCAGCUUGGGGGAGAGCACCCCCAAUUAUACCGAUAAGUAUUUCUAUCUAUCUAUCUUUAUAUUUAUACUAUAUUAAAAUAUAAAUAACUAUGAAAAAACCAAAUAAAGAUUUUAUGCUUAUAUAUAUAUAUGUGUCUUUUGCUUAGUGUGUUUAAUAAAUAAAUAAAGUGGCUAUGCUAAUCUGUAUCUAAAUAAAACUCUAGCAUGGAUAUGAUGAAUAGUUGCUCUGCCUAAUUUGCACAUUUUAAGUUCUCUCUCAAGUUUAGACAUAACUGUUAUAAUUUAAAGCUUGCUCUAGACCUAAACUUGUGGGGUGAAAACUUGAUCUGAAGUCUAAGUUGUUAACGGAUAUGAUAUGGGAAGGUUGAGCUGCUGUUUAUCUGUUCCAAGAGAUGCUAGAAUUCUGGAGAACUUUAUCUUUAAAAAACUUUAAAAUAUUGCAUGAUGAGUUCCUGUAUGAUGAGAGUUUAAAUUCCUACCACAGCCAUAUAUACAUGCUUGCUAGACUUUGAACCCCAUAUUUACUAUUUACUGCUUAUGAGCAUUGAGUGUGGUCAAGCUGUGUGGACCCUUAGGAGCUUGUCAUGUGGUUAAAUCAAGAUUUCACUUGCACGUUCACCCACACAUGCUACUUCUACUUCGGAAGUACCAUCCACAUAUAUCCACUCAUUUCCAUCUCCAGAACCACCCAAAAAUAUUCUACUCUUAAUCUAGGAGAGAAUAACCAAAAAUAUUUCUGUUUUUCCCUGUGAAAUAAAUGCUCAAGUUAUCUUGUUACUACCACUUGCUGUAUUAUCUCAAGAGAUGAGUGCUCUAAAAAAAAGAGAAAAAAGAUACGAGGAAAUAAAAAAGGGCAAGUGCCCGGAACCUCGAAAGAAAAGAAAAUGUGAGAUGAGAGGUAAAAAUGGACAAGUGUCCGACAGUAGAAUUAGGGGUAAAAGAUACCCACCUGAGAGAAAAGAAAAAGAAGAGCAUCUCAAUCUCCUCAUAAAGUUUCAGAAAGCAAGGAAGGUAUGUAUCCCCUCAAAAGAGCAAAAGUAGAAUUAGACUUUCACCGUUGUUAUCACCAUCAUCACCAUACACCAUUCAUUCGCCACACAUGCACAUCUUGAUUCGACUUAUUGACUUGUUACUUUGGAUCCAUGGUUUGACUAUACAAUAAAUGUCUUGUAAGUACGUAUAUUUUAUCUCCCACCUAUGAGCUCCAGAUAUUAAAAGCCUUAUUAGAAGUAGGGUGAGAGAGAAGGCAAUGUCACUAUGCCUUAUACCACAAAUACCACAUAUUUUGAGAGAAGGCAUAUACCAUCACUGCCUUGGUAAGGAUCUAGAAAUACCACAAAAGAGAGAUCUGAGAGAAUCAUACAAGGAAUCUCUGAGUUUUAUUUGAAAAUCUACAAAAAACUUCAGAGCUAUAGCCGAUCAAGAAUAAGAAACAUGGCACUUGACUAGACUGUUCUAUCUUUUAACUACUCAAGAUAGAAGUGACGGUUACAAGUCCCAUGGUGAAAGGUAAAGUAAGUAAGUUUUAAGUCUUGACAGUUUACUCUAACUCAGAGAUGAGACCUCAUUUAAAAGCAUGUGUACCGACAAUUUUUAAAAGCAUUGCAACAACUUCUGAUCCAUUGCUGAGUCUAUCCUUGCUCAGGGACGAGCAAGAGGUAAGCUUGGGGGAGUUUGUUGACGGUCCUUAAAUAUCAAAUUUAAUUAUCAAAUAAACAAAGAAAAGGAUCCAAAUGAAAUCAACAUCUAGACUUAGGGUUUUAUCUGAUAGAAUUCCACGAGUUUUGGUGUUUGUCUAUUUCUGCAGGGGGUUAUCAGGGAAUACGGAAGAAAGGCCCACACGUCGGGAUUACAUAGAGAUAUUAACGUGCCGUGCAAUUAUCUUACAUCUAGAAGACUCCAGAAUCCACGGGAAGGAAGCGGAGGCCGAACGGGGCCAGGACCUAGGCGCCCGCCCAGUUGCCCUGGGCGCCCGCCCUCCUGCUGAGUCCAAUCAGGACUCUGUUUCAGGGAAGAUCUCCACCGACCUAAAGGAUCAAGGAUAACCGUUCAAUCAAUGUCGGUUUGAUCCAAUGGCCAAUAUUCACUUGAAGAGACUAUAAAACCAGACCCCCUGGCACCUGGAGGAGAGAGCCUGUCAACCCUAAUUCAUUAUUCUUCAAGGGAGAAGAAGCCUCUGAUCAAGAUUAGAGCCACCACAUCAAUUAGAUAUCUAGAUUAGCAUAGCUACAUAGGAUUAGAACUAGAAGGAGUCAAUCUUCGAUUGGUUUCCGGAUCUGUCAAGAGGAUUCUUGGUAAUUCUCUAAUUGUGCUUCUAAUUGCUUUCUAAUUAUCUUUGUUCUUCAAUAUUAUGAAUAUGACUUUGUUCUACUUCAAUAUAAUGCUUAGGACUUUGCUCUACUUGUUUAUAUUCAAGAUUAUAUUGUUCUUAGUUUAUCAUAGUUAUGUACUUGGCUUAGUUAGAUUGGAUCUAUAUACAUGCUUAGGAUCGUAUAGCGUUUAUCCAUUGGAUCCAUGGGUAAAUGAUAGAUAUUGUGUAGGCGUGGUGCUUAUAUCGUAUUUAUCUGCGAUUGUACCCAAUAUGCCAGAUCGUGGGGUAGUUCGUGAUAGUGACAGCUUCAUUGAUUCUUAUAUAGUCCCCCUCUCAUGUAUUGGGCUGGCAGAGCAACAUUAUUACAGGGGAGUGAUUGCUAUGUUUCUCAUUUACCUUGCUAAUAUCACUAUGCAUGGGCGUAGUCUUGUCUCGCAAUGAUUGCUAAGUAUGCUUGCACUAACUAUGAUAAUUCUAGACUAUAUAUUUGAGAAUAACUUAGGAAAUAUUCUUGUAGUUCGUUCUAAUUCCAUGCUAAUGACUUUCUAGAGUAUCUAAUUGAGGUGCUUAUCAUAUUUAUUAUGUGGCUAAGUUAUGCUGAUCAGAUUAAUUAUCUUUGUCACUAUUCAUUACUUCAUAUAUCUUUUAUGUGACACUUACCCCUGUAUGAAAGAGUUAGAUAAAUGUUCUCAAUUAUAUAUGCAAUGAUAGAUACUCAAUCUCAUAUCAAUGAUUGUUAAUCCCUUCCCAUUGGUAAAAAUAUAAAUAACGAUACCUGGAAUACUUCCCGGUUAAAAUGCUACAUCGGUAUUAAUCUGUGCGCUUGCAGAUCCCAUUCAUUAUUUAUUUAGAAGAGCAAUUGCAUAUUUCAGUACCGCGUCUCUCAUGUCGUGCUGGGGAUGACAACUUGGCUUAAGUGGUAUGAGGGAUAGGUUUGGCAUUUUUGGCACCGUUACUAGAAUUAGAAACUGUCUACUUUUGGUAAUGAUGUUAAGAAUACCCAACAAACCUAACCUGGUCGAUGCUGACGCGCACGUACUACCAAGGGUGGGCGGCGCAUGUCCAGUGCAAUCUCGAGGGGAUCUAUCUCUAGGAUGCGGUGGAAGGAGGCGACAAGGUUGAGCGGCGGCGCGAUAGAUUGGCACUGGCGGCUAUUCUCCAUGGAGUACCGGAGGAGAUGCACACCAUGAUGCUCAGCAAGAAGUCGGUCAAGGAGGCCUGGGAAGCAAUCAAGACCAUGCGACUUGUCGCAGACCGAGUUAAAGAGGUGAACGCUCAAAAGCUCUUGGCUGAGUUUGAGUCAAUCACAUUCAAGCCAGGAGAGGCCAUUGAUGAUUUUGUGGUGCGGAUCGGCAAAAUUGCCUCGGACCUAAGAGGACUCGGGGAAACUAGCGUGAAUGACGCACGAGUGGUGAAGAAGUUCCUACGAGCCGUGCCAUCAAGGUACAAUCAAGUUGCUGUCGCAAUCGAGAUGUUCAGCGAUCUGAAAACGCUAUCCAUCGAGGAGCUUGUCGGUCGUCUUCGAGCGGGCGAGGAUCGGUUUGAGCCCUCCGUAGAUCACAUGUUGGAGAAGACAGGGAGACUCCUUCUGACGGCAAGAAAUAAGAGCCGUAUGGUCUUUGACUCUUCAUCAUCAUCAGGUGCAGCGAGAGGAGGCGCUGGACACUAUGUCAAAAAGGACAAGCAAAAGGGCCGUGGAGCGCACGGUGGCGGCGAUGCGCGUGAGCCCAAACUCACGUCGAUGGGCACACCACGGCGUAGAGGGAAGUGUAAGAAGUGUGGCAUAUAUGGUCACUGGGCAAAAGAGUGCAAGACUCAGAUGAAAGAUGAACGCCAGGACACAGCACAUCAUGUUGGUGCUGAUGGUGAACCUGCACUCAUGGUGGCCCGCGUCUGCAACCUUGUGAGAACCCAAGGCAGUGAAGACAAACAUGUGUUCCUAAAUCAGGAUCAUGUCUUCCCCACGGAGUAUGACGAUGGGGCAUGGGUGCUCGACACAGGUGCAAUGAACCAUAUGACCGGAAACCGGGAGUCUGUCCAUGGAGCCGUGCGAUUCGGCGAUGGUGUAGAGUCAAGAUCUGUGGGAUCGGAGCAGUAACAAUUACCGGUAGGAACAAAGAGCAUCGCGUUCUGACGGAGGUAUACUACAUACCUUCACUCAAGUGCAACAUAGUCAGUCUCGGGCAGCUAGAAGAAUGGGGAUGCCGUGUUGAAAUUGAGAAUGGUGUCCUACAAGUGUUCGAGCGUCGGGAGACUGCGCAGAAGGAACGGGGCAUCCUGAUACGUGCGGAAAGGAGGAAUCGACUGUACCUAUUGAAGGUGAACCUCACUACUCCUGUCUGUCUAAUCACGAAGAUGGAUGAGGAUGCCUGGUUGUGGCACGCAUGGUAUGGACAUUUAAAUUUCAGGUCGUUGCGUGACUUGGGGACAAAGAAGAUGGUGGAUGGCAUUCCACUGAUCCAGCGCGUGGAGCAGGUGUGUGAUGGAUGCGCACUUGGCAAGCAUCAUUGUGCGCCAUUCCCUCGUGCUACGUCCUACAGAGCAACCACCGGCCUUGAGUUGGUACAUGGAGAUCUCAGCGGGCACAUCACACCACCCACCCCGGGUGGAAAAAGGUACUUCUUGUUGAUGGUAGACGAUUUUAGUCGUUAUAUGUGGUUGGAGUUGCUAGCCACGAAAGAUGAAGCCUUUGUAGCUUUCAAGAAGGUGAAGUGUGCAGCAGAGAUGGAGUCAGGUCGUCAGCUGAAAGUUUUUAGGACAGACCGAGGAGGGGAAUUCAAAUCAGGCGUGUUCACUGUUUACUGUACUGAACAAGGCAUAAAGCGUAAUACAACAGCACCUUACACUCCUCAACAAAACGGUGUUGUUGAAAGGAGGAACCAAUCUGUUGUAGAGAUGGCUCGAUGCUUGAUGAAGAGCAUGCAGGUGCCUGCACAAUAUUGGGGAGAAGCAGUGAAGGUGGCGGUGUAUCUGCUCAAUAGGUCGCCCACCAAGAGCCUGAAUGGGAAAACACCCUUUGAAGCGUGGUUCGGCAAGAAGCCUGGAGUCCAGCAUUAGCGCACGUUUAGGUGUCUCGCUUAUGCAAAGAGAGUUCGACCUGGGAUAUCGAAGCUGUCGGACAGAUCAGUGCCUGGAGUGUUUCUUGGUUACGAACCAGGAACAAAAGCUUAUUGAGUGUUUGAUCCUAUACAGAAUAAGCUUAUCAUAUCCAGGGAUGUGAUAUUUGAUGAAAAGAAACGCUGGAAUUGGGAGGAGAAAGGAAGCAAGGAGACCUCAAGUGGUGGGUACACAUUCAGUGUGUAUUAUCCUGAAGACGCUGUCGCUGUUGGGGUGCAGCUACUGUAGACGGUCCGACAACAGGUGGUGGAGGUCUGUCUGGACUGGAUUCAGGAGGAGAAGAUGAACCACUCUCGCCUGCUCCCUCAAUUCAAUCAUCGUGGGGUGUGGCUGGUACAUCACCACACACUCCUACGUUUUCUGCGGCUGGAUCAAAUGAUGGAUCAAUAGGAGGAACCGGGAUACAGUGGGCAACACCACCUACCGGAGGUUCAGUUGAUUCAGAAGGGGCUCCACUCAGGUACAGAACCAUACCGAACCUGCUUGACACUACUGAUGAGGUUCAGAUGUAGUGCAGUGGGAUAUGUCUAACAGCUGCAGAAGAACCCAAGUCAGUCGAACAGGCUCUGUCAGAACUCAGUUGGAGGAAUGCGAUGCAGGCAGAGAUGAAAUCGAUUGAGGACAAUAGAACUUGGGAAGUCAGUGACUUACCGAGGGAUCAGAAGGCUAUUGGUCUAAAAUGGAUUUUUAAAGUGAAGAAAGAUCCAGGUGGCAAUGUGGUGAAGCAUAAGGCCAGACUGGUAGCAAAGGGGUAUGCCCAGCGCCAAGGAGUGGACUUUGAUGAAGUAUUUGCUCCUGUUGCCGGAAUAGAAACAGUGAGGGUAUUAUUGGCACUUGCAGCUCAAGGUGGAUGGGAAGUACACCAUAUGGAUGUAAAGUCUGCAUUCCUGAAUGGUGACUUAACUGAAACUGUAUAUGUGCAGCAACCUCCUGGUUUCAUAGUUGGCAAGGGAGAUAAAGUACUUAAGUUGAAAAAGGCACUCUAUGGGUUCGGGCAAGCACCCAGGGCUUGGAACUCCAAGCUUGAUAAAGAGUUAGUGGCUCUUGGUUUUGAAAAGAGCAAGCUGGAACAUGCUGUAUAUAAGAAAAACAGCAAAGAUUCUUCUCUGAUUGUGGGAGUGUUUGUUGAUGAUCUAAUCAUCUCUGGUCCUAGUUUCAGUGACAUCAAAAGAUUUAAGGAGGAGAUGAAGAAGAAGUUCAGCAUGAGUGAUCUUGGCCUUCUUAGCUAUUAUCUUGGGAUUGAAGUAAAGCAAGAAGAGGGGGGUGUCAUUUUGAGUCAGUGCUCAUAUGCAAUAAAGAUACUACAGAGUGCACGGAUGCUGAACUGCAACUCAUGUGAUACACCAAUGGAACCAAGACAGAAGCUCCGCAAGGGAAAGGAAGAAGAGGCUGUAGAUCCAACAGCAUACAGAAGCAUUAUAGGGAGUCUCAGAUACUUGGUUAACACCAGACCUGAUCUAGCCUACUCGGUGGGUGUUGUCAGUAGACACAUGGAGGCUCCUGGGAAGGAACAUUGGGCUGCUGUAAAGCAUAUACUGAGAUAUGUAAAAGGUACCAUUGGCUAUGGCUGUAAGUAUGAGCGAGGCACUAGGCUGAAACCCAUUCUACUCGGGUAUAGUGACAGUGACUUUGCAGGAGAUUUAGAGGAUAGAAAGAGCACCACGGGUGUAGUCUAUUUCCUGGGUAAAAGCUUGGUAACCUGGGCAUCGCAGAAGCAGAAGAUAGUUGCAUUGUCUUCAUGUGAAGCCGAUUAUGUGGCAGCAGCAGCAGCCGCCUGUCAAGGUGUUUGGCUGAGCCGAUUGAUAGCUGAUUUGCUGGCAACGAAGGAGAUGCCGGUAAAAUUGUUGAUGGACAACAUGUCUGCUAUAGCACUAAGCAAGAACCCAGUUCAUCAUGACCGCAGCAAGCAUAUAGAUACGAAGUAUCAUUUUAUCAGAGAUUGCAUUGAAGAGGGCAAGGUUAAAGUUGAUCAUGUUGGGACUGCAGCGCAGCUUGCCGACAUAUUCACCAAGUCGCUCGGGCGUGUCAGGUUCGUAGAGUUGAGGGGUGCUCUCGGCGUCGUCCAGGUGCAACAAAUUUAGGGUGUGAUUUGUUAGCCAAAUAGUUGCAAAUACAUAUGUAAUUUUUCGUUUCAGAUAGUAUCAAUCAGGUUAGGGGGCAGAGCAUGGUCAUAGGCGUGCAUGACCGUGACACAACCUGAGUCCGUCGAGUCGGUCCUCGCCAUGUCGUGCGCGGCGCAUGUGGCGCACACCAUCAAACGGUGCGGCGCACCGGCAAGGCGUGGCGGGGAGGGAGUCUGUAUCAAACAGAGUAUAAAUACAAUAGAGGCCGAGGGGGGCUGCGGGUUGGCAGCAACGAAAACAAUCUAUCUUGCGUGAAUCUGUUGUGCGUGUUUCCAUCUUAACGUGCUCUCGCCGUGGUCACCGAGCCAGACCCGCCGGCGCGACGAUCUUGCUCAACAGCCAAGCUCGGUUCCAACAGUGUAAUCCGGUUGUGAACCUGUGGCUUUUAUUGGAAGAGAGGCCUUAACCUCUCGGUGUCCUCCGGGAUUAAAUUUGUGGUGCUGGCGUUUUGUUCAUGGCUGAGUUACUGUUCAUCCGUUUCCCCUUUCUUGAUUCGUGUUAGUAUUGAGUUUUCUUUUGGGUUGUGUUUAGUCAGAUUGAUGCUUUAUCGAAUGAUGGACAAGAUCACCAAGUGAUUUGGACUAAUUCCACUUGUGCAUCAAGAUCCCAGCAGAUUUGGGAGGAAAACUCGUUCUUGUCUACGGUUUGAAUUUUUCCCAGAGUUUAGGUUAAUUCCAGGCGAUGACUUCUUAGGGAUAGAUUCGUAGCAAGUCGAAUUUCUCUUUUGCAAUUUUUGGGAUUUUUCUAUUGAAGUUGGGAUAAGUUUCUGCUGAAUUUUCUUGGAGCCUCUUUUUCUUGUCUGAGCAACAGCUCUGCUGGUUCGUUCCAGGAUGGGGUACAGGAGCAGUACUACAAACGCCAAGUGCUGAGUGCCAUGCUUGCUCUCUUGAGCGGUGAUUGUUCCUGGGCCUGAGAUCAAUUUGUUGUUAUUGUGUCUUUCGUAUCUUGCUGAUCUUGCGUGAAGGCAAGGUGCUGCAGCGGCUCCUACCGGCGCUUGGACCGAUGGCCUUUGGUCAAGUGCAGAGCAGUGUUUUUGCAUCCUUAAUCUCUGAGUCAAGUUCGUCCAGGCUCGUAAGUUGUUUCCAAUCUUCGGUGUGUUUGUGCUUAGGAGCUCGGCGGCGUGCAGCACCACCGCCUGAGCCCAGUUUUCUCCGCUCGCUCUGCAGCAGGCUGGCUUGCCCAAUUCGUAGGAGCCGAGUCCUUUUUGUGCUGCGUUCUUCUUUGUUGUUAUUCAUUGGCAGUUCUUCAAUGGAGGUCGCAGACAGGUAAUGCUACCAGCACAGGUAUUCUGGUGCCUUGCGUGCUCCCUGUGCAGCACUUGAUCUUGCUCCUGCACAUCUCCUUUCUGUGUUGCUGUGCCUGUGCAAUUAGUACUUAAUUUCGAUUGGUCAGUGGCUUAGUUCUUCCCCCCAUGAACUACUGAAGCAGCAAUUGUUUCUGUUUGAUUUUUGUGUUCGUUUUUCCUUCGUUCGUAAGACCUGUCGUGCACUACAAACCAAUCUGCAAGCUGAUGCUCGCCGUGGAUUCCAGUGGAGCGUUUGUGUACCCUGCAGGUGCUGUGCAGAGCGGAGGGCAGCUCCUUUAUUUUUGUUCUCUGUUUCUCAGUGAUGGAAAAAAAAUUUCAGGGGAUUUUCUGUCCAUUUUUUUCUCAGCUUUGAUUUCUAAUUUCGCUCGUAGUUUGGUCGUUUGAGCUUCAAAUCUUGUUCCGUCUGAUGCAUUAAUUUACUACCGCUACGAGUAAUCAACCUAGAUACUCUCGUCACCAGUUGGCUUGAAUAUUUUAGGUUUGACUUGUCAUUUGUGCUUAGGAGUGAUAUUGGGAUAGCAGCCAAAUACUUCGAAAGAAAUUUGAGGCUCCCAUUCACUCCCCCUCUGGUCGCCGCUUUCGAUCCUUCAAGUUCAUCAUCUUUUAGAGAGUCAGAAGUACCAGGAAAAAGAUUGGUAGUAAUUCAGAAAUAAAUUAAGCACAAGGUUGGAUUGUGAAUUUUAGAGGUUAAGAGAGUGGAGCAAUCAUCAAAAUCAACUCUUGUUAAACCCAGACAUGGUAGAGUCUAAGUCAAUUGUACAAUCAAAGUCACAACCUAGAGCAGUGAUUACAAGACCCCAAGUACAGCUACACUCUUUCCCACACAUGUGAAAUGUUAUGAGUCAAUUUUAGUGUGCAUAAGAAUUCUUUAGUGAGCACUUCUAUACCAAGUUUAAGGGACUCACCAAAAACCUCCAAAAACCAAUGGUAUUAAAAUAUCAUUGAAUUCUUUAGUAAUACCUGUGCGGUCCACAAGAGCCGGGUCGAGGAUGCUUGUAUGGCGGAAACCGCUCUCCUUUAGGUUGUUGAACUUGAUCAGCUCUUCUGGUGAUAAUAUGAGUUCAUUCUUCAGGCUCCAUUGCUUUUGGAGGAGGUUCGUAGAGCACCACUUGAUGGUGACUCUCCCCUUCCUCCAUCCUCUCAUGGAUUCCCUCAUUAGAGUGGUGAGAGCUUUGAGAACAACUCUCACCUCCUUUGGACUUCUAGAAUCAGGAGAGGAAUGCUUUCUCCAUUUUCCUGCACAACACAGACAACCAAAUUUUUUCCUACUUCUACUCCUAUGCAAGACUAAAUAUUUUUUUUGGUUUUUUAAGGACAACUAUUCUAAUCUUGAGAAAUAACUUGCAACUAAGAAGAGAGGAGAGGGAUUGUGAGCUCGAGAUAAUUUUGGUGGUUUUGGUGUGGAAUUGAGCUCACAAUGCAUGGGUAUUUAUAGGGGUAGAAGGGCAUGUGGUGAACACCCCAAUGUGGGGAUCGGCCGACCUCCCCAUAAGCACUAUGUUUCAAAAUUUUGAAUCAUGGCAGGGAAUCUUGCAACAUAUAUGAACUCUUUUCCAAAGAUUGGCCAAUGUAGGGGUCGGCCGGCCCCUACCGUAAGAACUUUAGCAAUCUAAAUGAUGUGGCAUUAAGUGUCUACUAAAGUAAAGCCUAGGCGUGGACAACAAGUAAAGUUCCUUUAUAAGAUUCAAUUGCCUAGUGCUAUGUGAAAGAGAAAAGAUGAUUUUCAAAAGUGGAGAUAUGCUUAAAGUAGUUGUCAGUGAUCAUGACAGCACUAGAGCUUGUCUAGGAGAGCACUUUGCAGGUUUAAGCUGGUGCACAUGUCCCAAACAAACCAUUUCUUUUCAGACUUUGGCUUGUGCGUCAUGCAUGACAUUCUAAAGCAAAGCAAAUGGGAGAUAGCAGACUGCCAAAAUGGCAAGUCUUGGGGUUGACUGACCCCAACUUGAAAGCUCCAGGAGCAUCCAAGUGCUGACCUCGACACAUUGCAUCAAGCAAAAGUGAAAGACUGCAAGUGGGCCAAAUGGUGGGGUCGGCCGACCCCACCUCUAGGUGAUCCACAGGUCAAAACUGUAUUGCAAGUUGUUCUCAAGAUUUUUAUUUAUUAUUCCUAAACAUUUUGUCGAAGCGAGAUAUGCAAAACUAAACUAAGCAUGCAAUUGGAAUGGAAAUGCAAGAAUUUAAAUGCAAUGAGUAAAGAUGGGAUAAAUACUGAUCUACCUUAUCACCAAGGGCUCCAUGUUUUAGGUCCGUAGAGUAGGACCUCUCCAUCUUGUUUAUUGCUUGGGUGCUUCAGAUGGCCCUAGAGAUAUGGACCAAGAUUGCACCUCCUCUUGCCACACUUGCCUACCUUUGCCUUGAGGUUCUUGGAGGCAUGGUAUGGUUCUCCUUUAAGCACAAUGGCCUCUAUGGUGACCUCGGGUUCUGCAGCUAGUCUCCCUCAUGAUUGAAGGGGUCCGCACUGAUAGAAUUGAUGACAUUUGUGCUAGUGAGGACCACGACAGGCUACUCAAGGUAACUCGAGAGGCAUAUAGAGGGCUAGAAGGUGUUGAUUUUAAGACAAGGAGGAUUGGGAUGGAGAAGAAGAGGGAAGGCCAAGGAAAGCUAUUGCCAAAGAUUACAAACUUCUUUUCACAAGAGUGCUAGCACAACACUCUGGGUCAGAUUGGGUUUCCCAACUAUGGAUCGCCCGACCCCACCUCGGUGGAACCAAAAGUUCACACUUCUCCCUCAACUCUCCUUUUUGUAGGACCACUUUCAAGAUACUUGCAUCCUAUCAAGUAGGGUUCGCCCGACCCCUAUUUGUUGGGUACAGAGCAAGCAAGUUCGGGUUCUACACUUUUAGGUGAUUAGAAGUGGUCUGGCCAAGUUUGAGCCAUAGUGGGUACUAAGUCCAUGUCGCCCGACCCUAGUUUGGAAGUUCUAGAGCGAAUAGGUUCUGGGUUAGUACUUCCCCACAUGUCAUAGAUGGUUUGGCCAAACAUAGGCUUGGUUAGCUACUAAGAUGGGGUCGCCCGACCCCAUAAUGGAGGCUCCCCAAAACCAGUUUUGUCUUAAGGACUAACAUAAGUGUAUUCAUUCUAUCCUAAAGGCCAAUCAACACAAAAUAUAUAAAAGAAGUUAAGACAUGUAAAUUUUAGUCUUGUUGAAUCAUUAGCAAGGAUGAGUUGUAGCAUGUCAACCUCUUCUAACAGGGAUCGAACUCCUAGAAAACUCUUAAGAAGGUGGCCACUUACCUCGAAGAUGAUGAGUCGUAGCAUUGGCCCUUCUUAGUUGCAUUGAAGUUCUAUUUGGCCAAGAAACUUGUCUUCGACAAUGAGGAUCUCAAGUUGUCUCCAUGAAUGAUCUCAUGACUUACCCAUAGAGAUAUCGAUGUUCUUGCUGCAGGGGUUAGUCCAAAAGUGCAACCAAGUUCCAUGCAAGUAUGUUUGGUUCAAUAAUCAAACAUAACACCAUGUCUUGUUUGAUUAAGGUAGUAUAUUUAACCUAAGCACCAUGCUUAAUUUAAAAAGACUAUGGAGGUACUCACUCGAGCGAUUAGUAUAACCAAACCAAAGCAUACUAACAUAGAAAGAGGGAGCAUGAUAGGAUGAACAAGAUUCAUUAUACUAGAGUCAAGAUAAUGAGUGAUGAAGACAAGAGGCAAAUAUUUUUUUCUUUUAUUAUUAUUAUUUUUAAAUUUUUAUAUGCAAGACAAUGCAAAGUGGAGGAUGAAUGCAUUUAAACAAAUAUGCUAUGGUUAAAAUAAAGAUUAAAAAAAAUAAAUGAGUGAUAUGCAUGAACAUCUAGGCUUUAGCUUUUUCCUGUGGCGUGGCCCAUCCAAAGGACAUCAUCAUACCAACUAUUAAAGCCGAUAUAUGAGCCAGGAUGUUCCAACAUUUGACUACCACAAAGCCAGACUAGGAGCCCAAAUAGGUAGACAACAAUAAAAUUGUUGUCUAUCUAGACUAGGCAUGAUGCCUGAAUACAACUCAAUGACUAGGAGCUACCCAAGAAAGCACUAGAUUUAUGCAAUAUUAAGCAAACUUGCAGUGGAAAGGAUAAAAAGAAAAGAAAGGUAAAAGAAGGAUAACCCGGACGACUUCGUUCUAAGUUAGAUCAGCUAACGUUCCCCAGCAACAGUGCCAGAAAGCUUGUUGGCAUUUCAUAGCGUCAUCACAACAGAUAGACUAAAAGUCCAUCCCUGCAACAGCACCGGAAAGCCUGUUGACUCUAGAAGUGGCAAACGGAAAUACCGCAAGCGUACGGUAGUCAAUGUAGCUUUCACCGGGAGUAUUCCAGGUAUCGUAUUUUCCACGGGGAACGUGAAGUGAACUAACUAGGCUCAAGGUCAUCCAAAGGGUCAAGGAUAGGUAACGAUAGGUAAGUGAUCUCACACAGAUCCUAAUCUAAAGAUAAAUGGUAGAGAGCUACCUAGGUGGGAGGACAACGAGUGAGAAAAGACUCCUAUGACUCUAACUUUACUCCUGUGAACCAAUCUAAUCUAGCAGCGUACACACACUAACGUUGCUAAACUUAACUACUUGUUUGUUGGAAGUCAACUGCAAUAGGAGGAUGAAACUCCUAUCCAAGGGGACUCGUUUCUUAUGGGCGCCUAAAGACCGUACCCGACAUGAAUAGCACCUAUUGUCAAGCUUCGCCGCCGCCCGCUAUCACGUUUGCUAUGGUGGUAUUCAAGGGCAGGCUUUAGCCUAAGCACCACGCUUAUGCUAACUCCUACUACUCAGACUAAGUACACAACCUAGUCCAAGCACCGUGUUACCAGUAGAGAAAACAACCCAAGCACUUAAGACUAACUUAGCUAGUAUAUAACUACUAUAAGACAGACUAGGACACUAUAAUAGAAUAUUGUACUAAGUAAAUGCAGAAAGUAAAUACUUAGAAAAGUAAACGAAAAGUAAAUAUAUUAAAUACUCAAAGUCUAACAAGAGAGAAGGUAAAGAGGAAUACUAGACUCUCCAGAAGACAACUCCGGAGACUCCGAGCUUCGCUCGACUCAACUCUAACUCCCACACUAGACUAACUACUACUACCCUACAUUGUAACAAGUGGAUCUUGAAGUGUGAGAUGUCAUAUGAGAUGAAGGCCUAUAGGGGGUAUUUAUAGCAGGAGGUGGAGUAGGGGCUACUCCACUUCCAUGUCAGCAUUCCACGUGACCUCCAGCAUGCACCAUUGGAUAAAACGACCUUGGAACCACCAUAUGAUCAACGGUUGGGCAUUUCCAUCACAUGUUCAUCAUGGGGAUGUCGGUGGGGUGCAACCGACCUUGGGGAGGCCACAUGUUAGGGUUGGCCAACCGACCUAUUGCUUCCAUGUGGACCCCACCAAGCUUCUAGAAGAUGUUGAGGUUGGUGGGAGUGUGGGCCAGGUGGGACUCCUCCAAAGGUGGGUCGGCCGACCUACACUUGGGGGGGUUGGCCCACCACCUUGCUCCACAUGUUGUCCCCACUUGUCAUCUUCAAUGUUUUGUUGAUCUGCGGUGCUUUUGGUUCUUGAUCAUCUUUGCUUCAUUUGAGCUUGAUCACGCUUGAUUAGUGGUUGUUUGCACCUGCAUCCAAAUAAUGACAUGUACAUGUGGAACCAAGUGAAUUGUACAUAUGUCACUACUUAGUUGCUUGGUGUUAACCCCAAAACUGAACCAUUGUUGACGGUUUUAGCGGUCAAAAAUCAUAGUGAAAAUACCGUGAACAUUAUGUUAAUCUGAAACAAAUAAAAAGAUGCAUAACCAUAGAAAACCCAAAUAAAGAUUUGCCUAUUUAUUUAUAUCUAUAUUUAUCUUUUUGGUUGAUAUUAAAUUUGUUAAAUAAAACUUAAGAGUGUUUAUUUGAAGAAUUUGCAUGCUAAAAUGAACCCCUCAAAGUAAGCUUUUAUAUGAAAAUGAUGAAUAGUUGCUCUAUUGUAAUUCCUUUCGAGUUCCUAGUUUUCAACCUCGAACUCUCCCGAGUUUUGGACACAACUAUUAUAUUUGAGGUCUGUUCUGAACUUGAAACUUGUGGGUAGUGAAUGCUUGAUCUAAGUCUAGGUUGUUGAUGAAUAUGAUAUGGGAAUGUUUUGAGUUGCUGUCCAUAUUGUUUCUAGAGAUACUAGAGUUCUGGAGAAUUUAUCUUUGAAAAUCUUAAAUUGUUGAAUGAUGAGUUCCUGUAUGAUGAGAGUUCAAAAUUCCUACCACAGCCAAAUAUACAUGGUUACUAGAUUAGGAAAGCCAUCCACUUCCAUACUUUGCUUGUAGGCAAUGCACAAUCAAAGACACCACCUUCACGCACACCGUCUGUGACACUAGAUCAGGCUGCAAUGUCACACCCAUAUUUUGAGAACAAAAUAGGAUGCAUAAAAGACUCAUAUGUGCCCCAGAAACAGUCGCACACAUAAGUAGACAAAUCUCAAAUGUACCAUUGCAGUGUUUAUUACAUAGCGGAACGAUAAUAAUUCACAUAGCCUUAUACAAUAAUGAUAUCAAGAAGUAAACAACGCUCUUGACGGAAGCACCACACAGGGACACUGUUGAUUGAUUGACUCCAAACCUAGUACUCAUAACGGUAGAACUCAUUCCAAGCAUCAUCAUUUGCAUAACCUGGGGUGUUGGGAAAUUGCAAGAGUGAGCACAUAUUGUACUCAACAAGUAUACCAGUGUUUAACACUCUGCAGAGGUUGUACAUCUUUACCCAUGAGUCAUGAUUUACCCUUUCACCCGAGGUAGCUAAUCUCUUAACCCCCUUCCUAGGGAGGUCGGCAGGGAUCACUAUGAAGCCUUUCAAAAGUUCGUCUAACAUGUUAGGGCCGCAAGGUUUCCUCAGCGAGUAGAUAUAGAUACCCCCUUCCAAAUGGCACAAUGACGCGCAACCUAUACACAUAGGGACAGGGGCUCACACUAUACCCUUGUCGGUCAAUCCCCUCUAGCGCCCUUUCGGGUAACCUCUAAAAAGCUAGAAAAGGUCUUCAUACAGAGCUAAAGGCAGAGCCAUUAUAGCCCUCAUGGUUGCACUGUUGUCCCGGUGAUCACUUACAGACAAGAUCUCAUAUAGUUAUUUAUCAUCUUUUAACGUUCAUUGCAUAGCUAUUAAUCAUCUUACAAGAUCAUGGAUUAUAUCAAGCACUAGCACAUCUACACCAAAUGCUUAUCAAAUAGGUAACAAGGAAUUCAAGAUAACAAUCAUCUAUGAUUUUUUCUAAGGUCAACAAGGUGGAAGCAUGCAUAUGAUAUAUAUGUACAUUUAUACGUGUAUAGGUAACAAGAUGAUCCCAAGUUAUACUUGCCUUGAUCAAAGCUCUCCUGAGCCUGCUCUGAUUUUCAAAAGCUAGAUCUUGCUCACCAACGUACGGCUCACCGUCUAUUACCAAACAUCAAUCAACAACACGCAAUCCAAUGUAGACAAACAUACACAAAGCAAACAAACUAUAAUUAGAACAUUACACCAACAGUGAGAAAUCAAAGAUAAAAGUUUAUAAAAAUAUUCUACGUAGCUCUACGAUCACACAAACGUAAAGUUCACGAAAAUCGGAUUAAAACGUAGAAGUUAUGAAUUUUCUUAGAUUUCCUAUAGAUAAAUAAUUAAUUAAAUGCUACUGCAAAAGUAAAAAGUUUCAACACAGAGAAUUAAUACUUCUAACAUGUAGAGCUCGUAAAUACGGAUCUAACGAAAUUUGAAUGAACAAAAACGGAGGUAAAACGAAUAUUUUAUGAGCAAUUUAAAUCUGGUGGCGAACUUGUAAUUAUCUGAAAGCGUAUUUUUCUUAACCCGACAGAGAAUACGUUUUCUUAAUUUGGAAAGCGUAAAAAUGGAGAAGGCACUUUGGACGGCGGGUUAAUUUGGCGAAAACUCAGGGGCUCUUUAGAAAAAUCUCCAGGCGAAGGGGUAUCUUCAUUUGUGGGCCGUUGAUUCGCGAUCCAACGACCGAAACUUGAUCUGGGACAGGGUCAGCUGGCCUCGUCGCCGGAACAGAGCUCGACGCAGUGGCGCCAUGGCCAGAGGGCCCGAGCUCAGCGGCGUUCACGGUUUCGACGAUUCAGUGCCUCCCAGGAAGAAAGAAACACCGGGCGGAAGAGGAGCUCACUGCGAAUCCGACUGGGAGUUUUUCUUGGGCGGAGAGGGAGCAGGAGGAGCGCGUGGCGGUGCAAAAGAAAGACACGUUUCGGUGAGAUCCGAAACUCGGUAUAUGUGACGGCUAGGGUUCCCGUGAUGCGGAAUACGGCAAAGGAAGGUCGUGGGGAGUUCCUAGGGCCUUUAUAGGGGCUUGGCACACAAGAUAGGAAGGAGAGCACGAGUCGGGAUCGGCUCGGAGCUGGGGGAAAGAAUCCGCCUCGGAUACGACAAGCAAGAAAAAGAUGGACCAAAUCGCCAAUGAAGAAAAAGAGAUCUUAGCAUGAUUAAAAGCAUGGGAGAAAGAUAACAAAGAUGAAGAGUUGGAGCUAGAGAAGAAAGAAGCAAAAGAGAUAGAAGCAAGAAGGAAGGAAGACGCAUGUAACGCAUCACCACGAAACGAGGAGUUGACUGAGGUUACCUCAGACGAUGAACCCACUGAGUAAGUCUUCUCCACUAUAUAAGUCCUCUUGGUAGACUUUAAGUUCCGUACCCUAGCCAUAAGGUCAGAAUGGUAGUUAUCUAGUUAAGUUAGCAUGCAUUAGUAAUUUUGCUUUAAUACACCUAGUAGCAUAUUUAUUUCUCUUGGCAUAUUAAUACAAAAUACAAAAAAAUAUUUACUGCUUUCAUUACUCCAUCAUAAAUACCAAAGUCAUAUGUGAAUAAACUUAUGGUAACCCCUUAGGAAUAUUUAUUGUAGUGGCAUAAAAAAAUUAAACAGCAUUCAUAUUUAUUUCAUUUGUUAUAAAAUCAGAAAAUACAAAAAGAUAGAAACAUGAAAUUUUACAAAAUUAGCUCAUAAGAAUAAUCAAUUCCUCAUUGGCUGACCACUAACCCAUUAUUAAAUUCAAGCAUCGAGUUUUAGUUUUCUUGUUGGAGUAUGACUAUGCAAGAACAGCACCAAGUAUUGCAAACAUCUAGCUUGGGGGAGGAGCAUCCCCUAGUUAUCAGGUAAUUAUACCUAAGUGAUUUUGGAGUCUAUAUAGUCAUAAAAAUACCAAAAAUAUGUGGGCACAUGAAGGUCCACAAGUCAUAGUCUUUUUGUGAGUUUAUAACUAGUUAAGUGUUAGAGUCUAUUCAGAGUCAGUUUAAACUUGAGCUAAAUAAAAAAUUAUGAACAUUAAAAUUUUAUCUUAGAGAUGAUGAAUAGUUGCUUUGUUGUAGUUCUUUACAAGUACCUAGAUUUCAAUGUUAGAUUCUCUCGAGUUUUGGACAUUAUUGUUUUAAUUUGAAGGUUUACUCUGAACCUAUAACUUGUGGAGGCAUAAGUUUGAGCUAAGUCUAGGUAGUUGGUCGAUGUGAUCAUUGAAAGUCUGAGCUGCUAUUUAUCUUAUUCCUAGCAGUACUAAGCUCUAGAGAUUUAUUUCAAAUAUUUAAAAUUCACAUGAUGAGCUCUUGUAUGACAAGUUUGAAUUCCUACCAAAGCCUAAAAUUAUAUCAUAGAGAUAGGAAACUUUGGCACAUUUAUGCUGCUUGCUAUACAUUGAUUUUAGUCAACCUUUGUAGUAUACCUUGUGAGAGUCUUGUCAUACUUUCAAAACCAAGAUCAUGUACACACUUCAGUUCACAUAUGCAUUAUUCCUACACUGGGAGUAAUCGUAAUCAUUUCCAUUCCAUGUUUAUUGAUUAUGCUUUUCUCCUACACUGGGAGUAAAUACCAACAUAAACCAUACCCAUAGGAUAAAGCCCGUCAUAAAUGCUCUAAGUUAUUAUUAUUACCUCUUUGAUCAUUUAUUGUAUUCAAAGGAUACAUGUGGCCAUGCAAAAAUAUAAAAGAAGAAAAGGGAGUAAAAGAUGGACAAGUGUCCCAGUAAUUAAAACAAUGGGUACUAGAUGCCCGCCUCCUUGAAUAAAAAUAAAUAAUAAAGAUAGCCCAUGUCAACCCCUAAAAAGUUUCAAUACAGAGCUAUUCCCAAAGAAAUAGAAAAGCCACUAAUACCACAAAUUUCUACUUUUUAGUAAUGACAGUAAUAAAUGUCAACACCUUUGAUGGAUGAGCGCGAACCCCCUCAAAGUAGGUACGUUCACCAGUGGUGUAUUUGGCACAGAUGACCUCUCCCUUCUUGUUGGUAUUUACUCCCAACAGCUUCUCAUUGCGCAUCGGUGGCAGGAUGUUGGUGUCUGCCAGCAGAGCAACGAUGGGGCCCUUUGAUGGAGCUCCUUCCAAGAGGAGAGGCUUGGUGGAAAUGGGCAGAACAAAAUAAGAUUGUCCACAGCAGUGUGGUUGCGGUGGUAUAAUGGCUAUUGGGAUAGGUUCUUCUAUUGGAAUGAUAGCUUUGCACUCAGGCUCCUCUCUAGGGAUGUUGUUGAGAUCAAUCCCAAAGGGGAUCAUUCUCCUCUCUAAAUUCUUCUUAGACAUUGAUGAGUAAAGAGGCGUUCCUAGCUUCUAAGCAAGAGGAGAGGAGAGCUAUGAUGGGAUGAGAUGAGACCAUAGGCAUGGGUGGCUUAUAUAGGGGUAUGGAAAAGUAUUUUUGGAAGUGAACUGACGAAGGAUGGGAAGAAAAUCGAAAGAUUCAAUUUUUAUCAAUAAGGAAGGUCUCAGGAUGUAAAUGGAGAAAGGCGGCGGUGAAUGGCUUUGGGGGAGGGGCGGGCGCUCAUAGGGUUUUGGGCGGCUGCCUAACCUUUGAGCUCGCUCUGCCUCAACUUUUUUGUAUACUUUAUUAAUUAUAUUCUUAUUUGGAAAAAGUUGAUUUUCUCUGAUAAUUAAAAAUAAAAGGGUCGGGCCUAACUAUUUCAAUUGAGAAAGAAAGUAAUUAUGUCUACUUCCUCUAAUUCAUUGUUGGGCUCAAAAAUAAUUUAAGGCAUUGACCAUUUACCUUGAAUAACGUACCUUCGUUGUUGCCAAGCGUGACUGCUCCAUGCGAUGACGAGCUCACCACAUCGAACGAUCCUUCCCAUUUGCUUCAAAGUUUUCCAUGCCCGAAGAGCUUCACCCUAAAAUUAAAAAGUAAUACCUUAUCUCCUAGGGUGAACUCCUUCUUCAUGAUCCUUUUGUCUAGCCAUCUUUUUACUCUCUAUUUAUAAAUCUUGGCAUUGUGAUAUGCUUUUUCUCACCACUCUACUAGCUUAGAGAGAUGCAUCUUCCUCUUGUUCUCCAGCUGCUUCCAAGUCUAUGUUCCAUCUUUUGAUAGCCCAGUGAGCUUUGAAUUCUAGCUCUACUGGUAAGUGACAAGUUUUUCCAUAGACAAGUUGAUAGGGUGACAUCCUGAUGGGUGUCUUAUAUGCUGUCCGAUAUGCCCAGGACGCAUCAUGAAGCUUGUCCUUCCAAGCUGUCCCCAUCUCAUUUACUAUCUUCUAUAGAAUAUUCUUAAUUUGCUUGUUUGAUGUCUCUACCUGACCACAUGUAUGAGGAUGGUAAGGAGUAGCAAUGUUGUGACAUAUCCCAUGCUUCGACAAGUAUUGCUUGAAGCGCUUGUCGAUGAAGUGAGAACCUCCAUCACUUAUCACCAUCCUUGGAAAUCCAAAUCUUGGAAAUAUUAUUUUUUCAAACAUAUUCUUUGAAUGCAUACUAUCAGCAUUCCUGCAUGUCAUGGCUUCAACCCACUUGGAGACAUAAUCCACAGCCACCAGGAUAUAAUCAUACUUCUUUGAUGGUGGAAAUGGCCCCAUGUAGUCAAUCCCCAGAAAUCAAAGAGCUCUAUCUUGAGAUUGUUGAUGAGUGGCAUGGCAUCCCUUGAAUUGAUAUUACCAUGCCUUUGACAUGGGCCACAUCUCUGAAUUAAUUCCCUUGUGUCUUCAUACAUUGUUGGCCAGAAGAAUCCACACUGCCAUAUCUUGGCAUAUGUUCGGAACACUCCAAAUGACAUCCAUAUGGUGAUGAAUGACAUUUUUCAAUGACUUUAAUUUCUUCUUCAGCUGGCACACACCUUUUGAGUAAGCCAUCAGAGCAUACUCGAAAGAGGUAUGGUUCAUCCCAUAUGUGAGAACGGCUCUAUUGGAUUAGCUUCCUUUUGUUGCCUCCUGGUGGUACAUAACCUGUAACCAUAAAAUUAACAAUAUCUGCAUACCAGAGGUCAGAUCUGUUGAUUCCGUAGAGCAUGUCAUCCUAGAGUGAGUCGUUGAUGGGUAGUUCCUAUGAAUUUUCAAAUUGCAUUCUAGAUAAAUGGUCGGCAACAUAAUUUUCUACUCUCUUUUUAUCUUCUAUUUCUAAGUCAAAUACUUGGAGUAAUAAAAUCCAUCUUAUCAAAUGGGGUUUAGCAUCUUUCUUAGUGAGCAAAUAUUCUAAAGCAGCAUGAUCAUAAUAAAUAAGUAAUUUAGCUCCCACUAAGUAAGAUCUAAACUUAUCAAUAGCAAAAACAAUAGCUAGGAGCUCUUUUUUAGUAGUAGCAUAAUUAAGUUGAGGUCCUAUCAGAGUUUCGCUAGCAUAAGCUAUUACAUGAUGAUUUUUAUCUUUAGUUUGCCCUAAUACUGCCCCCACAACAUAACCACUAGCAUCACACAUAAUUUAAAAAGGUAAAGACCAAUCAGGGGGUUGAAUAAUUGGCGCUGAGAUGAGUGCUUUCUUAAGAAUUUCAAAAGCUUGUAAACAUGCAUCAUCAAUUUCAAAAGGAACAUCCUUAGCCAAUAAGUGAGUAAGAGGUCUAGCAAUAUAUGAAAAAUCUUUAAUAAACCUACGAUAAAAACAGCAUGGCCAAGGAAACUCCUAAUUCCUUUUACAUUAACAGGCGGAGGUAAAAGUUCAAUUACUUCUAUUUUAGCAUUAUCUACCUUAAUGCCUCUUUCAGACACUAAGUGUCCUAGCACUAUUCGUUCUCUAACCACAAAAUGACAUUUUUUCCAAUUAAGGACUAAGUACUUUUCUUCAUACCUUUGCAAAACCUUAUCUGAGUUUUCUAGACAAUCAUCAAAGGUUUUUCCAUAAACAGAAAAAUCAUCCAUGAAAACUUCCAUAAUCUUUUCAAUAAUAUCAGAAAAUAUAGACAUCAUACAUCUUUGAAAAGAAGCAGGUGCAUUAAAUAACCCAAAAGACAUUCUAUGAUAGGCAUAGGUUCCAUAGGGACAUGUAAAGGUGGUUUUGCUUUGGUCAUCAGGAUGGAUAGGGAUUUGGUGAUACCCUGAAUAUGCAUCUAAGAAACAAAAUAAGGAAUGAUACCCUGAAUAUCUCUCUAAGAAACAAAAGAAGGAAUGGUUGGCUAACCGCUCUAGCAUCUAAUCGAUGAAAGGCAAUGGAAAGUGAUCUUUCGUAGUUGCCUUAUUAAGUUUUCUAUAGUCUAUGCACAUCUGCCAUCCUAUGAUGGUGCGUUGAGGGAUUAACUCAUUCCUGUCAUUUUGGACAACAGUCAUACCUCCCUUUUUAAGUACAACUUGAACAGGGCUUACCCACUCACUAUGCGGCACAACAUAAAUGAUGUCUGCAUGCAAUAGUUUUAAAACUUCCUUCUUUACAACCUCUCUCAUCGCAUUGUUUAGUCUAUGUUGGGGUUCUCUAGAUGGUGGAAUAUUAGGAUCUGUAGGAAUGCAAUUGGUGCAAAGAGCAGCACUAAUUCCCUUGAGGUCCUAGAGUGAGUAGCCAAAGGCUAAGUGAUAUUUUUCUAGGACUGCCAUCAGGCGAAGAGUCUGCUCCUGAGUGAGUUUAUCACUUAUAAUGAUGGGAGACUCUAGAUUGUCACCUAGAAAAGCGUAUCUAAGGCCAGUUGGUAAAGGUUUAAGCUCAAUAGGAGGCUUAGGUGGUACUGCACACUAGAAGAAGGGUGGGGCUUUUUGACGUUCUAAUAGGUCACAAUUUAUAGAAUUUACAUCACUACUUCAAUUUUUUGACGUCCAGAUGACGAAAAUCCAAACGUCAAAAAGCCACAGUCACAAAAUUACUAUAUGACAUUUGUUUUGCUUAAUGUCAUAAGUAUAUGACGUCUGAUUUCAAUGUCAUAUAAUCAUAUGACAUUGGUUUAGUGUCAUUAAAUACUAGGCCAUGCCACAUGGGCAAGUGCCACAUAGGAUCAAUUGCUGACAUGGCAGGAAGGAAAGAACGUCAAAAAAUGAAAUUUGGCCUGCUAGAGCCCAUAUACCAUGCAGUCGUCUUUCAGCCCAUUUAGCCUUUUUAGUCCACUAAUUUCAGCCUAUAUUUUUUUCUAGCCCACUGAUUUCAGCCCAUAUUUUUUUCCGGUCCAUGAAUUUCAAUCCAUUUUUUUCCUAACCUCAACAAUUUGGCCCAUAACUUUUUCCCAACCAAUACAAUUCGGCCCAGCCUAUUUCUAGCUCAUAGAAUCUAGCCCAUCAAUACAAUUCAGCCCAACUUUUUUCCCCAAUCGACAACAUACAAUUCAGCCCACAAUUCAGCCCAUACAAUAUCCAGCCCACAUACAAUUCAGCCAUACAACAUACAACCAAAUUCAAAUAAGUAAUCUCCACAAAUCAUUGUAAUAUCGCAAGCACAAGUUUUAAAGUGCAAUACAAUUACAUGAAGAAUACCAAAUAUCUCUAGAACAGCUCAAAUGACUCAUGAGCAUCACCUACAUCAACAACAUCACAUAACUAGUAGGAGCAAAGCACUGCACAGGCAACAACAGGGCACCAGCGGUGGUGGCACACCAGCAGCAGCAUCACAAUGGCUAGCAUGAUGGCUACCAACAUAGAAAUGUCCUAGUGCACCUUGUUGAUAUUUGGUAACGCAAUCAGAAUUAAUCCGCAAGCGCACGGAUAUCGGUGAGCACUUCACCCGGUAUGUUAUCGAGAGUAUCGUAUUUAUAUUUUUACCACUAGAAGAAAGCGUGCAUCUGACUAACCUGGUCUAUUACUACUAACCUUUAAGCUACAAACUAUGUGAUUCGAUGUGAGCGAUGUAUAGAGAAGACUACAACUGCACUCUCGUUCUAACCUUGGUAAGGAUGAUCUACUGUUUUGUUGGGGAGGCUCGCGGAAUCUAGACACCACAAAGGAUGUUCGACCCGCACCUAUAAACCCUAUCGAGCCUGCUAACGGGAUAUGGGCUACAAAGGUAACUCGAAAAUGUCACGUUCCUCGAUACUACCAUGGUCCAGCUAGUCAGGGGAUAUCUAUGAGUAUCCUAGCCCAAACACCACGUUUACGCUAGAGAUGAUUACUCUAAACUCUACAUGAAGAGAUCAAAGUAAACUCAUAAACCAAAGAACAAUAAAACAAAGAACUUACUAGAAUUUAGAAGUUGAAAUACUGAAGAAUCCUAGGAGCAAGCCUCAGGUUUGGAGACUUGAUUCCACAGGUACAACCUCGGAGUAGACACCGACAGGCCGGGCUUCCUCUGCUCUACACCUCCACUCUAUCUCUCUCAAUCUAGUAGAACUAAUUCUACUCUCACAUUGGAUGCUACGCCCUAUGAGGUGGGAACCCUAAGGAUCCUCUCUAGAAAAUAUGCUAAUGAAUAAUUAGAUUCUAUCUCUCCAGGAGCCAGGGGCCUUGCUUAUAUAGCCUUUUCAAAUGAAUCUGGGCCGUCGGAUCAAACCGACAUUGAUUGAACGGUUCUCCUUGAUCCUUUAGGUUGGUGGAGCAUAAUCUGCGAGGUUGAACGUGAUUGGCCACCAGAGGUGGGUGGGCGCCCAAGGUGGCAGGGCGGGCGCCCUGCCCCCGGGCCCGAUCGGCCUCCCGUUCGUUCCCGUGGCUUCUGGAGUCUUCUAGAUGUUGAAUAAUUGCGCGGCACGUUAAUAUCUCUAUGUAAACCUGACAUGUGGGCCUUUCUUCCAUAUUUCCUGAUAACCCUCUGCAGAAAUAUAUAAACAACAAAACUCGUGGAAUUCUGUCAAAUCAAACCCUAAUUCUAGGUGUUGGUUGUAUACUGCUUCCUCGAGCAUGCUUCUAGAUGCAGACUUUAUUCGAAAAAUAUAUAUGUGGCCCAAAAACGUCUGAUUAAAAAGGUCGGGCUCUAAUUCUCCAUGGGAAGGUAGAAAUGGAUCAUGUCUAUUUCUUCUAAUCCUUAUUAGGCUCAAAAAAUAAUUUAAGACGUUGACCAUUUACCUUGAAUAACGUACCUUCGUCGUUUUGAAGUGUGAUAGCUCCGUGGGAUGAUGAAUUGAUUACCUUGAAUGGUCCUUCCCAUUUACUCCGAAGUUUUCCAUGCCCGAAAAGCUUCACCCUGGAAUUAAAAAGUAAUACCUUAUCUAUGGGUGCGAACUCCUUCUUCUUGGUCCUCUUGUCAUGCCACCUUUUGACUCUUUCUUUGUAGAUCUUCGAGUUGUGAUAUGCUUGCUCUCGCCAUUCUUCCAAUUCUGAUAGUUGAAUUCUUCUAUGAUCUCCAGCGAUAUCUAGGUCCAUAUUCGAUCUCCUUAUGGCCCAGUGUGCUUUGAACUCUAAUUCAACAGGUAGGUGGCAAGUCUUCCUGUACACCAAUUGGUAUGGGGACAUUCCAAUUGGGGUCUUGUAUGCUGUCCGGUAUGCCUAGAGUGCAUCGGGUAACUUGUCUUUCCAUGCCGUUCCCAUCUCAUUGACUGUUUUCUGAAGAAUAUUCUUGAUUUGCUUGUUGGAAGUCUCUGCUUGGCCACUUGUCUGAGGAUGGUAAGGGGUAGCGACAUUGUGACGGAUUCCAUGUUUUGAUAGAUAGUGCUUGAAGCGUUUGUCGAUGAAGUGUGCUCCUCCAUCACUUAUCACUACUCUGGGAACUCUAAAUCUUGGAAAUAUAACUUCUUCAAACAUCCUCUUUGAACUCAUGUUGUCGGCGUGCUUGCAAGUUAGUGCCUCUACCCACUUGGAGACAUAGUCAACUGCCACUAAGAUGAACUCACACUUCUUUGAUGGGGGAAAUGGACCCAUGUAAUAUAUUCCCCAGACAUCAAAGAGCUCAAUUUGAAGGUUGUUGGUGAGUGGCAAGGCAUCUCUUGUAUUUAUGUUUUCGUGCCUUUGACAUGGCCCACAUCUUAUGAUAUAUUGCUUCGUGUCUUCAUACAUUGUAGGCUAGUAGAUUCCACACUGCCAGAUCUUUGAAUGUGUACGGAAUGCUCCAUAAUUACCUCCAUAAGGUGAUGAAUGACGCCUAUCGAUGAUCUUCCAUCCUUCCUCGCUGGUCACACAUCUCCUGAGUAAGCCAUCAGAGCAUACUCAGAAGAGGUAUGGCUCAUCCCAUAUAUGUGAACGACUUUCUUGAAUCAGCUUCUUCUUGUUCGCUCCUGGUGGUACAUACCCUGAAACCAUAAAAUUAAUAAUAUCUACAUACCAGGGGUCACACCUGUUAAUCCCGUAGAGCAUGUCGUCUCGGAGUGAAUCAUUGAUGGGGGUUUCCUAUGCAUUCUUAAAAUACAUUCUAGACAAGUGAUCAGCAACAAAAUUUUCUACUCCCUUUUUAUCUUUUAUUUCUAGGUCAAAUUCUUGAAGUAAUGAGAUCCAUCUAAUCAGGUGAGGUUUAGCAUCUUUUUUAGUGAGCAGAUAUUUUAGUGCAGCAAUAUCAGUGUAAACAAUUAUUUUAGCUCCAACUAAAUAAGAUCUAAAUUUAUCAAUGGCAAAGACAACGGUCAGAAGCUCUUUUUCAGUGGUUGCAUAAUUAAGUUGAGCUCCUGUCAAAGUUUUACUGGCAUAAGCAAUUGCAUGAUGCUUCUUAUUUUUAGUUUGUCCCAAGAAUGCCCCCACAGCAUAAUCACUAGCAUCACACAUAAUUUCAAAAGGCAACGACCAAUCAGGGGGUUGAAUGAUUGGUGCAGAGAUGAGUGCAUUGUUUAAUAAAUUGAAAGAUGUUAGGCAUGCAUCAUCAAAUUCCAAAGGAGCAUCCUUGGCUAGCAAAAGAGUAAGUGGUCUAGCAAUAAAUGAAAAAUCUUUUAUGAAUCUGCGAUAAAAACCAGCAUGGCCAAGAAAGCUUUGAAUUCCUUUUAUAUUCACAGGUGGAGGUAGUUGUUCAAUUACUUCAAUUUUAGCUUUGUCUACCUCAAUACCUCUUUCAGACACUAGGUGUCCCAGCACUAUUCCUUCCCUAACCAUAAAAUGACAUUUUUCCCAAUUAAGGACUAAGUGCUUUUCUUCACAUCUUUGCAAAACCUUGUCUAAGUUUUCAAGACAACUAUAAAAUUUUUUCCAUAUAUGGAGAAUUCAUCCAUGAAAACAUCCAUAAUCUCUUCAAUCAUAUCAGAAAAUAUAGACAUCUGUUGACACCGUUUUUGGACACGUAUCCGAGAUCGGUAGGAUGUGAAUCGGCAAGAUAGGGUAAUAGUCAUUGAUCUGCAGGAAGGUUGCUGAUGGAGAUGGUUACCGAUGAAGAGAUAGCCGAAUAUGACUAAGUUCAUAGGUGGUGAUGUGUUUGUGCCGAUGGUCGGUAUUAACUCGCGCCGAUGGCUACGAUAAGGAGGUCUGCCGAUGAUGCGGAAGAAAGACCUGAAGGUUGCCGAUUGGCCAGUGGAGGUGUCCUAGUUUGUCGUGGCAGAAUAGUUUUAUGUUUUCCUUAGUUAUUUAAAUCUUUUUGUACACGGAUUCUGUUUAAAUUUGAAAUUCGAGUUCUAGUCGUGUCUGGUUGUAGCUCUUUGAGUAGGGUAUAAAUGUAGACCAUAGGGCAUUGUAAUACAGACAUCUAUCAAUCAAUCAAACACCAGUUUUCACUCAUAUUCCAGCAUCUACUUUUCGACGACUUCGUCAUACUUUUUCCUUUUUAUUACGAGUUCUUAGGAAUUCGUCGACUUAAGCUGGGCGUGUUCUCAAGUUCCGUGUGAAUACCUCUUGGUCGUGGCAUCGGGGCGUAUCGCUGUUGUCGGGACCAAAGUAUUCGAGUUACCACCUUUGCCGAUAGUAAGGUCAAAUCGGCUGCCACGCCUUAACGUUUAAAUCAGGUAUUAGCCCUUUGUGUUUGCAGAUCUAGCUUUUGCACCAACACAUCUUUUGGCACGCCCAAUGGGACCCUGAUUUAAGAUCAAGAUCAACAUGUCGACUACUGAAUUUGAUCAGGAGAACGUCAUCCCCGUAACGGAAGCCAAUCUCAAGGAUGCGCAGAAGCAAGCUAUUGCCAAAGCCAUGGAGGAUUACAAGCAGCAAUGUUUGAGAUCCUUCAGUAUCAACAGGAGCGGCGAGGUGAUCUAGAAGGAAGCACUGUCGAUGCCUCGGCAGGUCACUUUUGAUGCCAAUCCUGGUAAACUUCAAGAUAUGGUUGAUAAUGCUAUUAACCGUGCCUUGAUCAAUCAAGCCGGUGUGCUGUCCAAUACGGUUUUUAAUGCCGUUACUAGAACUUUCAAGGAAGGACAGUUGCCACCAAAUUAUGUGGGCCCUUCUAUCAUCAGCUAGACUCACCGGUGGUCACAGCUCCAUCAGCUACUACAGCCGUUGCGGCUACCCAGACUACUGUUCCUCCGAGCACUUUGGGAGUCACUAAUGCGCAAUCUACGCCGAUGACAACUAAUCGAUCGACCUACAGAUCUAUCGGCAUCGGCAAUGUUAGGACCAGUCCCUCCUCCUAACUGGUGGGGUUUUGGUAUGCCCCCAGAGUUCACAUUGAAGACACCUGGCACAUCUCAGGCGGCUGAUAUGAGAGGCAAGGAUCCUAUGACAUCGGCACCUCCAAAUAUGCCGAUGAAUCAGAGUCCCCAGUAUACUACAACUACUACUGCAUCAGAGGUUUAUGAUGCCUAAUGCACUGGGAACUCUCAAGCUCCAACGUUCCAGAUGCCUAAUGCAUCGGCAGAUUCAAUGCUGAUGCAACAAAGGUUUAUGACUCAGCCAGGGUAUGUCCAUUCAAUGAUCAUGCCCAAUUAUCAGUCAUCGGCAGGCCCUAUGCCGAUGAACGCGAACAGUGGAUGGCCUGAGCAGUCAGUUUUUCCACAAAUGUCCCAACAGAAUCAUCAGGCUAUAGGGUUUCAGCAAGGCCAGAUCUAUCCCGGGUUCCAGAACUAAGGGACAGCCAAUCAGCCAAUGAAUCACGGCCAACAAAUCGCAGGUCAGCAAUUUGGUGGUCAACAUAUGGGGGGCUAGGAGUUCGGUGGUCAGCUGGUUGGUGGCCAAAUGAUUAACCCGAUGUUCUAUGCAGAUCGUGCACCGCACAGACACGUGGAAGCCUACCAGCACGUGCCAGAUCCGCAACUGCUUCAUCGGCAAGAUGCCGAUGCUUAUUGGGCCGAUAAGAUUGCUGAAGUAAUGAGAGACCAGUUUGGGAUAAAACCCAAGGUCAACACUUACUCUUAUCGGACACCGUAUCCUCCUACAUAUGAUUUAAUCCCGCUUCCAAAUCGGUACAAAGUGCCGGAUUUUACUAAGUUUUCUGGGUAGGAUGAUACGUCGACUAUGGAGCAUGUCAACAGGUACAUCAUCCAAUGUGGAGAAGCUGCUAACUGGGACGAAUUAAGGGUUCGGUUGUUCUCGUCAUCAUUGUCUGGAUCGGCGUUCACCUGGUUUAUAUCAUUACCUCCUAAUUCAGUGAUUACUUGGGCCGAUCUAGAAAAGCAGUUUCACAAGUACUUCUUUUCUGGGGUUCACGAGAAGAAGAUCACCAUUUUGGUCAGGUUGAAGCAACGCAAUGAUGAAUCGGUUGAGAGCUUUGUGCAGAGACUGUGGGAAGUCAAGAACAAGUGCUAUAGUCUGGUUUUGGAUGAUCAGCAGCUAGCCGAUUUGGCUUUCCAGGGUUUAUUGCCACAUAUCAGGGACAAGUAUGCAUCUCAGGAGUUCGAGAGCUUAAGUCAUUUGGUGCAGAGGAUUUCUGAUCAAGAUAUCAAGCCUUUUGAACCCAAGAGAGCAUGGAACAAAAAAGUGUCAUUUGUAGAUGAAGCAGCAAGCUCGGAUUCUGAUGAGGAACCAGUCAUCGGCUUGGCAGAAUGGGUAAAAAACAAGAAGCCGAUGUCUUGUCCUUUCGGGCACAAGGAACAAGAGAAGUUCACAUUUGACAUCACUAAGGCCGAUAGGAUAUUUGACUUUCUUCUUCAGGAAGGUCAGAUCAAAUUAUCACCAAAUCAUGUAAUCCCAUCGGUUGAGGAGUUGAAGAAGAUGAAGUACUGUAAAUGGCACAAUGCAACUUCUCACAGCACCAAUGAGUGCAAAGUUUUUAGGCAACAGCUGCAAACGGCUAUAGAAUCUGGGAGGAUCAAAUUUGACACCUCCAAAGCUCAGAAGCCGAUGAAGAUUGAUCAACAUCCUUUCCCAACAAACAUGCUGGAUGCUAAGGGAAAGGCCAAGGUCUUAACAUUGGAAGCAGCUAAAAGAAGUGCAUCGGUAGAUCCUCAGCAUCAGAUCACUACCGCCGAUGCGAAAGGAAAAGGCCUGAUCUAGGAGAGAACUAAUUCAGGAAGGCCUCCCCGAUCUGGUAUUGUGAUAACUCACAGAAGGCCUCGGGAGACUUGGCGGCAACGUGAGGAUCGGUAUCAGUGCCAGCAAGAGGAUUAUCGUCGGGAGGAGGAAAGACGCCGACAGGAGUGGAAUCAGCAUAGGGAUCACUAGAAUUGUCCGUUCUUCAUUCACUGUUGGGAGGAAAAUAUCAAACUUCCUACUGUCAGAGAUUGUCCUGAGUGCAAUGGCUAUGAUCGGUAUGACAAAUCUGAUCGACGUUAUCACGAUGAUGAUCGGCGAUUUAAUGGGCCGAUUAGAGGGAGAGCGUCUGUCCACGAUCGGCUUGGGGGUAGACUCAGCGUGCAUGACAGGCUCGGCGAUCGUGUUGGAUAUUUCCCCAGGAACCAGGAAGAACUUGAGGAGAUGGCUAAUGCUCGGGUUCCCGAUGAGUUCAUAUUUUGUAGGGAUGCCAAUACUUAUCGGAUGGAGUCAAGGGAAGGUCAUCGCCCACCGGUAAGGCGGCAGCAACUCCCUCCAUGGUGUCCAGAGGGGUUGACCAGGACACAAAAGAGAAGACUGCAGCACGAAAGGCGAGAAGAGCUAAGCAAGGGCGAGAAUUCUGGAUAGUCUGGGGAUCAGCAACAAUCAGAUCCUAAGGGGAAAGGUCCAUCGACAGAUGUCAACAUGGUCUUUAUAUUGCCGAUGGAGUUCCUUGCCCCAUCCAGUGAUGAUGAGUUGGAGUUCUCCGACCAAAUAGCUCAGUUGGCUCUGGAUCCGAUGUCAGCCAUCUUCGAAAAGCCUGCCGAUGAUGAAAGGCAACAUCUUAAGGCUCUGUUUGUCAAGGGAAGAGUUGACGGUCAGCCGAUGACCAAGAUUCUAGUUGAUGGUAGAGCGGCUAUCAAUAUCAUGCCGUAUGCAGUAUAUCAGAAGCUUGGAAAAGGUGAUCAGGAUUUGACCAAGACCGAUAUGAUGCUAAAGGAUUUCAAGGGCAAUGUGUCUCUGGUCAAGGGAGCCAUAUGCGUUGAGUUGACCAUCGGCAGCAAAACCUUGCCGACGACCUUCUUCGUGAUCAGUGGAAAGGGUGCUUAUAACUUAUUGUUAGGAAGAGAUUGGAUUCAUGCCAACUGUUGCAUCCCGUCUACAAUGCACUAGUGCUUGGUCCAGUGGGUAGGUGACAAGAUUGAAAUUGUCCUAGGAGACUCUUCAUAUGUCAUUGCAUCGGCAGAAGUAGACACCUAUGAAAGGACUAGGUGUAUUUCAGGAGAAGCUUGGGAAAAGGAUUUUCUCAAGGUUGCCGAUUAUGAAAUUCCGCCGAUCCAAGCAGUCGGUUCUGAAGAUGGUUUUAAUGGAUAGGUUCGUCGAUGAUGGAAAAUUAGGCCAGGGAUUCACAUCGGUCGAUGAUCUGGUAGAAGUAGAUAUAGGUAGUGAUGAUAAACCUAGACCUACUUUUAUUAGUGCUAAGUUAAAUUCUGAGUGUAAGCAGCAGUUAACUGAUUUGUUAAAGGAAUAUAAACAUUGCUUUGCUUGGGAUUAUACUGAGAUGCCUGGUUUGGACUGGUCAAUUGUUGAAGAUCGGUUGCCUAUCAAGUCUGGGUUUCAGCCACAUCAACAGCCAGCUCGCCGAUGUAAUCCUAAUAUCCUUCCUGAUAUUAAGGCCAAAAUAACCAAACUUAUUGAAGCUAAAUUUAUUCGGCAAUGUCGGUAUGCCGAAUGGAUUUCCAAUGUGGUCCCAGUCUACAAGAAAAAUGGGAAGCUUCGGGUCUGUAUUAAUUUUAGGAAUCUUAACAAAGCUACACCGAUGGUUGGCUACCCAAUGCCAGUUGCCGAUCUGCUAGUUGAUACUGCGGCUGGGCAUCGGAUUAUCAGCUUUAUGGAUGGUAAUGCAGGGUACAACCAAAUAUUCAUGGCUGAAGAAGAUAUUCCCAAGACAGCAUUCAGGUGUCCUGGUCAUGUUGGGUUGUUUGAAUGGAUAGUCAUGACCUUUGGCUUGAAGAACGCUGGUGCUACUUAUCAGAGAGCCAUGAAUUUUAUAUUUCAUGAGUUCAUCGGCAAGGUGGUGGAAAUUUAUAUUGAUGACGUGGUGGUUAAAUCUGGAGAUUUCACAAAGCACCUUGCCGAUUUACGAAAGGUGUUAGAAUGCACAAGGAAGCAUGGUUUGAAAAUGAAUCCCAAUAAGUGUGCAUUUGGUGUAUCGGCAGGACAAUUUCUUGGCUUCAUGGUGCAUCAAAGGGGAAUUUGGUGAGGUCGUUGUCCCGGUCUUCACGACGUAGGAUAACUAGCUGAGGAUCAGCCAAUAACUUGCUGCAAGCAGUGAGGAUAACUAGUGCAACCUGACGACACGCACAAGGAGCCAACCACCGUCUCUAUACGGCAGCCUGAACCAAGGAUUCGCCCAACCACACUCUCAAAGAACCAACCUACGCAACCUGAACUCGAGGAUUAGGAGCACGGAUUGGGUGCCGUUGACGCGGCCGCUUCUGUAAUCUCCGCGAAGGAAAACACAAGAGCAAAGGGGUAGAGAUCUCUCUCUGAAUUUGUUAGCACACAGCUGAACAAAGUGGUUUGUAUUCUCAAUAUCAUAAGUCUUUGAUUACAAUGAGUCUUAGGGGGUAUUUAUACUAGCAACAGCCCUGCUAGAUAGGUAUGAAAACGAAAUAGAGUUUCUGAGGAAAGGCAAUGUGAAAGGUCCCCUCGAAAUGGAUUCCCGAAGUGGCUUCGCGUGACUGUUGGCCUCCAGAGCAGUUUCCAAUAAACUGACCAUAACUUUUUAUUGGGAAGUCCAAAUGAUGAACCGUUUCCUGGGUGUGAAACUAGACUCCAAGAGCUUUCCAGCAAUGUAUGCCAUGCACCACGAAACGCUGUAGAUUGGUACAGUUUUACUUGGCAAGUUGUACCAACAUUCUGUCACGACAGACUGUUGACCUUCUAAGCAGUCUAUACUAAUUCUGGUCUGCAGGCAAUAUGGAGGAUCCAAACUGGUCGCCACUAGAUUCAUUGGAAAGUAGACUUGUCAAGCUUUCGAACAAGUGCUCAUGGGCCUUCAUAGCACCUUGGUAGUGAAAGUUAUGAUCUUUUCUUUCAACUGGUCCGUUCUGCACCGCACUGGUCCGAUCUGCCCUUCUUUCAACUGGUCCGUUCUGCACCGUGUUGUUCCAAUCCUUGCGGUCCAGGUCACCUCCCUCCUUAUGUGUAUACCUAAGCACAACCAAAGUAGAACACUUAGGUAGUAUAAUAUUCUCAUUAACAUUAAUAGAACUCUCACAAAGUAGCGCGUUCACCUCUUGUUGUAGGUUCUUGGCUCGGCUACGUGUAAUUGCUCCAUCAAUGGCUUGGGCUGGUGCCGGCAUAGUCGGUGUAGAGGUUGGCGUGGAAUUAGAGGGAGCAUGCUUGGUUGGGAUGUCCUCAUCAUCCUCCCCCUCUUGAAAAGGAGUCGACCUCGACUCUGAUUCUUCUAAUCCGAAGAAUGGUGUCAAGUCAGCAACAUUGAAGGUUGUGCUAACACCAUAAUCUUCAGGAAGCUCAAUCUUGUAGGCAUUAUCAUUGAUCCUGGACAACACUCUGAAUGGACCAUCUCCCCAUGGCAUCAACUUGGAUUUACGCUUCUCAGGAAAGCAGUCUUUGCGAAGAUGUACCCACACUAAAUCUCCGGGCUCAAAUAUCACCUUCUUGCGAUGCUUGUUUGGUCUUCUCAUCUUUGGCCAGUAGAAGUGAUCAGCUAGCAUAUCAUAUGUCUUUCUCCAUCCAAAGUGACCCAUCAAUCCACCUGCAUGUGUUUCCUGUAGCAACAAAAGCCUAACAGAGCAGUGGGGUACACACAAUUUGUUAGCUCGAAACAAAAAUCCAUCAUGUAUAUGAUAUUUUCCCCACCCUUUUCCAGUUGUACAGUUUGCAAAUGGUUCUGAAAAUUCAUGAUCAGUAGGGUACAAUUCUUUUAUGCUUUCAAGUCCUGGAACCUUGACAUCUAGUUGAUUCAACAAAACAUUUUUACGUGACAAAGCAUCAGCAACAAUGUUUUCUUUACCUUUCUUAUAUUUCACAACAUAUGGAAAAGUUUCAAUGAAUUCAACCCAUUUGGCAUGUCUACGAUUCAGUUUUGCUUGCCCCUUUAAAUAUUUCAAAGCCUCAUGAUCUGAAUGAAUAACAAAUUCUUUUGGCCAUAAAUAAUGUUGCCAAGUCUCAAGAGCUCUUACCAAAGCAUACAAUUCUUUGUCAUACACCGAGUAGUUCAGUUGCGCACCUCCUAACUUCUCACUGAAGUAUGCAACCGGCUGUCCAUUUUGCAUUAGGACACCAUCGAUUCCGAUCCCACUUGCAUCACAUUCAACCUCAAAGGUUUUAGUGAAAUCCGGUAACACCAGCAAGGGCGCUUCGGAUAGCAUCUUCUUCAAUUCUUGGAAUGCUCUGUCUUGUGGUUCACCCCAUGGAAGGAAACACCUUUCUUUNNNNNNNNNNNNNNNNNNNNNNNNNNNNNNNNNNNNNNNNNNNNNNNNNNNNNNNNNNNNNNNNNNNNNNNNNNNNNNNNNNNNNNNNNNNNNNNNNNNNNNNNNNNNNNNNNNNNNNNNNNNNNNNNNNNNNNNNNNNNNNNNNNNNNNNNNNNNNNNNNNNNNNNNNNNNNNNNNNNNNNNNNNNNNNNNNNNNNNNNNNNNNNNNNNNNNNNNNNNNNNNNNNNNNNNNNNNNNNNNNNNNNNNNNNNNNNNNNNNNNNNNNNNNNNNNNNNNNNNNNNNNNNNNNNNNNNNNNNNNNNNNNNNNNNNNNNNNNNNNNNNNNNNNNNNNNNNNNNNNNNNNNNNNNNNNNNNNNNNNNNNNNNNNNNNNNNNNNNNNNNNNNNNNNNNNNNNNNNNNNNNNNNNNNNNNNNNNNNNNNNNNNNNNNNNNNNNNNNNNNNNNNNNNNNNNNNNNNNNNNNNNNNNNNNNNNNNNNNNNNNNNNNNNNNNNNNNNNNNNNNNNNNNNNNNNNNNNNNNNNNNCUCUUUUUCUGUCAUCUCUCAUGUUUGGCUUGUGGCUCUCACUCACUGAUUUGUGGAGGGCACUCAAAUUAUUUUUCUCUCCUUCUUUUGUACUCUCAUUCCUCACUUCGGAGUUCUUUUGCAAGUGCUCAGCUAGGAUUUGCCGCGGUGUCAUGGGUUUAAGAAUCAACUCCUUGUUCUUCCACUUGAUGGUGUAUUGAUUGGUUCUACCACAAUGUAGAGACGAUCGAUCAUAUUGCCAUGGUCUUCCCAAAAGCAUGUGGCACACUGUCAUAGGCGCCACAUCACACUCUACAGUGUCAAUAUAUUCACCAAUCUUGAAUAGAACUUUCACUCUUUGUGAAAUCUUAAUAGAACCUGAAUUAUUAAGCCAUUGCACAUGAUAUGGAUGGGGAUGUUUCAGCAGCUUCAACCCAAGGUUUUCAACCAUUUCUUUGCUUGCAAGAUUGUGGCAACUGCCUCCAUCAAUGAUCACUUUGACAACCUUAUCUUGCACUUUAGCUCUAGUCUGAAAAAGAUUGUGCCGCUGCCCAUUUUCAGCAUCGCUCAUUUGUACACUCAAAAUCUGAGUUACAACAAGAGCAGCACCAGAUUCAAAUUCACAGUUGUCCUUCUCAAGAUUACUCUCACUUCCACUAUCUUCUUGUUCUUCCUCACUAGCAGAUUCAUACUCCCCUUGAUCAUUCACAAUGAUGGUUCUAGCGUUUGGACACUCUCUUGCAACAUGACCACGACCACCACACAUGAAGCACUGAAUUCCACUACUCUUGCUGGAAGAACCCACUGAGUUUGCUGAUUUGAAUUUCUCAUUUUGAGCAGCCAACUCUUUGCUACUAGAAGAACCAAGGUUGCUAGAUCGUGCACCACCGUUUGAGCUGGAAAAUGUACCUUUACUUCCACUUCCUUUGGGUGCAAAUUUACUUCCACUUGCUGCACUCUUUGUACAGAAAGAUACUCCUCUAGUGGACUUCAUAUCCUGCUGCAAUUGCCGCUCAGCUUUGCUAGCUUGAUGCACCAAUUCAACAAGAUUACGAUAUUGCUGAAAUUCAACAAUACGCUGAAUAUUCCGAUGCAGCCCUGACAUAAAUCUUGCAAUUGUUUGCUCUUCAUCUUCAAUUACAUUGGCUCUAAUCAUCGCCUUCUCCAUCUCUUUAUAAUACUCAUCAACACUGAGGCUUCCUUGCUUCAUCUGUAGCUUGUCAAAUAAAUCACGGCGAUAAUGUUUGGGGACAAAUCUUGCUCUCAAUUCUCUCUUCAUUUCAGCCCAUGAACGAACAUCACCUUGACCAGCUUCUUCUCUUUCAUUCAACAUUUGCUCCCACCAGAUUAGAGCAUACCCAUCGAACUCAAGAGCAGCCAUGGCAACCUUCUUUCUCUCAGAAUAAUUAUGCACACGAAAAAUUUUAUCCACCUUCAACUCCCAUGUAAGAUAUGCUUCAGGAUCAGAUCAUCCUUCAAACUAGGGCAUGGUGAAUUUUAACUUGCCAAACCUCUCUUCAUUGUGCUGAUUACGCCUACGAUUUCUUCAGUGACGACGAUCAUCAUAAUGGGGCUGUUCAUCCUCUUCUUCAGUUUCACUUUCUUCCAAUCCAAUACCUCUCCCAUGUCCAUGACUAGCACCUCUACCACCAUGAUCACGUCGUGGAAAAGGAGGUCUUCUUGCAUUGGCAGCAGCUCGCUCUCUACGCCGUUCCCUUGCACGACGAGCAGCUUCUCCUUCGCUUUCUUCAACUUCAUCUUCAUGGUGACUGCCAUUUGCAUUAUCAUGAGGAUGAAUUUGCAACCGGUUUAUGAGUGCUUGAACAUUGUUUGUUAGCGUCUCCAUGCUUUGUUUCAUCUCAUUGAAUUGUGCCAUGGUGACACAAUCAUCAAUCUCCGGAUGCUCAGUCAUCUUGCUGUAAAAAAUUAGUGAAGGCAAAGCAACAAUAUAUGUAGAAUAGGGAAUUAUAUGUGGAAUCUCACAAUCUCACCUCUCUUACCAACCGAAGCUCAUGUGAGUUCCCCGCAGAUUACAACGGCCAAUGCGAGGUGGUAACCGAGAAUGAUGGUUGGGAGAAUCCAAGAUUAGUAUUUUCCUAUGACGGUGGGUUAUUUGUGGAGCUUGGUGGGGAUAUAUUUCACAAGGAAUGCAAUCUGAAUUCUUGAUAUUGUAAAGUUAAACCACAAUCCAAACUAGAAGUUCAAUGCCUAGUGCUGACCACAAGAUAUGAGUGAUGUAAAUAGAUCAAACACACGCGCAAAGAUAUUUCAGAUUUGAUGCAAACAAGGAGUAUGCCUAGGAUGCAAGUGUUGCAAUCAAACCCAAGCAAAAUUUUGCACCGAAGAUGGAUAAUGACUGAUUGUGUGACUUGAUAUAAAAUUCAGAACUUGAGCACAUAAACAGAGUGAACUUUCUACUCUUUCUUCACAACUUUUCUUCCUCAACUUUCCUCUUUUUUUUCACUUUCCUUUUUUUUGAUACUUUUUUUAUAACUAAGAACAAGAGCAGAUAUAACACUUACAGACACUUUUUUUUUGAAACAAGACACAACCGUCAGCGUUCUAACUUGAUAGGCUCAAAGUUUACGCGAAGGAUGAUACUGGUUUCAGAUUUUCUUUAGGGAUUUGUAGAUAUAAAAGAGGCACAAAGGACACACAAAGGAUAUGAUGAUCAGCAACUAAACAAAACUCUAAUGGACUGAAACUUAACCAAACUCACAAGAAAAACAGAUUGAAACAAAGGGCUAAUGGAAUUUUUUUUAUGGCUUUUUGGUGGAUAGGACGAACAAGAUAUAUAUAUGUAGCUAAGGGUAAAAAUCCUACCGUGGAAACUUGAGCUUUGAUACCAGAUGGUGAGGUCGUUGUCCCGAUCUUCACGACGUAGGAUAAUUAGCUGAGGAUUAGCCAAUAACUUGCUGCAAGCAGCGAGGAUAACUAGUGCAACCUGACGACACGCACAAGGAGCCAACCACCGUCUUUAUACGGCAGCCUGAACCAAGGAUUCGCCCAACCACACUCUCAAAGAACUAACCUACGCAACCUGAACUCGAGGAUCAGGAGCACGGAUUGGGUGCUGAUGACGCGGCCGCUUCUAUAAUCUCCGCGAAGGAAAACACAAGAGCAAAGGGGUAGAGAUCUCUCUCUGAAUUUGUUAGCACACAGCUGAACAAAGUGGUUUGUAUUCUCAAUAUCAUAAGUCUUUGAUUACAAUGAGUCUUAGGGGGUAUUUAUACUAGCAACAGCCCUGCUAGAUAGGUAUGAAAAUGAAAUAGAGUUUCUGAGGAAAGGCAAUGUGAAAGGUCCCCUCGAAAUGGAUUUCCGAAGUGGCUUCGCGUGACUGUUGGCCUCCAGAGCAGUUUCCAAUAAACUGACCAUAACUUUCUAUUGGGAAGUCCAAAUGAUGAACCGUUUCCUGGUUGGAAACUAGACUCCAAGAGCAUUCCAGCAAUGUAUGCCAUGCACCACGAAACGCUGUAGAUUGGUACAGUUUUACUUGGCAAGUUGUACCAACAUUCUGUCACGACAGACUGUUGACCUUCUGAGCAGUCUAUACUAAUUCUGGUCUGCAGGCAAUAUGGAGGAUCCAAACUGGUCGCCACUAGAUUCAUUGGAAAGUAGACUUGUCAAGCUUUCCAACAAGUGCUCAUGGGCCUUCAUAGCACCUUGGUAGUGAAAGUUAUGAUCUUUUCUUUCAACUGGUCCGUUCUGCACCGCACUGGUCCGAUCUGCCCUUCUUUCAACUGGUCCGUUCUGCACCGUGUUGUUCCAAUCCUUGCGGUCCAGGUCACCUCCCUCCUUAUGUGUAUACCUAAGCACAACCAAAGUAGAACGCUUAGGUAGUAUAAUAUUCUCAUUAACAUUAAUAGAACUCUCACAAAGUAGCGCGUUCACCUCUUGUUGUAGCUUCUUGGCUCGGCUACGUGUAAUUGCUCCAUCAAUGGCUUGGGCUAGUGCCGGCGUAGUCGGUGUAGAGGUUGGCGUGGAAUUAGAGGGAGCAUGCUUGGUUGGGAUGUCCUCAUCAGAAUUGAAAUUAGUCGAAGAUCCAUUGAUGCUAUCAACAAGAUAGUUGCUCCUACCAACAAGACUGAGCUCCAGUCCUUGAUCGGCAAGGUAAAUUUUAUCAGGAGGUUUAUAUCUAAUUUGUCUGGUAAAAUUCAUGCUUUUAGUCCUUUGCUCAAGUUGAAGGCCGGUCAAGAAUUUGUUUGGGGGAAGGAACAACAGUUGGCUUUAGACGAGAUCAAGAAUUAUCUGGUAAACCCUCCGGUUCUGAUUCCACCUCAGCAGGGGAAGCCCUUCAGAUUGUAUUUGUCUACCGAUGGGAUGGUCAUCGGUUCAGCUUUAAUUCAAGAGUUUGAAGGGAAGGAACGUGUGAUUUACUAUUUAAGCAGGAGGUUGAUUGAUGCUGAAACCAGGUAUUCGGCCAUUGAAAAACUAUGUUUGUGCUUAUACUUCUCCUGUAUUAAGUUAAGGCAUUAUUUGCUAUCGGCCGAAUGCACGGUUAUCUGCAAAGAUGAUGUGGUCCGAUACAUGCUGUCUAUGCCGAUCAUGAGUGGCAGGAUCGGUAAGUGGAUUUUAGCGCUGUCAGAAUUCGAUCUGCGAUACGAAUCGGCCAAAGCGGUUAAGGGGCAGAUUAUGGCCGAUUUUGUAACUCAACAUUGCGGUGCAGUGGAGGCUUUGGAAAUUGUACCUUGGACGCUCUUCUUUGAUGGAUCCACAUGUGACCGGGGGGCAGGAAUCGGCAUCGUGUUAAUUUCCCCGAUGAAUUCUCCUUGCCGAUUGUUGCCACGUCUACGAAUAAUCAAGCUGAGUAUAAAGCUUUAAUAAAGGGUUUGGAAUUGCUGAGGGAAGUUCGUGCUGACGCUGUUGAAGUAUUCGGGGAUUCUAUGCUGGUUAUAAAUCAAUUGGCUGGAAGCUAUGAAUGCCGAAGUGAAGUCCUCAUAACUUAUUACGAAAGGAGUAUGCAACUAUUAAAGGAAUUCAAGGAUUUCCGUUUAGAGCAUGUUCCUUGAUUACAUAAUGAAGAGGCUAAUCGGUUGGCUCAGCAUGCCUCGGGAUAUCAGCCCAUGAUUAAUGCAAUAUCGGCAAUCGGUGCCGAUGAUUGGAGGAAAGAAAUCAUUGAUUAUUUGAAGGAUCCAUCUAAGAAAGUUGAGAGGCGUGUUCGGUUUCAAGCUACCAAGUAUGUGCUCCUUGAAGAUGAAUUAUAUUACCGAACUAUUGAUGGGAUUCUUCUUAGAUGCUUAGGUGAUGAUGAGGCUAAGAGUUUGAUGGGAGAAACCCACGAGGGAGUAUGUGGAGCGCAUCAGUCGGCUUUUAAGAUGAAGUGGAUGAUUAGAAGAAAUGGGUAUUAUUGGCCGACUAUACUUGAAGAUUGUUUCAAGUAUUUUAAGGGGUGUCAUGGAUGUCAGAAAUUUGGCAAUAUCCAAAGAGCACCUGCAUCAGCUAUGAAUCCUAUCAUCAAGCCGUGGCCGUUCCGAGGAUGGGCUAUUGAUUUGAUCGGCCAGAUUUAUCCACCAUCCAGCAAAGGACAUAAAUUUAUUCUAGUUGCUACCGAUUAUUUUACCAAAUGGGUUGAAGCUAUUCCUUUGAAGAGAGUUACAUCGGCCAAUAUGAUUGAUUUUGUGAAAGAGCACAUCAUCUACCGAUUUGGGAUUCCUCAAACAAUUACUACCGAUCAGGUUACUAUGUUCACAUCGGGGGAGUUUGAUGAAUUCACAAUCGGUAUGGGAAUUAAAGUGUUAAACUCUUCUCCUUAUUAUGCUCAAGCUAAUGGGCAGGCCAAGGCAUCUAACAAAGGAAUUAUCAAGCUUAUCAAACGGAAGAUUGAAGAAAAUCCUAGGAGGUGGCACACAUUGUUAAAUGAGGCUUUAUGGUCAUACCGAAUGGCUUGUCAUGGAUCGACUAAGGUUUUGCCUUAUCAGUUGGUAUAUGGGCAUGAUGCAGUGUUACCUUGGGAAAUUAAGACUGGAUCUAGGCGGCUAUCUUUUCAGGAUCAGUUGACUGCCGAUGACUAUGCUACUUUGAUGACAGACGAGUUGGAUGAUCUAGCAGGGCAUCGGCUAAAGGCUUUGAUGAGUAUAGAAGAGAAUAAGAAGAGAGUUGCCAGAUGGUAUGAUAAGAAAGUGAAGGCUAAGGAGUUUGCCGAUGGAGACUUGGUAUGGAAAUUGAUCUUACGGAUCGAGACUAAAAGUUCAGAAUUUGGGAAGUCGUCUCCCAAUUGGGAAGGUCCCUAUCAGAUAAGUCGAUCGGCUCCUGGUAAUGCCUACAUUUUAGAAACUCUCGAAGGAGUUGAAUUUCCCAGAGCAUUAAAUGGCAAAUAUCUAAAGAAGUAUUACCCAAGCAUAUGGGUCGAUGCAUAAAAGUUUAAGUCCCGAUAACAAUCUUAUCGGCUGGAUCAAAAUGUGUCUGGGGCCAGACUUAGUGUUUUAAAAAUGCCGAUAACAGUCCUAUCGGCUAGACUAAAUGUCAGGAAGAUUGGAAAGCAGAAAGGGGCAAGUGUGUUGCCGAUGAAGAGCUCACAUGUUUAGCAGCGCCUGGAUCGCCGAUAUGGCGUGCAAACGAAUUUGGUUGGCUGCUUCUAUCUCUUUGAUGUCUUCAUCGGCACAGCCUUCCACCGGCUUCAACUUCUUCUUCAGAAGCAGCGCUUUACGACCAUGGACAUUUCGCUCUUAAUCAAGGAGCUUAAUCGCCUCGGGCAGCUGGUUUUCCUCUUGUUGAGCCUGGGACAUGGCUUCUUCCACUUGCUUGAGCUCUGCCAGCAGGGCUUCUCUUUUUGCUGACAGAUCGGAGAUCUUGUGCUUAAGUGCAUCCCCUGAGGACUUCAAGGCGCCAAUGUUCUUAUGCUUCUCAUCGGUAAGAAGCUUUGCUUUCAUCAUCUCCUCAGAAAGCUGAGUCUGAGCCGCUCUAUCGGCAAGGCGCUGGGCAGCCCUCUGGUACUGCAGUAGACGGCUUUCCAGAUGUGCUACUUGGAAGAGAACUUCUUCAGCGUCGGCAGGGAUUUGGCCUCUCAGGGUCUUGAAUAAAGCCUUGGCCGGAUCAGAGUCAUCAACUAGUUGGGCUGUGUCUUGAUGGAGGAGAGCCGACAGUUCUUCCAGCUUCGCCCUGAUUUCUGCCGAUGUGAUCUGACUGCCUGGGAAGAACUUGCUUCCUCACCUUCGUCUUCAGAGAUGUCAAUGGCGAAGGAGAACAGACUGUCGGGAGAAUCCUGUUCCUGAAAAGGGGAUAAAGUGAGUCAUUCCAUGGUCAAGUGUUGACAAAUACCGAUGGAGAUUGGAUGACUUACUUGUUUCAAGGCAAUCUCUCGCCUUUGACUGGAAGAUGCCGGUGGAACUAUAGGCUGAUCGGCUGGAGUUGCCGAUGGGACUAUGUCGGCUGAAAAAUAACAGAAAUAAUUAUAAGACAGAGAAGACAAGUUCAUCGGCAAUAAUUUCAUGAAAGUAUGUUACCUUGAGGGGGAGCAGUACUUGUCUGGAUGGAAGAAACCACCGAUGCUAUAAUGGAACCAGCUGGAUCGGUAGUUUGUUCGUGCACGUCAGCCGAUAUGUCUUCUGGCUGAGGUACUUCUGAUUGAGGCUCUUCUGGUUGGGGCUCUUCCGUUCGUGGUGCUCCUUGCAGUUGAGAGGGAGAUGGUACUUGUUGCAUUUGGACUUCUGGGGAGGAAGGAGAGGAUUCCACGGAAUUGGUGAUACCGGGGGAGGGGAAGGCGUUGCUACUCUUUGGCACUUUGCUCGUGCUCUGGUACUCUUGGCACCUUUUCUCUUCAGCUGACUGGACUGGGGGGCAUCGGCACUUGUGCUUCUGGUCUUUGCUGAUGCACCGGUAUGCUGGUACAAGAAGAAGAUUUGUGAGUACAAGUGUAACAGAUGCGAAAAGUGAAAUCGGUAUGGAAAAGUUUGAGAAUUUACCUUGAAUGCCUGUGCCAAGGUAGAGGCAGCUACCGAAGGAGAUGCCUUGGCCCUCUUGGUGGUUACUUUCUUGAGACGCACACCUCGAUGCAUAAUGGCAGCCAGAGUGGGAGCGUUGUUGCCGAUUGAAGAGAUCGGACCUGAUGGGAACAGAUCAAUCGGCUUGCCGCUCCUGCUGACUGAUGGGGGAAUGUCAUCAACCUGCAACAUGACACCAGGAGUAAGUUACCGAUGAAAAUAAGAAUAAAAGGAUUAGAACGUCGGUUUGGAGGUACUUACAGUAUCAUCGGGGACUUUGUACUGAGGAUCGAUCAUGCCGCGGUAUGUGAGGGACGAUCUGCAGAACAAGUGCUCCUUCCACUCCUCUCACCAUUGCUUGUAUGCCUGGGUAAAAAAGAGGGCUGGAACCCACUCUGACAGAUCUACAUCUAUAUCGGCAUUCGGUGCUAGCUGGGCUACUCGGAUCCACUCGAGGAGGUUAGUGAUGAUUUCCCUGGGUUUUAUCACAUCGGCAUAACAUAGUGCGAUCGGCAGCUGGCCAAAGGCUAAUUGACAGGCUAGUGCCGAUGGGUUGUAGAACUCGUAGGUUUGGUUGGAGGUUUUCCCACUGCCGAAGAAGUUCACUGGUAUAACUCUGGGGGUGAUCAGUGCCAUCAUCACUUCGUCAUCCUUGUUAAGAGCAUUGUUGAAUGGAUGGAAGACCAAAGAGAACAUGGUGUCUGGAUCUUCAUAGGGCAUCCAUGCUCGCUGAUCCCUGGGUUGGCCUUCAUACAGGGUUUGGAAGAAUCGGCUGACCUGGUCUGCAUUGCCUCCUGUACUGGGCAGAACUAUGGCAGCCUCGCCAAAGUUUAGAGGAGGGCGAGUUGCCGAUUCUUCUUCAUCCAGUUCAUAGUCCUCGGCUAUAUCCCUGGGGAAGCGCUGUGUGAAGAGGUCAAACUCCAGACUCUUGUGCAUGUGGAGGCUGAGCCACAUGUUGAUAAACCACCAGGGACCCCCCAAGUUGCCGAUGGGCUCGCCGAGUAGAAGUUUCUUGGUUACCUGAUGAAGGAGGUGGUAGGCUGCGCCAAGCAGGUAUCGGCAGAGGGGAAAUCGGCCACCAUUGGCUAAUCUUUCUGCUGCAGCUAGGUAGACGGAAGUUGGUCCUGCUGAUCGACCACAAAAUACAAAUUUGUCCAACCACAUGUUCAGGAAACUGGUUUGUUCCUUUAUGUUGACAGGACCUGUUCGUUUGUAUUUUUGGAUGUAUCCUGACCAGCCGCCGAUGGAGCGAGUUUCUACCUUGGCACUGGGUGCAGUAUCGAAAAAGUGGGUGCUAUCGGCAGAAGAUACAUCCAGGCCGGUGAGCAUAACCACAUCGGCAAGUGUAGGGAAGCAGGGCCGUGACCAAAGACGAAAGCAUUGAGUGUGUCCGACCAGAAAUAAGAUGCAGCGAUCAGCAGAGAUUCAUUCCUGUGCACAUCGGCAAUGGACAGCCUGAUGCAUUGGUCCAGUUUUCGCUCACCCCAUUGGACCUCAUUCGAAUGGCUAACCUUCAAGAACCAGUCUUUCCAUCCCACAGUAAAACUGGGCCAGGAACGGAAAGUGUCUUUCCACAGAUUCAAGGAAAAAUUCUCGGCUCUAAAAGGGAUCCUAUUUGUUUCUGCGUUAAUCAAAUCUGUGGGAUCUGGGUUCCCUAGCGGACCAAGACAUCGGAGGUGUGGCUGAUCGGUAGGGAUGACUAUUUUGUUGGACAGAUCCUAAUAGUUUUGGGUAUAAAAGAAGAACAAAAACAAAAAGAGAAAAAAGGAGGAUGUUCAGUAAAGUAAAUCAUAGAUGAACCAGGACAUGGUAAAAGUACACGAGAUGGGGUGUUGAGCUAACCUCCGGGACGGUGAAGUUGAUGGCCAUUUUCCUCGCAAGGAAGAAGAUUGAAGGCUUCGAGACUGGUGGAGAAAAGCCUUUGCUGGAGUUCUUGGAGCUCUUGAACAGCGCCGCCGCUAGAGAACAGAGUUGGGGCUAUAGAAUGAGGUGGUGGAGAAGGAGUACCCGAGAAGGAAGCGGUCGUGAUCUAGGAAUAUUUGACAGGAAGCGGUCGUGAUCUAGGAAUAUUUUACUGUGCGAGAUUUCCUAGUCGGUCCAUCGGUAGUGCCUUGCAACGGUAAUAUUGCCAAUGGAUGGAUAGAGUGGAGAUAUCGGUAACAUUGCCGAUGGGCGGUUGAAAUGGAGAUGUCCGUUUAGGAAGUUGAGGAUUUCGAGGAAUCUGCAGAGGAAUAGGAUCAGAGUUGUUUAGAUUGAGGCUGUCGGUUACCAAAUUGGGAGCAUUAAUCGCGGAAAGGCAUCAUUACUGUGGAAAAUUUCAGAGCAUUAAUGUUUUCAUACUCCGAAAUUGGGGGGCAUGUGUUGACACCGUUUUUGGACACGUAUCCGGGAUCGGUAGGAUGUGAAUCGGCAAGACAGGGUAAUAGUCAUUGAUCUGCAGGAAGGUUGCCGAUGGAGAUGGUUGCCGAUGAAGAGAUAGCCGAAUAUGACUAAGUUCAUAGGUGGUGAUGUGUUUGUGCCGAUGGUCGGUAUUAACUCGUGCCGAUGGCUAUGAUAAGGAGGUCUGCCGAUGAUGCAGAAGAAAGACCUGAAGGUUGCCGAUUUGCCAGUGGAGGUGUCCUAGUUUGUCGUGGCAGGAUAGUUUUAUGUUUUCCUUAGUUAUUUAAAUCAUUUUGUACACGGAUUCUGUUUAAAUUUGGAAUUCGAGUUCUAGUCGUGUCUGGUUGUAGCUCUUUGAGCAGGGUAUAAAUGUAGACCCUAGGGCAUUGUAAUACAGACAUCUAUCAAUCAAUCAAACACCAGUUUUUACUCAUAUUCCAGCAUCUACUUUUCGACGACUUCGUCAUACUUUUUCCUUUUUAUUACGAGUUUUUAGGAAUUCGUCGACUUAAGCUCGGCGUGUUCUCAAGUUCCAUGUGAAUACCUCUUGGCCGUGGCAUCCGGGCGCAUCGCUCUUGUCGGGACCAAAGUAUUUGAGUUACCACCUUUGCCGAUAGUAAGGUCAAAUCGGCUAGCACGCCUUAACGUUUAAAUCGGGUAUCAGCGCUUUGUGUUUGCAGAUCUAGCUUUUGCACCAAUAACAUCAUGCAUCUUUGAAAAGAAGUUGGUGCAUUACAUAACCCAAAAGACAUUCUACGGUAGGCAUAAGUUCCGUAUGGGCAUGUAAAAGUGGUUUUGCUUUGAUCAUCGGGAUGAAUCGGGAUCUGGUGAUACCCUGAAUAUCCAUCUAAGAAACAAAAGAACGAAUGGUUCGCUAAUCGCGCUAGCAUCUCAUCUAUGAAAGGUAAAGGAAAAUGAUCCUUUUUCGUGGCUUUGUUUAGUUUUCUGUAGUCUAUGCACAUCCGCCACCCUGUGACGGUGCGUUGCAGAAUUAGCUUGUUCUUUUCAUUCGUAACAAGAGUCAUGCCUCCCUUUUUAGGCACAACUUGGACUGGGCUCACCCACUCACUGUGCGGCACAGGAUAUAUAAUCCCUGCAUGCAGCAACUUUAUAACUUCCUUUUUAACUACCUCUCUCAUUGCGUUGUUAAGUCUAUGUUGGGGCUCUCGAGAAGGUGAAACAGAAGGAUCUAUCGGAAUACGAUGGGUACAAAUCAUAGGACUGAUUCCUGUAAGAUGUUGGAGUGAGUAGCCAAAAACUGAGUGAUGUUUCUCAAGAAUGGUCAUCAAUCGCAGAGUUUGCUCCUAAGUGAGUUUAUCACUAAUGAUCAGAGGAAACUCUGGAUUAUUGCUUAGGAAAGCAUAGAUAAGACCGGGUGGUAAAGUUUUAAGCUCUAUUGGAGGUCUAGGUGUUUUUGCAAACUCGUCUAAGGGUUCAGGUUCAGAAGGUUCGGCUUCUUCUUCUAUGAAGAAAGGAGCUUCUUCUUCUAAGUCUGGUUCUUCUAAAAGCUCUAGAGAUGCAGCCUUUACCUCCUCCAUAGGAUCGGGCAAUAGAUAUGACUCGGUUCUUAUUAUUUAAGGAGUGAGAAAUCGUUAUUGGAAAUUUAAAAGUUUUUCCAAAUGAAAUGUGUAGCUUUCUAGUAUGACCUUCAUAAAGGAGUCUUCUAAAAGGUUGUCCUAUCAAUAGGUCGAAGUCCCAUGUAUCAAAGAUAUAGAACUUCAAAUGAACCAUGGAGCCUUCUACCAUAAGAGGUAGGACAUUAAUAAUUCCAAGACUGGGGACUAAUUGUCCCAAAGAUUCCUUUAUGAUCUUUGUUGUGGGGGUUAAGACCAAAUUUUUUAAUAAUUUAAGUGCAAAAGAUUCAGACAUGAUGUUGAUCCCCACAACAGGAUUAUAGAGAGCAUCAAAUUGAUCAGAAUCAUAAGCACAGCGUAUAGUUAUAGGAGGUGUGUCUAACAGAUGACAUCAGAGGAAAGCUCUGACUCCUCCAACCAUUCGCUACUCAUGACUGUGAUAAGCUCUCUCAAUUGAUGUUCAGUUGGCAAACAAAUGCUAAAAUGGCUGUUUUGGGGUCUGUCAAUAGAAUGGUAGUUUGAAAUGUUUCCAAAAUCGGCAAAAAGAUCAGAUUCUAUAUCCAGCAUGAAAUCAGGUGGUGGAAUUUCUUCCUUUUGUGGCUCAGAACUUAGGAUAGCUAAAGUAGAUGGAGAAUUUGAUAGAGUGCCUACUUCGGCUUCGUGGGUUUCAUCAUUUAGGGUAUUAUCCAUCUCAGCUUCUAGGAUUCUAUCUAGUUUCACUCUAGCGUCAUCAGUAGGGAUGCGAAAGAAGGAACCACUAGACAUUGUAUGUAGCAUUUGUUUAUGAUCUUUCUGAAGACCUCGAAAAAAGUGAAAUAAAAGAACAGGGUCUUCAAGAUUAAGGUUUGGACCAGAUUCUAAAAAAUCAGAAAAACGUUUCCAGGAUUUUCCCAAAGUUUCAUUAUCUUUUUGUUUAAAAGAUAGGACUUCGAGUCUAAGGUCAACGAUAUGGUCGAGGGUAUAAAAAUCUAGACAAAAUUUGGCUCGUAAGACUCCCCAUUCACCUCGUUGUUGACUUACCUUCUGACUAUACCAUCGUCUAGCUUCUCCCCUUAAAGAAAAAGGAAAAAGCUUCCAACAUAAAGUCUUAUCAGAAAUGCCUUCAAUGCGAAGACAAUCACAAGUUUGCUCAAAAUCUCUAAUAUGAAGGUAAGGGUUUUCGUCUUCCUUUCCUGAAAAAGAUAAGUUUUGAAUCAUGGCAAUCAACCUCGAACUUAACCUAUACUGGGAUGUUUGGAUAGGCUAUGAUGACUCCCAUGGUAAAAGGUCAGUUUCCAAAGGUGUUGCAAAUUGAUAGAUUGAUUUAGAAUCUUGGUUUUCCAUAAGGUAAGAGUAAGAAAAAUAAAGAAUAUAAAAAGAUAAGAAAAGGUAAAAGUAUAAAUACAAGCUAGUAGUAAGACUCAAGGUUAUCUCAGCAAACCGUCUUUCUCCCCGGCAACGGCGCCAGAAAUGCUUGUUGAUAUUUGGUAACGCAAUCAGAAUUAAUCCGCAAGCGCACAGAUAUCGGUGAGCACUUCACCUGGGAUGUUAUCCAGGGUAUCGUAUUUAUAUUUUUACCACUAAGAGAAAGUGUGCAUCUGACUAACCUAGUCUAUUACUACUAACCUUUAGGCUAGAAACUAUGUGAUUUGAUGUGAGCAAUGUAUAGAGAAGAAUACAACUGCACUCUCGUUCUAACCUUGGUAAGGAUGAUCUACUGUUCUGUUGGGGUGGCUCACGGAAUCUAGACACCACAAAGGAUGUUCGACCCGCACCUAUAAACCCUAUCGAGCCUGCUAACGUGAUAUGGGCUACAAAGGUAACUCGGAAAUGUCACGUUCCUCGCUACUACCACGGUCCAGCUAGUCAGGGGAUAUCUAUGAGUAUCCUAGCCCAAACACCACGUUUACGCUAGAGAUGAUUACUCUAAACUCUACGCGAAGAGAUCAAAGUAAACUCAUAAACCAAAGAACAAUAAAACAAAGAACUUACUAGAAUUUAGAUGUUGAAAUACUGAAGAAUCCUAGGAGCAAGCCUCGGGUUAGGAGACUUGAUCCCGCAGGAACAACCUCGGAGUAGACACCGACAGGCCGGGCUUCCUCCGAUCUACACCUCCAGCCUAUCUCUCUCAAUCUAGUAGAACUAAUUCUACUCUCACAUUGGAUGCUACGCCCUAUGAGGUGGGAACCCUAAGGAUCCUCUCUCUCUGAAUCCUCUCUGGAAGAAAAGCUAAUGAAUAAUUGGAUUCUAUCUCUGCAGGGGCCAGGGGCCUUGCUUAUAUAGCCUUUUCAAAUGAAUCUGGGCCGUAGGAUCAAACCGAUAUUGAUUGAACGGUUCUCCUUGAUCCUUUACGUCGGUGGAGCAUAAUCCACGAGGUUGAACGUGAUUGGCCACCUGAGGUGGGCGGGCGCCCAAGGGGGGAGGGCGGGCGCCCUGCCCCCGGGCCCGAUCGGCCUCCCAUUCAUUCCCGUGGCUUCUGGAGUCUUCUAGAUGUUGAAUAAUUGUGCGGCAUGUUAAUAUCUCUAUGUAAACCCGACAUGUGGGCCUUUCUUCCAUAUUUCCUGAUAACCCCCUGUAGAAAUAGAUAAACAACAAAACUCGUGGAAUUCUGUCAAAUCAAACCCUAAUUCUAGGUAUUGCUUGUAUAUUGGUCCUUUCCCUUGUUUAUUUGAUGAUUAAAAUUGAUACUUAAGAACAGUCAACGCACCUUACCAAAAGAUCAUAGUCUUGCUCACCAAAAUGGGUACCAGCACGAUGUUGCUAAAAUCUCAUCAAGAGCCUAAGUUUUGGAGAUUACUGGUUAGUGCGGAUGGUCAUUAACUCAGAAAUCCGACCAUCAAUUACUAUCAAAAGUAGGGAAAUUUGGCAAGCCAACAUCACAUAUGCAUUUAUUUCUAACCUAGUUCCACAUGUAUUUGGAAGAUUGUAUUUUUUACAGGAUAUAUGCACAAAUACAUGAGAACACUACAAGGCGCUUUUCCAACGCAUGAUUACACUAUCAAAUAACCAAGACGUCAAGUGAAGUUUCUCUAGAGCAAUUACCCUUGACGCAGCCCUCAUGAGAAGAGGUCCAAGGUCCAAUAUGUGAAGCUGGAGGCCGAGGGGCGCCACCUAGGAACCAGCCGGUCCCUUGGGCCGGACGGCCCCUGGCUGAGCCCCCUCAGCACCGCCUUUGUUGUGCGGCUGCAUGGCACUCCCUGGGGUUGGGUGCUUAUGCGUAGAUUGUGGGAGAGCACCGCCUCACUCAGCUGUAUAAAUAGGGGGCCAUACUCCCCUCUCAACACACACCAACACUUGAGCCAUUCUCCAUCUCCACUCUCUAGUUGUAGUUCUUUUAUUUUCUUGUUAGUAGAAGAGUAAGGCAAAGCUACCUUGGAGAGCUUGACUCCUUGGAAGAAGGCCACUUGGGGUAUGAAUAGAAUCAUGAGUUCUUUCAAGUUCAUUCUCUCAUUAUUUAAUUAUAGUCAUGAUUAUAAACUAGAGUAUAGUUGUGGUGUUAUGCCAUUGAUAUAUGAACUAGAGUAUAGUCUAUGUGUCAAUAGAGUGUCAUCAAUAACAUUGUGCCUAAUAAAUACAUUUCACUUAAUUAAAGCUAGAGUUAGGUUGGAUGUGGUGGUUCCUCGCACCACAAGGUGUGCCCGAUUCAUAACUUGUCGAUCCGUAGGGUCGGAGUCUCGGGUUGAGUUGGGUAGACUCUGCAUACGUAGGCGAGGUGCCUGGGUAUGGAGAGGCAGGUGUCUGCAUGACCCUUGCUUUAGUGAGGUGGAUGGCGGCAGGUGGUGAGAGCCCUAUCCGUCCUUGGCAUUCCCCCUGUUCGUUUGGGAUGUAGGAGUCUAAAUUGGCAUGAUAGUUGCUGGCAGACCAGUAGGGCAUGUUCUCCUGAUCCAUAUCACACUUGUAUGAAUAUUGAUGAGGGUCAGGCCCGAUCUUCCGAGAGGUAAUUAGUAAAUUCGAUUGUGGAGAACUCGACGUUGGCGAUCCGGCUUCAAAUCAGCACGAUUCGAACCCUGCAACCGUUACUCCACUGCUCCGUUGGUUAGCAACCAAGCACAACUUGAUUGACCUCGCCAAGAAGGCUUUUCCUGCAAGCGAAUCGAAGUACACAAGCAAGAAAGUAUAAACACGCAAUCUGCAAUAGCAGAUAUGAAUGACGUGAAUAUUCAAAUGAGGGUUCAAGAACUCGGUUCCAAAGCUACAAAUUCAAUUCAAUUAAACACAGUCGUUUGAGUUCUAACAUUAUGGAAAAUAGUUCUCUUUUUUACUUACAGGUCGGAGGCUCUGUGCGAUGUGGAAAAGACCCUGCACCUUGCACGCCCUGCAGCCGCUAUUGGUUGCGCCUAGUCUGCGCGUGCCUACUCAUCAACAGCCUGUGCGAUGGGUGGAUCUUCCGCAGGAUGUGAGCUAGGCGUCGGGACCACCUCGGGGUGCCUAAGCGACCUAUGGACUAGGUCUGGGACUGCCUCUUCUUCUCCUCAUCGUCAUUAAGAACUUGAAGCAUCCGGCGAUGCUUCGGUGCUCGAGCUCCAGAAGCUGAGCCUUGACCAGAUGAAGGAUCUUUGACCGACCCUGUUGGCGCCCCUCCUGCUCGGGACGGCCCUCCAGUCACCAGUCUUUGUGAUUCUAUCAUCGGUGGUUGGAGCCACUUGGUCAUCGUCGUCAUCGUUGCUGGUGUAUCGAUAACACUGAGCAGCGUUCUCCAUGGGCCGGUCUACGCCCGUUGGGUGCUCCAUACCAUGUGCUAGUGACACAUACACCGAUGCUCGAUCGAUGUCUCCAAUCUAUAAGAUGGUGGUAAUAGUUAAUCAGGGGCUAAGGAUGACAACGAAUAAAAUUGCAAGUUGUGCAAACUUAUUCCUUACCUUUGGAGCUGGUUGAGCCAACUUGUAUGCAUGCAUCCGGUUGUCACUUCGCACAAAGCUGUUGUCUGUGAGAUUGAAGAGCUCGGUGAUUCGAUGGUGGAUCUCUAUUUUCUCCAGGUUAUCCUUAUGCAUCUUGGUAGUGUCCUAGCUUCUGUGGUAUUCAUAUCCUGAGUGGACUCUCCUCUAGCAUGGCUGCACUCGGCGGCUGAGGAAGUUCCCGACCACGCCAGGUCCAUCCAGACGCGACCACUCGAUCAGGUUCAUCAGCUCCUCGACCUACCCGGUGUACUCUGGUCAGUCCAUCCAGCUGUCUCUCUUCUCUGGUAUGUAGCCAACAUCGUAGAAAGUGGCGUUGUUCGGCUCUUCCUGGAUGUAAAACCACUUCUUGUAGCACUUAGAUAAGGAUAUGUUCCAAGGGUAGUUUAGAUAACAAUUCUUCAUCCCAUCACAAAGAUUGAGGUAUACUCCACCAGUAAUCUUGGAUCCUCCAACUGCUCCUUUCUUCCUCGGGCAAAACAAAUAGCAAAACAGGUCAAAAUGCCGCUCUAUUCCUGCAAAAGCUUCACACAAAUGAAUGAAAGUGGCAACAAGGAGGAUCAAGUUAGGAUGGAGGUUGCAAAUCCCAAUCUCAUAGUAAAGAAGCAAACCCUGAAGAAAAGGAUGAAUGGGAAUCCUCAAAAAUGACGAUCUCACUAGCACUUGGAUCCAGGAAACUUUCUCCCGACAGUGCCCUCCAACCGCCGAGUUCUUGGUUGUGAAGGAGCCCCAUCUCGACAAGCUCGUCGAUGGACUUUGUGGUGGACCUGGACUUCUUCCAUUCCUUCGCCAUCGUCUCGGCUCUCUUUUUUGCAUCACUCUUGGCCAUUUUGUUGAGGUGGUGAAAGCCAAAGUUUGGUUUUGGUAAUUAAUGACACCUAGUUGCUAAUGCCUUGUGUUUGAGUGAUUUGAGUUAGGCAUAGCAACACAUGUGAUGAAGGUGCAUGGUGGCAUGGAAAGGUGUCCACAUGAUCACAAAGGUAUGAAGCAUGAAGUGGAGAUCAUGGUGACAAACAAAGAAUAAAGUGAACAAGGCAAAGGUAUAAACAUAGGGUUUUGCUUUUGCCGGUCUAAGUUGAGUAGAGAAGUGAUUGACCGGGUUUAGGAUAGAUAGCCAACUAUCAAGAGGGGAAAUCAUGGUCAUCUCUCUAAUCAAAUGCUACUAGGUCCAUAUCUUGAGCAUAUGCAUUAGAAUCUAGUAAAGUGCUAACUUAAAUCCUUUGUUGAAAAUGUUUGUGAAAAGCUAACACACAUGGACAAGUGUUGUGACACUUUUGUUUUGGCACAUGGAAGCAAGGGACUGAGUUGAAAAGGGAUAGGAUGAAGUUCAGCUGCUAAAAGUACCUUUAGAGGUUUUCUGUGAGGCACCGGACAUAGGAACAGUAACCCCUUUGAGUCCAGUGUAGAGAGUCCGGUGAGAACGUUGUCACAGGAAGUUUCUGAGUUUGCGUCUGGUAUGCACCGGAUGUGUCCGGGGCUGGACCGGACGUGUCCGAUGUGAGACCGGAUGCAUCCGGUGUGACCAUCUAGUGCAAGCUCAGUUUGCAGAACUCUUUGAGUUUUGGUCCGGUGUGGACCGGACGCGUCCGAGGUGUGAGUCCGGUGCUGGUGUCACUUUGGGGAGCUCUCUGUGUUUUCGUCUGGUCUUGACUGGACCAUCCGGUGUGUUCUAGUUGAGAGUCCAGUGUUGUAUCUCAGUUGGUGGCAACGGUCAUUUUUCAAAUGGUCAAGAGCACCGGACGCAUCCGGUGUGAACUAGGGCGCGUCCGGUGUGCACGACUUCAGCCUAAUGAAAAUGACCAACGACUCUUUUAUUGAAGGGGCUUAUAAGUAGAAGGUGGCCGGCUUAGGGGGGUUCUCUCUUGCACAUUUGAAUACUUGAGGCAUAAAUUGAGCUAGAGAACACUCCCACCACUUAUAUCCUAGCUUGCUUGCUAAUCUUAGUGAGAUUGAGUGAGAUUCAAGUGCAUUGCAUUGAGAGUUGUAUCUAGUGGCACUUGAUCCUUGAGUUUGCUGUGGAUUUCUUAUUACUCUUGGGUGUUUUUCGAUGCCCUAGACGGUUUGGAGCAGCGGUGGUGUUGAGCUCGUGAUUGAAGAUUGUUUCGAGCCUCACCAAGUGAUUUGUGAUGGGUUCUUGAGCCUUCCCCGCGGGAGAUCGCAAUUGGCUACUCUAGUGGAUUGCUCGUGGCUUGGAGGAUCCCCAUCUGUGAGUGGAUGUGCGGCACCCGCUGAGGGUUUAGCUUUGGAUUGCCAAUUAGCUCGUGAUCCAUCAAGUGGGUGAAUCGCCACAACGAGGACUAGCUUGCUAGGAAGCAAGUGUACCUCGGUAAAAAAUAUUGUGUCAUCUCUUGCCAAUGAUUAUCUAUUGUGAUUGUGAUUUUGAGUGAUUGGUUGGAUAUAUCUCUACUCUACAACAUUGAUAUAACAAUCACUCUCCACUCCUUUACUCACUUGUUUACCUUGCUAGUUGUUUAAGCUUGUUUAGGAGUGUAGCUAGCCUUCUCUUGUUGUUGUGGUUUAGUGUUUAGCCUUGUACUAGAUUGUAUAGGUGGCUUGCAUACCUUAGUUGAGCUAGUGCUAGAAUUGCUUUGCCAUUUGUUUCACUAACUCUCUUGAAUUAGUGAAGUUUGUAGAAAAUUUAAAUAGGCUAUUCACCCCCCUCUAGCCAUUUGGACCUUUCAAGUGGUAUCGGAGCCAAGGCACCGUUUAUUUGAGGCUUAACAACCUACGGUGAAGAAAUGGCUCUUAGUUUGCAUAUCAACAACACCAAGAAUGCACCUUUCUUUGAUGGCACCAAUUAUGCAUAUUGGAAGGUCAAAAUGACCGCACAUCUUAAGUCAAUCAAUAGAGAGGUUUGGAAGGUGACCGAAGCAAAGUUUGAGGUUGCAAAUGAGAAUGCACCAACACCGGUUGAAGAGAAGAAGCUUCAAUGCAAUGACAUUGCAAUAAGUGCUCUUCAUGAAGCUCUUGAUGACGAGACCUUUGAACAAAUCAAGAACACUGAGAUUUCUCAUGAUGCUUGGGCAAAGCUAGAGAAACAUUUGAGGGCACCAAGGGAACCAAGACCGCCAAGGCAUACAUCCUCCAUGAAAAGUUCUCAAGCUUCAAGAUGCAAGAAGAUGAAAGUGUGCCGGAGAUGUUUCACUAGUUGCAAGUCAUUGUGAAUGAGCUUAAGGCACUUGGGGAAGAAGUGAAGGAUAGUCAAUUCUCUAUGAAGUUCCUGAGAAGCUUGCCCAAGAGAUUUGACACAUUGAUCACCGUGCUAGUCAAGACAACACUUAGUGAAUCAACUCCCCAACAAGUGUUCCAAGAAGUGAUGACCAAUGAUGCUUAUAGAGAAGAUGAUGAGAAGGAUGAGUUGAUCAAAAAAAAGAAGAAGGAUGGUCAGAAGAAGGACGAUGAGAAGAAGAGUGUGGCAUUCAUAGCUUCCACAUCCGAGGGCAAAGCCAAGCAAGAAUCGUCAAGUGUAGAAGAAACAAGCUCUUGUGAUAGUGAAGGAGAUGAGGAGAUGGCUCUUCUUGUCAAGAGAUUUGGCAAAGUUAUGAAGAAGAAGGGCUAUCGGGCAAGAAGGAAGUAGUGCUCCUCCAAGAAGAAUGACCAUUCCAUGAGGUGCUUUAGAUGCCAUAGCAAGGAUCAUCUCAUCGCCAAGUGUCCUUAUGAUAGUGAUUGUGACAGAACUGCCCAAUUUAUACAAGUUUAAGCAUGACUGUCCCUGUUUAACACGUUGACCCGCGCAUACUCUCACUUAUAUAAACUCGGUAGUCUGUCGAGUGUCACGAAGGACCUCGGUAAAUCAACCUUACACCAAGAUCGCAUGAUUAAGCAAAUACACAUCACAUACACGGAGAUUUGCAGCAGAAAUAAUAUUACAAUAGAGUCCACAAAUAAUAGUACAAGUAUGGAUUUUCCAAAUUGAUUAGAAAACAACAUAGCUUUCAAAUGAUUACAAUAACAUAAGUUCCAAAUACAUUGCUAGUAUAAGUGACAUCCUCCGACAAAAGCAUGUAGAUGAGAACACUAUAUAGAACCACCGAGCCCACCAGAGGUUAGCCACCAUCCUUAGCAGACUGAAAACUUCACCUGCAACAUAGUGGGAUAAACCCUGAGUACUCGAAUGUAAUCAGCUAGACUUACCCGACAGGAGAGAAAUAAAAGACUCUCAAGGAUAUCCAAGGCUUAUUUGGUGGUGUUGGUUGGAUAGCAUAACUUUGCCAAAAACAGCAUUACUAUCAUGAGUCCUUACUUUCAACCUUUUAGUCAAUAUUUUAGCAUCAAGUUCAGUUAAGCUACAAUAGCUAGAUUUUGCACCUAUUCUAUAGCAAUCACUUGAUUAAUAAGCAUCACAGUAAUAACCAUAUCCGGUUUAUCAUGUAGCCAUCAUCAUUCUCAUCAUAACCAUUAAGUUUAUUUAGUGAGUUCUACGUUGUCGCUGCUCAAGUCAAGUUCUCACUAUUCGGGAGAGACGGCGAUUCAAAUCGAUUCCUAUCCAGCUGGAGGGGUAUUCCUAGCACUCAUUAGCGUACUUUGCAAGAGCAGCCUUAGGUCACCUUUAGCACAACUCAGGACCAAUUCGCGGGUCCGUACAGCGCCAUACCCCCAGGGACCGCCAAAGUGCCAGGGUCAGGACUCUAACCUGACACCUCGGUCUUACGACAUUGACUUCCCGCACAUCCUUACUACCAACCGGGGUGCACACUUAAACCGAACAGGGUAUCCGGCCUGAGUUGCACUCAUAGGCUUCGUGGUCGGAAUGACUUAUCCGGCCAACUAAGUGUUAGGCAUGCAUUCAACAUGACGAGAGGACGUACAGCGUAUCGGUCCUUAAACGACACAGACGGGGAUAGAUUCACACCCAAGACCUCCAUACCUUGUUGCUUCACUAUCAUCAUCCCGCCUGGUGUCCAUUAAUUUUAACACAUGGUUAUUUCCACUAUAGCAAAUAUAGCCAACCGUGAUCAAAUAUCCACCUAUCUCUCGCAGGUGAUAGUAAAUCACCCGGCUUCUACCGAGCUAAGCGUGGCUAAGUAUCAUUAGGUAAGGUAUAAGGUGGACAAGGUAAUCAUUAUGCAGCAAGAGUGUCAUAUCAACGCCUAACACUUAAUGCAACAAUACAUAACCAUAGUAAUUGACAGCUGGACAUGGUAACAAAAUAGUAGGCGUCUUAUAAUGCUCUGGGGCUUACCUUCGACGUACGUGGAAGGACGGUGGUCGGGGCACUCCAGUAGAUCCUCUUCCUCCUCAGCUCCUUCUCCUUGAGGUUGCUCCCUCUGCUGCUCCUCCGACUCGGGUGGUGCAAACUCCAGGACCGUCACGCCCUUAGGUACACCUAUAUAUGCAUGACAAGACGAUGAACAUAGGGAAUGCACAUAUGAUGCAUGAUGUCGUGAUGAGGAGCCAAAGGAACAUAAAACAAGGUGCAAAUAUGAGCAUAAGCUUCGAAGAUUAUGAGGAUCAUGAAAUAAUAAGUGCAUACUUCUUCUCUGGUAGAGAGGCUAACUAAACAAGAUAAUCAACCUUAGCUACUCAUACACAAAAACUGGUGUCAAGGACAGACUGGGUAGUCACAAAUUUUAGCUUUAACUUAGCCAUCGUUAGGACAAAUUAAGCAAGUAGACACUUUCUGGAAAUCUUAACAAAUUGUCUACUAUUCGCUUUCAGACAACCUAGAGAGAUUCCCAACCGAAAUAGACUAAAACAGACAAAGUUUGCUGGCUGCCCUGGAAAAUCCAGAGAGCAAGCACUUCGCAGCAGCUUCUUGCAACAGUCAUAACUCUUAAACUACUCAGCCAAAUGUCAUGAAAUGUGGACACAAAGUAGAUAAGGAAGUUAGCUACAAGUUUGUUAUAGGUAAGUUUUCCAGAAAACUUCAUCUUCAAGCAAUUCUUAAGUGAUUUCUAUCAGCUACCCAGAAUGUGCUCUAGACAAGGCAUAAUUAGUCAAAUAGUAUUUUAGCACAUAUUAAGAAUGUAACAAUGGUUCAAACCAAGGGCACCAGUAGCUGGAGCAUGUCUAGGAAACACCAUAAAACAUCAUGGCAAGGUUUAAACUCAUUUUUAUUAUCACCUUUUCUAUUUAUUUAAUUAUUAAGAUGAUUUAAUGAGUAUGUAUCACAAGUGCUCCAAAAAUUCUAAUAAAAUUACAGCAAGUUAUCUAGGCUACCACAAGGUUAGUGUAAAAUUUCCAUGGCUCUUGCACGUGCAGAUUGUGAGAUACAAAAAUGACAAGCUAACAAUGGCAUUAAAGGCAUAAAUGUGAAACCCUAUCAAAAAGUGUCAAACAACAGAUUUCAGAUUUUUCUUAGCUUUGUUUACCCAUGACUACAUCACUCAGCAAGUUUCAUCAUAAGAGGAGUUAUACUAUAUUUAUUAAAAAUACCACAAGAAACUCCUAUUUAAACAAGAAUUAUUUAUAACUUCAUCAACAGGCAUCCACAAAUCAUGAUAAAUCUAUCAGAGCCUACACAUAGCAUAAAGAACAAUCUCCUAAAUUUGCAUGGCCAUAGAACUUAUAGAUCUCAAGAUAUAAUUACCUUUUAUUUACCAAAGAUUAAAUCAUAACUAUUUAUUUCUCUCAAAACAUGGCAUGUCUCAUAUUUUUCAUAAAAACUAGACUAACUCAAGAACCUAACAAAAUUGGAAUCACCCCAUUUGGAUCUGUCUAGCCCAAGUUAUGAAUUUUUCAAAUCAGCAUUGAAUCUGCCCAAAAAACAGAAAUAGGGGGGAAAAAGAUAGAGGCUGACAGAGGGCUCCCACUCGUCAGCGACACACUGAGCAGAGGCGAGCUCGGCUGCCGGAGAUCUCAUCGACGGCAAGGUCUACGGGGAAACCAAGGGCAUCUACGUGUUCCUCGCAUCGAGGCGAACCUGUUGACCUACUUGGCUCACGCUCUACUGGACUCUAGGGUGCUCGCCGUCGGGAAUGGCGAAGCGGCGGCGCUGCGCGGCGUUACGCCGGCUAACUGAGGCAAUGGCGACUCAGUAGAGGUUGCGGAUGAGCGAGAGGAAAACAAGGUGAAGCUGUAGGACGAAUAAUCACGGCCAGAAGUGAACCAGAGAGGUCUGGCCACGUUGUCGGUGAUCUCUGUGAACUCCGGCGAGGUGGAGCUCGCGAUGGAGUUAGCAAUGCAACCUCACCGGUGCUCGGUUAGGGAAAGGAGAUGGACGUCGAGGUAGAGGACGUCGCGGCGGAGCUCUGGGCGAAGCAGCUCGGCUCGGGACUCGGUGGUGUGGCCAGAAAAGCUCGCCGAAGAGCGGCGGAGCUCGCUGAGGCGAUGGCGGAGGGAAAUGUGGCGCUCUAGGCGAGUGGACGACGCGUCUAAGGAAUCCAGGCGGUGCGUGGUGACUUGUGGACGAUGUCCAAGCUGACAGGCGGGGUCGUCGAUGGCGUACGGCCGACAGGUGGCCGGACAUGCGGCGGCGGGUGAUGCUCUGUCCAACUGAAUCGGUGUCUGAAUCCUCCGAUCGUAGUGACUGAAACUCAAACUUCGUCGACGUUUUACUCCAGAUUCACUCAGUGGUUUUGGCUCGGAUUUAUUCCAUUGGAUAGAGCUACACGAGUUCUACAAAAUUGCUUAAAGGAUCAAAGUCUGGUUCGGCCUGGAUUUCAAACUACAAGGCUCCCAAGUACCCUAAGUGCAAACUGUGUCGAUUCUGACUUAGGCAAACUUGGCUAAGUGUGAAACAGCACUGAUUUUUGCCUUGUGAGCUAAUUUUGAGUGUGUUCCAAGCAUUUUCAUAAAAGGUCACCAACACAACUUUUGUAGCUUAUAACAUUUACUACAAUUUUGCUUUAUAUGUCAUUUACAUGCAAAGUCUCUAACAUAGAUUUCAUAAAAGAUCUUUAAAAAGAGGUUUAGGGGGUCAACUAGGUCAACCUAGGGCUAACCAUGACUUAGGUGCAUUUUUAGAUGAAACCUCCAACACAAACUUUGUUCAAAAUAAUAUUAUAAACAUGAUUAAAGUAUUUUGGAAGACAAUGUGCACUUAUAUGCAUUGGUCACACAUUACUUCCACAUAUAGCAUGUCACAUAUAUAAGCACUUCAAUCACCUAGUGUACACACCAAAUGACAUGUGAUCAUGGUAUGAUGCUCAUGGAUGAGUAUGAUGAUGCUUAUGUUGAUGCAAUGCUCAAGGUUAACAUGCAAGCUAACACUAGGAGUGUUACAGCCCUCCCCCCUUUCAAAAAAUCUCGUCCCAAGAUUUGAAAGACGUACCAUUUUUCAUAGAAUGAGGGGUAAGUUACUUGUAAAUAGUCUUCCCUUUCCCAAGCGGCAUCUCUCUCACUUUGAUCAUUCCACAGCACCCUAAAAAGUUUAAUCACUCUCCCUCGAGUAACCCUUUCUUUGACAUCGAGAACUUGUACAGGCUUUUCUUCAUAAGAUAGAUCUAUCUGUAAUUUAAGACCUCCUGUUUCAACUCUUUCUUCGGGCACGCGAAGGAAUUUGUUAAGUUGGGACACAUGGAAUACAGUGAAAAUAGCUCUCAUCUCAGGAGGUAGCUGUACCCUGUAAGCUACUUUGCCACUCUUCUCGAUGAUUUGGUAGGGACCAACAUACCUAGGGGCAAGCUUUCUCUUCACACCAAAGUGAUUUACCCCUUUCAUAGGUGAUACCUUUAGGUACACAAAGUCACCUACUUCAAACUUGACUGGUCUUCUUCUUCGGUCAGAAUAACUUUUCUGUCUAGCUUGGGUGGCUUCCAUGUGUUUCUGGAUAACAAGAACUUGCUUUUCGGCUUCCCUGACGAAGUCAAUUCUGUAGUAUCUCCUUUCACCAGGUUCGACCUAGUUUAGAGGAGUUCUACAUUUCCGGCCAUACAAAGCUUCGAAAGGAGCCAUUUGAAUACUCUCUUGAUAGCUAUUAUUGUAGGAGAAUUCAGCUAAAGGGUAGCUUUUGAGUAUGUUAAACGCAAACAGAAAAAGUCCGCAAGCGCACGGAUACCGAUAUAGCUUUCACCCGGGAGUAUUCUAGAGUAUCGAUUUUCCACAGGGAACGUGAGUGUACUAAUUAAGAUUCAAGAUCGCCCAAGGAUAACUAUAUAAUUAUUUUUGGUGGGAAGAGAGGAAGUUUCCUGAGAGUUCUCUAGUUGAUCUAAGAAUCAAGAAUUACUUCAAAGAUUAUUCAUUUCGGGACAUCAGAACACUAACCACAGAAAGAGAUGAGAAGGAGGCUAGGAAGCUCUAACUACGGUCCUACAAACACCGAUCUGAACGAGGUGGAAUACGUCGACCGUUAGGGUUGUCACUACCCUAGGGCUACCACAACAAUCCGCACGAUAGGGUGCAAUUCCAGGUAAUUGCAAGACUAAACACCACGUCUAAUCUAUUAAUUACUACUCUAGCGUUUCAAAGACUAGAGCACUUGAUGCAAGCGAGAAUCCAAUAAAUAACUUGAAUGUAAAUAAAAGUAACAAAGAACUCAGGAAUUAUGAAUUGAAGAACUUGGAGAACGAUAAAGAACGAACCAGUUGCUGCAAAAGUACAAUGUUGAGGAAGAUCCGACAGAUUCGGCUCCUCCUCCGCUCUCCUCUUCUCUCUUCCUAUUUUCUAGAAUACAACUAGAACUAACUAGAACUAGAACUAGAUGAACUAGAACUAGAACUAGAUGAACUAGAGGGAUCCUCUCUACUUGGAUGAAUAAUUGAAACCCUAACUUUGAUUCUGUAGAAAAGGUAUGCCUCCAGGGGCCUGCUUAUAUAGGCCCUCCAAAUGAAUAUGGGCUGUCGGAUCAAACCAACCUUAAUUGCAUGAUUAUUCUUGAAGAAUAGAGGCGAUGGAGCACGAUCCGUGAGACCUGCCCUAAUUGGUCACCAGGGCAGGCCGGGCGCCCAAGGGGGGAGGGCGGGCGCCCUGCCCCCGGGUCCGCUCGGCCUCCUGUUCGUUCCCGUGGCUUUUGGAGUCUUCUAGAUGAUUGAAAAUUGGCGCACACAUUAAUAUCUCUAUGUAAUCCCGACGUGUGGGCCUUUACUCCAUAUUUCCUGAUAACCCCCUGCAGAAAGAGACGAACACCAAAACUCGUGGAAUUCUAUCAGAUAAAACCCUAAGUCUAGGUGUCGGUUGCAUUUGGAUCCUUUUCCAUGAUUAAUGGACGAUUAAAUGUGAGCAUUAAGGAUCGUCAACAAGCUCCCCCAAGCUUAACCUUUGCUCGUCCCUGAGCAAAGCUAAACUCAAGAGUUUCUGCAGUGGUUUAAUGCCUUAAAGGUACACAUGUGCUCAAACAAGAUCUCAUCUCUGGGUUAGGGUAAACUGUUAAGAUUUAAACUUACUCAUUUUUUUCUUCCACCAUGGGGCUUGCAACCGUCACUUGUGUCUUGAGUAGUUAAAAGAUAGAAUGGUCUAGUCAAGCGCCAUGUCUCUUGUUCUUCGAUUAACUAUAGCUCUGGAGUAUUUGCAGAUUUUCAAAUAAAACUCAAAGAUUCCUUGUAUGACUCUCUCUAGUCUCUCUUUUGUGGUAUUUCGGGAUCCUUACCAAGGCAGUAAUGGUGUAUGUCUUGACUCAAAGUAUGUGGUAUUUUUGGUAUGAGGCAUAGUGGCAUUGCCUUCUCUCUCACCCUACUCUAAUAAGGUAUUGAUAUCUGGAGCUCAUAGGUGGGAGACAGCUAAUACAUACUUACAAGACAUUUAUUGCAUAGCCAAACCAUGGAUCCAGAAGAACAAGUCAAUAAGUCAAAUCAAGAUGUGCAUGUGUGGCGAAUGAAUGGUGAUAAUGGCAAAAAUAAUGGUGAAAGUCUAAUUCUACUUUUGCUCUUUUGAGGGGGUACAUACCUUCCUUGCACUUGAGGCUUUUGAGGGGAAUGAGAUGCUCUAUAUUUUAUUUUUCUUUUCUCUUAGGUGGGUAUCUUGUACCCCUAAUUCUACUAUCGGACACUUGUCCAUUUUUACCUCUCGUCUCAUUUUUUUCUCUCUUCUUUUUUUUCAAGGUUUCGGGCACUUGCCCCUUUUUAUUUCCUCGUAUUCACUUUUUUUUUUCAGAGCACUCACCCUCCUGGAAUAAUGUAGCAAGUGGUAGUAACUAAAAUAUCUCGAGCAUUUAUUUCACGGGGAAUAAUAGAGAUAGGAUAAUGUUUUUGGCUAUUCUCUCCUAGAUAGGAAUAGAAUAAUUUUGGGUGAAUCUCGAUAUGGAAAUGAGUGGAUGUAAGUGGAUGCGUAAUCCCAGAGUAGAAGCAGCAUGUAUGAGUGAACGUGCAAGUAAAUCUUGAUUUUAACCACAUGACAAACUCCUAAGGGUCUACACAGCUUGACCACACUCAAUGCUCAUAAGCAGUAAAAAGUAAAAAUAUGGUUCAUAGUCUAAUAAGCAUGUAUAUAUGGUUGUGUUAGGAUUUUAAACUCUCAUCAUACAAGAACUCAUCAUGCCAUAUUUUAAAGAUUUUCAAAGAUAAAAUUCUCCACAAUUCUAGCAUCUCUAGGAACAGAUAAACAGCAGCUCAACCUUCCCAUAUCGUAUCCGUUAAUGACUUAGACUUUAGAUCAAGUACUCUUCCCACAAGUUCAGGUUUAGAGCAAAUCUUAAUUAAUAACAGUCAUGCCUAAACUAGAGAGAGAUUUCAAUUUUGAGAACCAGUCAUGGCAGAGCAACUAUUCAUCAUUUCCAUGUGAGAGCUUGUCAUGAGGGUUCAUAGCAAACUUUAUUUAUUUAUUUAUUUAGCAAACUAAGCAAAGAUAUAUAUAUAUAUAUAAGCACAAAAUCUUUAUUUGGGUUUUUAUGAUUAUGCAUCUUUUUAUUAUUUGAGUAAAGUAUAAACAUGAGUAGAACACUUAGCUGGAUAAAUGGGGGUGCUCUCCCCCAACCUGGAUUUUAACGUAAUUUCUUCUGAUGUAGCUAGCAUUUGGCGGAGGUGUAUUUGAAUGUCGGCAGCACUCUGACAGCGAUUAGGAUGUCAUCUGUCUGCUAGUCUUCUUUGAUCCUUGAAUUCUGUGGAGCUCAAAUAGACAACAAAGCUUUGUGGAGCUGGUUAAGUGUUAGCAUAAAAUCUCUUAGCUGUUAUCAUGUUGAGCUUCCUCUAAUAAAUAUUACUCUCUUUGGUAGGAUCAUAAAUUUAUUUUUAUAUUUUCAUUUUUAUAGGACAGAAAUAUAUUUAUUUUAUUUUUACGCCACCACAGUGAAUGUACUUAUGUGUUUUAUGCUAUGAGCAUACUCACAUGGGGCUUACUAUUUUUAACAUUUUUAUUUUCUUUUCAAGAUGAUAUGAACCUGAUUAACUAAACAAACUAUUUUAAAUAAUUGAAAGGAAAAGGAUAGCUACCAAGUUUACCUCUUGGCAAGGCGUUCGGUGUUUUUAAGUCCUCCGAACGGGACUCUCCGUUUUCUCAGUCGUCCUGGGAUUCGCUGGAUGGCGUAGUAGGUGGUUCCAGCGGCGCCUCCUCUUCGUAUAUAACUAUCUUCUCUCUCCACACCUGACUCGGUGCUAUGGUCUCCUCAGGAUAGUUCUGUUCAAGUUGUAUGUCUUCAGACCUUACCACUUCUCCUUCGUAGUCUGCUCAGCCGUCCUUGAUGAUUUGCCUCCUCUGGUUGCAGUUGCGUCGUCUUCUUCUUUUUCCUGACCUGCUUAGAGUCUUCAACUAUAUAGUUAGGGUUAGUAAAAUAGUGGUGUAUCUUCUCAUAGGGGUAGUGCAUGUGGACUUCUCCGGUUCCAAUGUAGAUGAUUGCUUUAACGGUGCUGAGGAACGGUCUCCCAAGGAUGAUGGGUGGAUCGUACUCGUCUUCUCCCAUGUCAAUAACCUGAAAAUCUGUAUGGACAAAAUGAUCAUAUAUUUUGACAGGGACAUCAAUUACUAUACCUUCAACCUUUCAGAAUGUCUGAUCUGCCAUCUGGAGCUGAAUGUAUGUCGGUUUUAGGGGCAUGGUUCCGAACAGGAGCUGAUAGGUGACUACGGCCAUUAUGUUGACGCCUGACCCGGUGUCGCAAAGCGUCUUCUGGAAGUUGUAUCCAGUAAUGGAGCACUGCAUGCUUGGCAUACCUGGGUCAUCCUUUUUGGUCAGAAACGGUGACUUAAGUCGACGAUCUUGACCUCCUUGAACUGCAGUGACCAUCUUAGCUGACUCGGUCCACAUUUGCUUGUUCCUGUUCCUCAUGUUGGUCAUCUUCCUUGGUUCAUGUCGGGAUUGCUCUAAGAUUUGUGUAGUCUUGUUCUUGAAGGAAAAUGUCUCCUUCCUCCCCUUGAUGUAGAAACUGAUCUUGGCAACACUAACAUAGAUGACAGCUCCCAAGGUGUUCAGGAAUGGCCUCCCUAGGAUGAUGGGUGCCCUCUCAUCAGUACUAGUCUCUAUCACCAUGAAGUCUGCUGGGGCGUACAAGGUACCAACUCGGACGCAGAGGUUCUUCAAUAUUCCCUUUGGGAAACUUAGUGUCUGAUCUUCAAGCUGCAAACACAUGGUUGUUUCUAGUAAAGGAUGUGUAAAGAAUUUUUCAUAGAGUACCCUGGCAUAAUGCUGACGCUGGAACCAAAGUUGCAGAGUGCUUCUGGGAAGUCCACCAUGCCGAUGGAGAUCGGGAUGAUGGGGCAUCAUGGAUCGUCUCUCUUGACCGGCAGAAGGUCAGUAAUUACUUCCACAACAGAGUUACUCCAGUAGUUACCUGCAUCAAACAAAUCUACAAGAUUUGCAGAUUCUAAUCCUUCCGGUUGUGAUGGUAUACCGGGGUUAGUAGCAGGAACAGCAACAGCUAUUUGAUUUAACUGAGAUUCAAUCAUUUUAUUAAAGCUAAUUUGAUUCUUGAUGGUAGUAGAGAAAUUAUCCAUUAGCUUUCCUUGAUUAGACACUAACUCUCUCAGAGGUAGAAAAUUAUUAUUAUUGUAAGAAUUAUUACCUUAAUAAUUACCUGAGUAGUUAGGCCUCUAUUGAUUCCAACCUUGAUUUUGUUGAGGACGGUAGUAGUAGUAGUAGUUGUUGAUGUAGUUUACGUCCUCAAGCAUCUCAGGGCAGUGAUUGCCUGAGUGUCUAGUAUCUCCAGUGUGUUUGUGCUCAUAGAUCUAGGUUCCUCACUUGUUGGAGUCUGGGAGUUGUAAAACUCCUUCAUAUUUUGCUCGAAGUGUACCUGCUCAUAGAGACAAGGCGGAGAUCAAGUGCAUGGGCCCUGUUGGUGGAAAACACCAACAGAACCAAAAAGUGUAUUUGUUCUAUCUAACCUUAAGCAUAGUGAGCAAGACGAAGUUGAUGGAUAAUAAGAUCAUGAGUGUAGCAUUUAAAACAUUUGUCAGAUCAGAUCGCUCAACCUAAUGGAAAGAUAAUCUAUCUAUACUUAUAUUUUUUAUAUAUCUUCCAAAGAUUGUGUGUGCAACAUUUUAGUUCAUAUGAUUAGGAUUGUGGGAUCACAAAGGUGGAAGGACUAAACAUAUUGAAUCGAUUGGGUUGGUUAAUCUAGAGUUGUAAAUCAUACAUGUUUGUCUCUUUUAUUCAUGUGAACGCCAGAACCAAGGAGAAGUUUAUAGAAGUGAUAGUCAAGUACCUUAAGAUGUUACCUUACUUGAAGAGUGAUGGUACAGUAUCACCUUGUGGAAGCUUUCCUUUCUUAGCGGUUGUGAAUCGUGUUUGUGGCACCCUCCAUGGAUCAUCUCUUGUGAGCUAUGCCUUCCUUGUGUAAAUUGUUUACCUUCAUGUGUCUCUCUCUUUGUCUCCAAUGUGAGUUUAUCUCAGGACUUCCCAGGUCAAUAUUGAAAGUUUUCCUGUAGGGGUUAGUCCAACAAAAUAUCCAAUAUCUACUAUAGCAUACUAUCGGCUCAAAAAUCAACCUAGACACCAUGUCUAAUUUGAUUCAGGAGGGCAUUUUAACCUAAGCACCAUGCUUAAUUUAAAAUCCCUUGGAAGUAAGAUCAUCAUUCCUAAACUAAGCACCAUGCUUAAUUAAGAGAUAAAUGAAACUACUCCAAACCUAGACAUAUACUAAAGCAAAUAAAAGUAGCAUGAGAGCAUUUAUAGAGAUCUACUCAAGUGGAGAUGAUGUAGUGUGAUUAGUAUUCAACAAAUUGAGCAUAUCUCAAAGGUAGGGACAACCAACAUAGCAACAUGGCAAAGGAUGUUUUUAUGUAAAGUACUCCCCCAAGCUUGAAUUUUGCAAAAUUCAAGUUUGGAUGAAUUUAAUUCAAUGUUGUAUGAUGAUUGGUUGGACAUACCUUGUGCUUGUCAUUCAUCCGAUCUUCUUGCUCCAAUCCUGGAAAGGUUAGUGACAAGAAUACCCGAAGUAAUAUUUUUACAAUUAUCCUUAUAUGCUCAAUAGACAAGUUAAUGUUGCAAAUAAUUAAAAGCUCAUGUUAUGGUCUGAUCAGUGCUUAUUUUAGGACAAUAAGCUUGUCCUUGGGAAACCAUCAAUUUAUGUCGGCAAAGUGGUUUCCCCUCCAACGCUGACCUAUAUCAACUCAACGAGAUCUGCAAUAUUUAUUAUAGACAUAUGCAUCGACAACAGCCCUUUUAAAGUUUUUAUAAAUAGAAAGGAAGAGGGGGUUGGAGACUUUGAAUGUGGUGAUGUUGGAGAGACCAAUAGAUUGGGAAGAUGUUGCAUAUGAGCAUGGAGUAAACGAAGUGGCAAUGAAACAAAUUCCAUGCUCAUUAAUGUUUGGAGUGAAAUCAUGUGGUAUGGUGAAAUGGUAAGGUGAGUGUGGUAAAAAAAGAAAAGAAAAAGGAUACACAGAUGACUUGGUUCGAAACUACCACAGCUACCGCUCCCCAGCAACGGCGCCACAAAGCUUGUUGAGUAUUUUAAACGCAAACAGAAAAAGUCCGCAAGCGCACGGAUACCGAUGUAGCUUUCACCCGGGAGUAUUCUAGAGUAUCGAUUUUCCACAAGGAACGUGAGUGUACUAAUUAAGAUUCAAGAUCGCCCAAGGAUAACUAUAUAAUUAUGUUUGGUGGGAAGAGAGGGAGUUUCCUGAGAGUUCUCUAGUUGAUCUAAGAAUCAAGAAUUACUUCAAAGAUUAUUUAUUUCGGGACAUCAGAACACUAACCACAGAAAGAGAUGAGAAGGGGGCUAGGAAGCUCUGACUACGGCCCUACAAACAACGAUCCGAAUGAGGUGGAAUACGUCGACCGUUAGGGCUAUCACUACCCUAGGGCUACCACAACAAUCCGCAGGAUUGGGUGCAAUUCCAGGUAAUUGCAAGACUAAACACCACGUCUAAUCUAUUAAUUACUACUCUAGCGUUUCAAAGACUAGAGCACUUGAUGCAAGCGGGAAUCCAAUAAAUAACUUGAAUGUAAAUAAAAGUAAUAAAUAACUAAGGAAUUAUGAAUUGAAGAACUUGGAGAACGAUGAAGAACGAACCAGUUGCUGCAAAAGUACAAUGUUGAGGAAGAUCCAACAGAUUCGGCUCCUUCUCCGCUCUCCUCAUCUCUCUCCCUAUUUUCUAGAAUACAACUAGAACUAACUAAAACUAGAACUAGAUGAACUAGAACUAGAACUAGAUGAACUAGAGGGAUCCUAUCUACUUGGAUGAAUAAUUGAAACCCUAGCUUUGAUUAUGUAGAAGAGGUAUGCCUCCAGGGGCCAAGGGGGCCUGCUUAUAUAGCCCCUCCAAAUGAAUAUGGGCCGUCGGAUCAAACCGACCUUAAUUGCACGGUUAUUCUUGAAGAUUAGAGGUGGUGGAGCACGAUCCACGAGACGUGCCCUGAUUGGUCACUAGGGCAGGGCGGGCGCCCAAGAGGGAGGGCGGGCGCCGUGCCCCCGGGUCCGCUCGGCCUCCCGUUCGUUCCCGUGGCUUCUAGAGUCUUCUAGAUGAUAGAAAAUUGGUGCACACAUUAAUAUCUCUAUGUAAACCCGACGUGUGGGCCUUUCCUCCAUAUUUCCUAAUAACCCCUAUAGAAAUAGACAAACACCAAAACUUGUGGAAUUCUGUCAGAUAAAACCCUAAGUCUAGGUGUCGGUUGCAUUUGGAUCCUUUUCCAUGAUUAGUUGACGGUUAAAUGUGAGCAUUAAGGACCGUCAAUAGUAGCCACUUCUCCCAUGCACCCUUGGAAGAGAUGACACAUGCCCUCAACAUAUCCUCCAAGAUUUGAUUCACACGCUCAGUCUGACCGGAGGUUUGAGGAUGGUAGGCUGAACUGCGAACCAACUUGGUACCAAGGAGUGAAUGUAAAUGUUCGCAGAAGCGGGCGGUGAAUUGAGGACCUCUAUCAGGAAUAAUAGUGCAAGGCACUCCGUGCAAUUUAAUGAUUUGAGAGAAGUACAACUCAGCAUAGUCGGAUGGUCGGUAUGUAGAAUGCACUGGAAUGAAAUGAGCUGACUUGGUCAAGCGAUCAACAAUCACCCAUAUGGAAUUGUAACCUUUUUGAGUAGGGGCAAGCCCAACAAUGAAAUCCAUGCUGAUUUCAUUCCACUUCCAACCCGGAAUUGACAACGGUUGCAACAAUCCUGCAGGCUUAAGGUGAAGUGCCUUUACCCUGCUGCAGGUAUCACACCUAGCAACAUAAGCUGCUAUUUUCCUUCUUCAUUUUGGUCCACCAGAAAUGAGGUUUUAGGUCUUGAUACAUUUUACUACUACCCGGAUGGAUAGACAACUUAGAGGAGUGAGCUUCAUCUAAGAUUUUGUUGCAUAGGUCACGGUCUUUGGGUACUACAAGUCGAUCAUCAAACCAUAGUACACCCUUCUCAUCUACCCUGAAAUGCUUGGUGUCUUGCACUUGCAUUUUUCUCUUGAUAUGGAAGAUACCAGGGUCAGUCUUUUGGAGCUCUACAAUUUGACUCUCUAAGGAACAACUGACUACAAUGUUGUGCAGGAUCACAGGGUGCAAUAAAUUGAAACCUUCCUCUAGGAGAGGUUCAACAUGUUGCUUUCGGCUAAGGGCAUCUGCUACAACAUUGGCCUUGUCUGGAUGAUAAUGCACUUCAAGAUUAUAAUCCUUGAUCAACUCCAACCAUCUUCUUUGUCUCAUGUUUAGCUCGGGCUGAGUGAAGAUAUAUUUGAGGCUGUUGUGCUCAGCAUAAACGUGACACAGAUUACCCAAUAGAUAAUGCCUCCAGAGUUUCAAUGCGUGCACAACGGCCGCUAACUCUAGAUCGUGAGUUGGGUAGUUGAUUUCAUGCUUGCUCAGCUGCCGAGAGGCAUAGGCGAUGACUCGACCUUCUUGCAUAAGUACACAACCUAAGCCGGUGCCGGAUGCAUCAAAAAAGACAUCAAAUGGCUUUUUAAUGUCACGCUGUGCCAAAACAGGAGCCGUGGUUAGCAGAUGGCGUAACGCGGUGAAAGCAACCUCACACUCCUAAGACCACACAAAUUUCACAUCUUUUUGUAGUAGCUUGGUCAUAGGCUUAGCUAUCUUGGAGAAGUCUAGAAUAAAGCAAUGAUAAUAUCCCACUAGACCGAGAAAACUCCGAACCUCGUGCACUGAAGUCGGGGCCUUCCAGUCUUGAACCUCCUACACCUUUGACGGGUCAAUAGAAAUACCAUCUUUGGAUAAAAUAUGGCCUAGAAAAGGCACUUUCUUUAGCCAAUACUCACACUUGCUGAACUUAGAAUAGAGGUGGUGUUCUCGCAAUCUAGUGAGUACAAUCCGAAGGUCCUUCUCAUGGUCUUGGGCAUUUUCAGAGUACACCAAUAUGUCAUCGAUGAACACCACUACGAACUCUUCCUGUUUAGGCAUGAACAUCGAAUUCAUCAGGUACAUGAAAUGAGCAGGGGCAUUAGUCAGACCAAAGGACAUGACUAGAUACUCAUACAACCCAUACCUGGUAGAGAAAGCCAUUUUAGGAAUGUCUUCAGGUCGGAUCUUGAUUUGAUGAUACCCGGAUCUCAGAUCAAUCUUCGAGAAUACCUUAGCCUUGGCUAAUUGGUCGAAUAGAAUAUCAAUACGGGGCAGGGGAUACUUGUUCUUGACAGUCACAACAUUUAACGGGAAAUAGUCUACACACAUACGUAGAGACUUGUCCUUCUUCUUGACAAAGGGAGCCGGACAACCCCAUGGAGAGGAACUAGGCCGAAUAAGACCUUUCUCCAGGAGUUCUUGCAAUUGUUUCUUCAAUUCUACCAAUUCAUCGGGUGGCAUUCGAUAUGGCCUUCUAGAGAUGGGUGCGGUACCCGGAAUUAGGUCAAUUUUAAACUCUAUGUCUCUGUCCGGAGGCAACCCGGGCAGAUCCUCUGGAAAGACAUCUGAGAACUCACAAACUACAGGAAUCUCUGCCACAGUGAGUGGUCUGAUAGCAUUUGUAGCGUGAUGGAUGUCGUCGUUUCUAGGAAGUUGAACUAAGAAAGCUUCUUUACUAUCAGGCUCCCUCAACAUGAUUACCCUUGUUGAGGUAUCUAUUAGCACUCCAUGGUCACUCAUCCACUUCAUUCGAAGAAUAACAUCUAUUCCCAAGCCUAGCAAAAUCACCAGAUUUGUUGAAUAAUUACACCCUUUGUUGGGUAUUCUUAACAUCUUUACCAAAAGUAGACUAAGUUCUAAAUCUAGUAACGGUGCCAAAAAUGCCAAACCUAUCCCUCACACCACUUAAGCCAAGUUGUCAUCCCCAGCAUGAUAUAAGAGACGCGGUAUUGAAAUAUGCAAUUGCUCUUCUAAAUAAAUAAUGAAUGGGAUCUGCAAGCGCACAUAUUAAUACCGAUGUAGCAUUUUAACCGGGAAGUAUUCCAGGUAUCGUUAUUUAUAUUUUUACCACUGGGAAGGGAUUAGCAAUCAUCACUAUUGAUUACAGAAUAGAAUAUGAGAUUGAGCAUCUAUCAUUGCAUGUAUAAUUGAGAACAUUAUAUCUAACUCUUCAUACAGGGAUAAGUGUCACAUAAAAGAUAUAUGAAAUAAUAAAAGUGACAAGGAUAACUAAUCUGAUCUAGCCACAUAAUAAAUAUGAUAAGCACCUCAAUUAGAUACUCUAGAAAGUCAUUAGCAUGGUAUUAGAACGAACUACAAGAAUAUUCCCUAAGUUAUUCUCAACUAUAUAGUCUAGCAUAUCAUAGUUAGUGCAAGCAUACUUAGCAAUCAUUGUGAGACAAGACUACGCCCAUGCAUAGUGAUAUUAGCAAGGAAUAUGAGAAACAUAGCAAUCACUCCCCUGUAAUAAUGUUGCUCUGCCAGCCCAAUACACGAGAGGGGGACUAUAUAAGAAUCAAUGAAGCUGUCACUGUCACGAACUACCCCACGAUCUGGCACAUUGGGUACAAUCGCAGAUAAAUACGGUAUAAGCACCACGCCUACACAAUAUCUAUCAUUUACCCAUGGAUCCGAUGGAUAAACGCUAUACGAUCCUAAGCAUGUAUAUAGAUCCAAUCUAACUAAGCCAAGUACAUAACUAUGAUAAACUAAGAACAAUAUACUCUUGAAUAUAAGCAAGUAGAGCAAAGUCAUAAGCAAUAUAUUGAAGUAGAACAAAGUCAUAUUCAUAAUAUUGAAGAACAAAGAUAAUUAGAAAGCAAUUAGAAGCACAAUUAGAGAAUUACCAAGAAUCCUCCUGACAGAUCCGGAAACCAAUCGAAGAUUGACUCCUUCUAAUUCUAAUCCUAUGUAGCUAUGCUAAUCUAGAUAUCGAAUUGAUGUGGUGGCUCUAAUCUUGAUGAGAGGCUUCUUCUCCCUUGAAGAACAAUGAAUUAGGGUUGAGAGGCUCUCUCCUCCAGGUGCUAGGGGGUCUAGUUUUAUAGUCCCUUCAAGUGAAUAUGGGCCGUUGGAUCAAACCGACAUAGAUUGUAUGGUUUAGAUUCAUCCUUUAGGUCGGUGGAGAUCUCCCGCAAAGCAGAGUCCUGAUUGGACUCAGGAGGUGGGCGGGCGCCCUGAUCACCUGGGCGGGCGCCCAGGGUCAGGCCUCGUUUCGCCUCCGCUUCGGUCUCGUGGCUUCUGGAGUCUUCUAGAUGUAAGAUAAUUGUGCGGCACGUGAAUAUCUUUAUUUAAUCCCGACGUGUGGGUCUUUCUUCCAUAUUUCCUGAUAACCCCCUGCAGAAAUAGACAAACACCAAAACUCGUGGAAUUCUGUCAGAUAAAACCCUAAGUCUAGAUGUUGAUUUCAUUUGGAUCCUUUUCUUUAUUUAUUUGACAAUUAAAUUUGAUACUUAAGAACCGUCAACAAACUCCCCCAAGCUUACCUCUUGCUCGUCCCUGAGCAAGGACAGACUCAGCUAUGGAUCAUAAGUUGUUGCGAUAUCUUUAAAAAUUGACAGUAUACAUGCUUUUUAAAUAAGAUCUCAUCUCUGAGUUAGAGUAAACUGUCAUGACUUAAAACUUACUUACUUUACCUUCACCAUGGGACUUGUAACCGUCACUUCUGUCUUGAGUGGUUAAAAGAUAGAACAGUCUAGUCAAGUGCCAUGUCUCUUAUUCUUGAUCAGCUAUAGCUCUGGUGUUUUUGCAGAUUUUCAAAUAAAACUUAGAGAUUCCUUGUAUGAUUCUCUCAGAUCUCUCUUUUGUGGUAUUUCUGGAUCCUUACCAAGGCAGUGAUGGUAUAUGCCUUCUCUCAAGAUAUGUGGUAUUUGUGGUAUAAAGCAUAGUGACAUUGUCUUCUCUCUCACCCUAUUCUAAUAAGGCUUUAAUAUCUGGAGCUCAUAGGUGGGAGAUAAAGUAUACAUACUUACAAGACAUUUAUUGCAUAGUCAAACCAUGGAUCCAAAGAAACAAAUCAAUAAGCCAAAUCAAGAUGUGCAUGUGUGGCGAAUGAAUGGUGUAUGGUGAUGAUGGUGAUAACAAUGGUGGAAGUCUAAUUCUACUUUUGCUCUUUUGAGGGGAUACAUACCUUCCUUGCUUUCUGAAACUUUAUGAGGAGAAUGAGAUGCUCUAUAUUUUUCUUUUCUCUCAGGUGGGUGUCUUAUACCCCUAAUUCUACUGUCGGACACUUGUCCAUUUUUACCUCUCGUCUCUCUUUUUCUUUUCUUUCGAGGUUCCGAGCACUUGCUCCUUUUUAUUUCCUCAUAUAUAUAUAUAUAUAUAUAUAUAUUUCUUUUUUUUAGAGCACUCAUCUCUUGAGAUAAUAUAGCAAGUGUUAGUAACAAGAUAAUUUGAGCAUUUAUUUCACAAGGGAAAACAGGAAUAUUUUUGGUUAUUCUCUCCCGGAUUAGGAGUAGAAUAUUUUUGGGUGAUUCUGGAGAUGAAAAUGGGUGGAUAUAUGUGGAUGGUACUUCCGGAGUAGAAGUAGCAUAUAUGAGUGAACGUGCAAGUGAAAUCUUGAUUUAACCUCAUGACAAGCUCCUAAGGGUCUACACAGCUUGACCACACUCAAUGCUAAUAAACAGUAAAUAGUAAAUGUGUGGCUCAAAGUCUAGCAAGCAUGUAUAUAUGGCUGUGGUAGGAAUUUUAAACUCUCAUCAUACAAGAACUCAUCAUGCAAUAUUUUAAAGAUUUUCAAAGAUAAAAUUCUCCAGAAUUCUAGCAUCUCUACGAACAGAUAAACAGCAGCUCAACCUUCCCAUAUCGUAUCCGUUAACAACUUAGACUUCAGAUCAAGUUUUCAUCCCACAAGUUUAGGUCUAGAGCAAGCCUUAAAUUAUAAUAGUUAUGUCUAAACUUGAGAGAGAACAUAAAAUUUGCAAAUUAGGCAGAGCAACUAUUCAUCAUAUCCAUGCUUGAUUUAGAUACAGAUUAGCAUAGCUACUUUAUUUAUUUAUUAAACACACUAAGCAAAAGAGAUAUAUAUAUAUAUAUAUAAGCACAAAAUCUUUAUUUGGUUUUCUAUAGUUAUAUAUAUUUAAAUUCUAAAAUAAUAUAAGUAUAAAGAUAGAUAGAUAGAAAUACUUAUCGAGAUAAAUGAGGGUGCUCUCCCCCAAGCUGAAUUUUGACGUAAUUUCUCUUGAUGUAGCUAGCAGGUGGCAGAGGUGUAUUUGAAAGUCAGCAGCAUUCUGACAGCGACUAGAAUGUCCUCCGUCUCCUAGUCUUCUUGAUUCUUAAAUUCUGUGGAGCUCAAAUAGACAACAAAGCUUGUGGAACUGAUUAAGUGUUAGCAUAAAUAUCUAGCCUUUAUCAUGUUGAGACUCCUUAAUUAUUACUCCAUGUUUUUAUAUUUUUAUUUUAUAAAGCAGAAAAGAAAUUUUUAUUUUAUUUUUAUGCCACCACAGUGAAUGUACUUAUGGGUUUUAUGCCACUCGUAUACUCACAUGGGGCUUACUGUUUUUCAUAUUUUUAUUUUAUUUUUAAGAUAGCACGAACAUGAUUAACUAAGUAAACUAUUUGAAAAUAAUUGAAAGGGAAAGGAUAACUACCAAGUUUACCUCUUGGCAAGGCGUUCGGUGUUUUUAAGUCCUCCGAACGGGACUCUCCGUUUUCUUCAAUUGUCCUGGGAUUCGUUGGGUGGCGUAGUCGGUACUUCCGGCGGCGCCUCCUCUUCAUGUAUAGUUAUCUUCAUUUUCCACACCUGACUUGGUGCUUUGGUCUCCUCUGGAUAAUUCUGUUUAAACUCUACGUCUUCUGACCUUACAACUUCUCCUUCGUAGUCUGCCCAUCCGACCCUGAUGAUCUGCCUCCUCUGGUUGCGGUUGCGUCGCUUUCUUACCUGCUUAGAUUCUUCAAUGAUAUAGUUAGGAUCAGAAAAAUAACGGCGUACCUUCUAUGAAGGGAAGUGCAUAUGGACUUCUCCGGUUCCAAUGUAGAUAAUUGCUUUAACGGUGCUGAGGAACGGUCUUCCAAGGAUGAUGGGUGGAUCAUAUUCGUCUUCUCCCAUGUCAAUAACCUGAAAGUCUGUGUAGACAAAGUGAUCGUCUAUUUUGACUGGGACAUCAGUUACUGUUCCUUUAACUUCUCGAAACGUCUGAUCUGCCAUCUGGAGCUGAAUGUAUGUUGGUUUUAGUGGCAUGGUUCCGAACAAGAGCCGAUAGGUGACUGCGGCCAUUAUGUUGACGCCCGAUCCGGUGUCACAAGUUGCCUUGUAGAAGUUGUAUCCAUUUAUGGAGCAGUAGAUGCUUGGCAUUCCUGGGUCGUCCUUCUUGGUCAAAAACGGUGACUUAAGUUGAUGAUCUUGACCUCCAUGAACUACAGUGACCAUCUUAGCUGACUCGGUCCACACUUGCUUAUUUCUGUUCCUCCUGUUGGUCCUCUUCCUUGACUCACGUCUGGAUUGAUCUGGAAUUUUUGUAGUCUUGUUCUUGAAGAAAAAUGUCUCCUUCCUCCCUUUGAUGUAGAAACUGAUCUUGGCAGCACUAGCGUAGAUGAUAGCUCCCGUGGUGUUCAAGAGUGGCCUCCCUAAGAUGAUAGGUGCUCUCUCAUCAUUUCCGGUCUCUACCACUACGAAGUCUGCUAGGGCAUAUAAGGUACCAACUCGGACACAAAGGUUCUUCAAUAUUCCUUUUGGAAAAGUUAUCGUCUGAUCUACAAACUGCAAACACAUGUUUGUCUCUAAUAAAGGAUAUGUAAAGAAUUUUUCAUAGAGUACCCUGGGUAUAAUGUUGACACUAGAGCCAAAGUCGCAGAGUGCUUCUGGAACGUCCACCAUGCCGAUGGAGAUCGGGAUGACGGGGCGUCCUGGAUCGCCUCUCUUGACCGGCAGAAGGUCAGUAGAGAACUCAGUGACGGGGUUACUCCAAUUACCUACAUCAAACAUGUCUACAAGAUUUGCAGAUUCUAAUCCUUCCAGUUGUGAUCGUAUACCGGGGUUAGUAACAGGAACAACAGCAGCUAUUUGAUUUAAGUGAGAUUCAAUCAUUUUAUUAAAGCUAAUUUGAUUCUUGAUGGCAGUAGAGAAAUUAUCCAUUCUAUUAUUUAUAUUUUCGAGCAUUUUAUCAUUAGAUGCCAAUUUCUUAGAUAGGUUAUCCAUUAGCUUUCCUUGAUUAGACACUAACUCUCUCAGAGGUGGAAAAUUAUUAUUAUUGUUGUAAGAAUUGUUACCUUGAUAAUUACCUGAGUAGUUAGGCCUCUGUUGAUUCCAACCUUGAUUUUGUUGAGGACGGUUGUAGUUGUUGUUGUUGAUGUAGUUCACAUCCUCAAGCAUCUCAGGGCAGUGAUUGCCUGAGUGUCCAGUGUCUCCACACUCCUCACAAGUCAUGUGAGAGUCGUAGAUGUGCAUAACUUCUUUCUUGUCUCCAGCUCUAUCGUCGAGCUUUUUCAUGAGCAGGUCUAGCUUUGCAGACAGCAUGUCUACCUCCUUGAGCUGAUGCAUACCUCCACCUCUCUUGAGUGUCUGGGUCCUCUCUUCAUUCCAGCUUUGGUUGGACGCCAUCUUCUCCACAAGAGCUGUGGCUUGUGGUAUAGUAAGUGAUAAGAAUGCUCCUCCAGCUGCAGCAUCCAUGGUCUCUCGAGCACUGUUGCCGAGCCCAUGAUAGAACGUCUGCAUCAAUAGCCAACUCUCCAUUCCACGAUGGGGACAUUCUAGGAUGUAGUCUUGGAAGCGCUCCCAUACUUCUGGAACGGAUUCAUCAUGUUGCUGCUGAAAACUUGUAAUCUUCCCACGAAGAGCAUUGGUCUUGCCCAUGGGAAAGAACUUAGCCAGGAAGUUUGUUGAGCAUAGUGCCCACGUAGUAUUCUUCUCCUUUGUAGCGUAGAACCACUGCUUCGCUCUCCCUAACAGUGAGAAUGGGAAGAGGCGAAGUAGUAUAGCAUCUUUGGAAACUCCUGAUAUGGUGAAUGUGGUGCAAAUCUCCAGGAAGUGUUGUAAAUGAGCACUAGCAUCUUCGUGUGCCUUCCCACAGAACUGGUUGGAUUGCACCAUGUUGAUAAGUCCAGGCUUGAGCUCAAAGUUGCUGUCGAUCUCUACAGCAGGUCCAGUGCGGAUGUUGUCCGUAGUGGGAGCUGAGAACUCGCGGAUUGAUUUGUUCGCCAUGGCUUCGAACUCUGAAGACAAGUUCCGGUGAUCUUCUUGAUUGGAUGAAGCUUCUUGCUGAAGUGUUGAUGAUCUCUUCUUGAGCUUGGCUCUCGUCUUCUUGAAUAAUGCUUCGGGAUUGUCAACAAAAUUUCCUGGAAGAUGUCUUCUAUUCAUACAUUCCCCUGCAUAAGAUAAAAUAGAAAAAUAUCGGGGUAAAACUGUAUGAGAGAAUAGAUAAGCUCAAUCAUAUUAGUGAUGCGAAUGAUAACUCAAAAUCGUUUAUUCCAUUCCUGAUUAGUAAUCAACCUUCCCCGACAACGGCGCCAAAAAUGCUUGUUUGGUAUUCUUAACAUCAUUACCAAAAGUAGACUAAGUUCUAAAUCUAGUAACGGUGCCAAAAAUGCCAAACCUAUCCCUCACACCACUUAAGCCAAGUUGUCAUCCCCAGCAUGAUAUAAGAGACGCGGUAUUGAAAUAUGCAAUUGCUCUUCUAAAUAAAUAAUGAAUGGGAUCUGCAAGCGCACAGAUUAAUACCGAUGUAGCAUUUUAACUGGGAAGUAUUCCAGGUAUCGUUAUUUAUAUUUUUACCAUUGGAAAGGGAUUAGCAAUCAUCACUAUUGAUUACAGAAUAGAAUAUGAGAUUGAGCAUCUAUCAUUGCAUGUAUAAUUGAGAACAUUAUAUCUAACUCUUCAUACAGGGAUAAGUGUCACAUAAAAGAUAUAUGAAAUAAUAAUAGUGACAAGGAUAACUAAUCUGAUCUAGCCACAUAAUAAAUAUGAUAAGCACCUCAAUUAGAUACUCUAGAAAGUCAUUAGCAUGGUAUUAGAAUGAACUACAGGAAUAUUCCCUAAGUUAUUCUCAUAGUUAGUGCAAGCAUACUAAGCAAUCAUUGUGAGACAAGACUACGCCCAUGCAUAGUGAUAUUAGCAAGGAAUAUGAGAAACAUAGCAAUCACUCCCCUGUAAUAAUGUUGCUCUGCCAGCCCAAUACACGAGAGGGGGACUAUAUAAGAAUCAAUGAAGCUGUCACUAUCAUGAACUACCCCACGAUCUGGCAUAUUGGGUACAAUCGUAGAUAAAUACGGUAUAAGCACCACGCCUACACAAUAUCUAUCAUUUACCCAUGGAUUCGAUGGAUAAACGCUAUACGAUCCUAAGCAUGUAUAUAGAUCCAAUCUAACUAAGCCAAGUACAUAACUAUGAUAAACUAAGAACAAUAUACUCUUGAAUAUAAGCAAGUAGAGCAAAGUCAUAAGCAAUAUAUUGAAGUAGAACAAAGUCAUAUUCAUAAUAUUGAAGAACAAAGAUAAUUAGAAAGCAAUUAGAAGCACAAUUAGAGAAUUACCAAGAAUCCUCCUGAUAGAUCCGGAAACCAAUCGAAGAUUGACUCCUUAUAGUUCUAAUCCUAUGUAGCUAUGCUAAUCUAGAUAUCUAAUUGAUGUGGUGGCUCUAAUCUUGAUCAGAGGCUUCUUCUCCCUUGAAGAACAAUGAAUUAGGGUUGAGAGGCUCUCUCCUCCAGGGGCCAGGGGGUCUGGUUUUAUAGUCCCUUCAAGUGAAUAUGGGCCGUUGGGUCAAACCGACAUAGAUUGUAUGGUUUAGAUUCAUCCUUUAGGUCGGUGGAGAUCUCCCACAAAGCAGAGUCCUAAUUGGACUCAGGUGGUGGGCGGGCGCCCUGAUCACCUGGGUGGGCGCCCAGGGUCAGGCCCCGUUUCGCCUCCGCUUCGGUCUCGUGGCUUGUGGAGUCUUCUAGAUGUAAGAUAAUUGCGCGGCACGUUAAUAUCUUUAUGUAAUCCCGACGUGUGGGUCUUUCUUCCAUAUUUCCUGAUAACCCCCUGCAGAAAUAGACAAACACCAAAACUCGUGGAAUUCUGUCAGAUAAAACCCUAAGUCUAGAUGUUGAUUUCAUUUGGAUCCUUUUCUUUAUUUAUUUGACAAUUAAAUUUGAUACUUAAGAACCGUCAACACCCUUCAAUGGCAAUAUGUACAUCCCUCACUAAUUGAUUUGCAGAGAUUUGAUUACCAGCAGCACUAAUGCAAAAUUUGCCAUUGGCAAGAUCAACUACAUGUUGUCCAUGCUUAGAUGCGAAUGCUUGACUCAUAAAUGAAUGCAAAGCUCCGGAAUCAAACAAGACAACUGCAGGGUGUUGAUUGACAAGAAACAUACCAGCCGUAACCAGUUCACCUUCGGGGAUUUCUUCAAUGGUGGUAUAGUGCACUCGGCCGGUACGAGUAUUAACCCCAGCUGUAGAAGUCCUCUUAGGAUAAGGGCAAUCCCUUGCCCAAUGACCAACCUGUUUGCAGUUGAAGCAGGGAUGGUUAUCAGGGGGAGUUUUGGGGCUCCCUUGACCGGUAGCACCUCAGGGAAGAGCAACCGUGAAGGUCUUGCAAACUCCUGUCUUCACAUUUGACUUCUUCUAUGGUAGCCUGUACCUUGUCGCAGCAUUGGGUGGGCGAUAGGCUGGCUUACUUGUCACCGGAGCCUUGGACUGCGAAGCACAUACCUCAUAGGCCCUCUUGCGGUUCUUGGAUGCAGCAUAAAUAGCAUUGGAGUUCUCCUAGGUCAGAGCAUCACUCCCAAACUCAUUGAAGGUGGUACUCUUGUUACCAACCAUAUUCUUGGACAGCUUAGGCCCAAGUCCUCUCUUGAAACUAGCAAGCUUCUUAGCGUCGGUAUCAACAAACUCAGUAGCAUAGCGAGACAGAUUAUUGAAAGCAUGAAGAUACUCAGUCAAACUUUUGGUGCCCUGAGUUAAAUUCAUGAACUUAGUAUGCUUCAUGGUCAUUAAGCCAUGCGGAAUAUAAGUGUCCCUGAAAGCAGUUUUGAACUGAUCCUAGGUUACAAAAGCAUCGACAGGCAAGCUGGUCCUAUAAUGGCUCCACCAGACACCUGCUUUGCCCUCCAAUUGAUAUGCUGCAUAUUCCGUCUUCAAUUCCUCAGUCACCCUCAAUAAGCGAAACUUCUUCUUGAGAGUGUUAAGCCAUUCACUACCUUCCAGAGGUUCAGAGGCCUCCUUGAAAACCAGUGGCUUGGUGUCCUGAAAGUCCUUAAAGUUGCUAUAUCGAUUCGCUUCUCCGCCUUGGCGGGCUUGGCGACCACCUCGGUUCUGCUAUGCCAUGGUUUGCAUAGCUUCAUUUAGCUUCUGCUGGCCCUCAACAAGAGUUGCCAGGAGCUCAGCAGACGUAGGUGGGGGAGGAGGUGGUGGUGGCGGCACCUCAUUGUGGCGAGCCAUCUGCACAAGGCACACCAAGUGAUCGUUUAGGAUGAUAGAAUAAUUGCCAAUGAAUUUCAAUUGAUGCCAUACGGAAUUUACUACAUUAAAUCCGCAUAAUACCGGGCACAAUAAUCCAUUACAACAAGUGAGCAUCAUCCAUAAUAUUGGUUACACUUGCGAGCAUUCACAACCACAUGGUUUCACAGAAAUUAAGGACAUUGCUGGAAAUUAUUUAAGCUUAACAUAAACAUGGAGCAUCACAUACAAGUGCAUACGGUUACACCAGGUCAUUGUCACAAAUUAAGUCUUACAAGAAGGGCAUCCUGGCCAAAUACAUAGUGUCUCAACUGAAAAUUCAGAUUACAUGUCCAUUACAUAAAAAGGCAAGAGCUGGUACUUAAAUGUGGAAACCAUUGCUAAACUACAGAUCUCCCUCGGAUUCAUCAUUAGAGACAAUGCCAUCCUCCUGGUCUUCCUCACUGGGGUCCUCUUCAUGAUUAAUGGGGAUAGGGUGGGGAAUAGGAUUUAUGACAUUGUUUAGGCGAUGGACGUCUAACUGCAGCUCAGCAAUCCUAUGGAUCAGCUCUUGCUCUCUAACCUCAGCUUGGAACAAGGCUCUCACCCUAGCUGCUUCUCUAUUUUCAGCCAAGCGCAUAGCAUCAUCUCGCUCUCUAGUCAUUUGCAUCAUGCAGGCUUGUGAUUCAUUGCGCUCCCUAACUGCAUUUUCAACUUGGUUGCGACGGGCUUGCAAAGCAGUAUGAUAGUUUAGGAGUGUGAAAGGUGGUUUGCGCUCCCUUCAUUUUUCUCUUCCAAUAGUCAAAAGAACUUGUGCCAUCAAAGAACGGUGGUUUGCCCCCAACAUGGUUGAACACUAUUUGAGCCAUAAUUUGAGCACCGAGGUUGUUAAGCCUUCACAAAACGGUGACCACGGCUCCGAUACCACUUGAAAGGUCCUAAUAUGGCUAGAGGGGGUGAAUUGCCUAUUUAAAAAUUCUAAAAACUCACUAGAGUAAGAGGUUAGUAAAUAACAAAGCGAAGCUUUUUGCUGUAGCUCUAAUGGGAUGAUUGCAAGCCACCUAUCCAACAAUUCUAGUUGAUAAGAACACUGGGCACACAAGAGCUAUGACACUACAAGCUACACUAGAGAACUAUGCUACACAAGGCAAAGUAAGCAACUAAACUAAUUACACUACUUUGCGGUAAGUAAAUGAAGAGGAGGAGAUAUUUAUACCGCCGUGUGGGGGAUGAACCAAUCACCAAUAUAUGAACAAUCAAUCACCAGGAGAAUGUCAAUCAUACACAAUUGAGACACCAAUUUUUCUCCCGAGGUUCACGUGCUUGCCGACACGCUACGUCCCCGUUGUGUCGACCAACACUUGGUGGUUCGGCGGCUAAGAGGUGUAGCACGAAUUUUGUCCUCACUAGGACACCGCAAGAACUGACCCACAAGUGAGGUAACUCAAUGACACGAGCAAUCCACUAGAGUGGCUUUUGGCACUCCGCCGGGGAAUAAGCCCAAGAACCCCUCACAAAUAUCACCUUGAUUGGGGGUGGACACAAUCACCAAAUCCCCUCACCAAUCAACAAAUCCACAACUGUCUAGGUGACGACAAUCACCAAGAGUAAUAAGAAAUCCACAAUUGCAAUCACCACCUAGUGCCACAAGAAUGAAAUCACAAAAGCACAACAGUAGGGUUUCCCCAAAUCCUCUCACCAAUGAGCACCAAGCUAUGGAGAAGGAGAGGAGAUGAAGGAGAUGCACUUGAAGCUCUCAGAUCUGUCACUUGAGCUCAAUCUCUCACUUGAAUGGAGCACAAAGCUUAGGGAGUGAGAGAGGAGGAAGGGAGAGCUUUCUCUACUCUUUAGAAGAGCCACUGGAAGUCAGAAAAUGUGUUCUAUUCGAGUUUCCCCGUCAAAAACGAAGGGAACGAGUACUUAUAGUGUGGCACCGGAAGUUCUGGUGCCUGGGACCGGAACUUCCGGUCUGACCAGAUCUGACCGUUGGAGCCUCGGUCCAAGCAGAUCUGACCGUUGUGAGAGACUCAGACCCAUCGAAAGUUCCACCGGAAGUGAAUUCUGACGCACGAGGGCAUGUGCAAAGGCUCCAAUGCGUACUCCCGUUCAUGGACUUCCGGUUGUGGACCGGAACUUCUGGUCAUGGACCGGAACUUCUGGUCAUGGACUGGAACUUCCAGUCAGACACCGGAAGUGUUUUCUCAAACGCGAGCGCACCUCUCACAGCCCAACCGGAAUUUCCUAUCAGGCUGACCGGAACUUCCGGUCAGGCACCGGAAGUACCACUGGAACUUCCGGUCCUACAUUCUCAGCACCACCUCAAAACUUUUUAGGAUGCUAACUUCUAGCUCCGAACUCCGAAUUCGAUGAUCUUGGACAUUUCGGAAAGCUUACUCAGAGGGAUAUACGAUCAUAUGGAUACUCAAUCCAAAUCAUAAUGGAUCAAAGCAGUAUUUCAAUCUAAAAGCCAUCCUAAUGUCCGGAGAACACCGAAAAGCCUCUCUCUCUUCUCCAAGUUGAUCAAAAUCAACUCCAACACCUUCUCCUUUGCAAAUGUGCCAACACCACCAAGUGUACACCACCAUGUGCAUGUGUGUUAGCAUUUCACAAUCAUUUUUAUAGGGUUUCUCAUACAACUCACCACAUCACUAAGUGCUAGGUAAAUGCAAAUGAGACUCACACUUAGUGGCACUAGAUAACCAUUGCAAUUAAAGAUUUCCCCUCUUUAUAAUACGGUUAUCUAUCCUAAAUCCACUCACAACAGCUAGGUGUCUUGAGUGGUAAAACAAAAUGGUCCUAAUAAAAAUACCUUUGCCUUGAGCCCAUUUUGUUUUUCUCUUUCUUCUUUUCCAAUUUGGAGCACUGGAAUAUCAUCUUUUGGUCACCUCCAUCACCAUGACCAUCAUCUAGCUCCAUCAUUUGGUGUGUACCAACCUAUCCUUAUAUUUCACUCAUGACAAAGGUUAGUACACAUAGGUUUCAUCAAUUAUCCAAAACCAAACUGGGACUUUUAGAGUACCAAACAUGUCCAGAAAUGUUUCACUUGCAUGUGGGGCUGCCAUCUGUAGGGAAAGACCACAAUUGAGUAAGAAAAAUUAAUUUACAAGAGGAGAUAAUUAGGUACAAGUUUCGGAAUUAUAAGAAUUUAAGUAGUGCAUAAAGAGAUGCAUGAAUGAUUCAUGAUGCAAGCACGUCUCAUACAUCCUUACCAUUCCUAGGAAGAAAAUUCUAGCGGUAUAGUCGGUGGCAUACGUACGUGCUCUCUUUAUACGUAACUACACGGUCUACACGUUUCGCUGUUAGUGUACCUGCAGAAAAUUCAUUUCAGCCCAACCCCACAUGAGUAUAUGUGCAAAAAUGAAAGUAUAAUCUUCUAAAUUCAAGCUAAGUACUGAUAUAUAUCCCUGAACAUAUAUCGCAGCACACUACCCAUGUGAAGUACACCCAUAUAUACAUCAAAUAUGUAUACACGGUUGCACCAACUACCCACAAUUAAGUACCAUCAUAUAUACAUGUGUGCAACAUGUAAAUAUUCCAGUAACCACAGCUAACACUCCCCUAGACCGACGGUUGGACGGUCAUGCUCUCACAGCUCACACUUACCAUAGCGUAGAGGCAUGUGAUCCAUACAUUACCACUCAAGCAAGUGGCAUCCAUACAAUUUCACGCCGUAUGGACAACGAAUGGAAAACAUUGCUUACCGUGGCGUAGAGGUAUAUGAUCCAUUCAUUACCACUUAAGUAAGUGGCAUCCAUGUUAUUACACGCCACAUGGACGAUGAAAAGAAAACCCCCUGUUAGUAACACUUAGCCACCUAGGAGUCCUUAAGCGGGCAUAAAGGGUAUGACCACUGGCAUGGUAUAUGUUGUUCAAACAUUUUAAAAACAGCCCUAUGUAUAGUCUAAUUUGCCAAUUAAUUUGGGAAAAACAAAUUCAUUUGUUUUUAAAUACAUCUAUGAUGGUUAAAUGCUUAAUCUUGCUCCGAUGCUAGCUGUAACAGAACCAUCUAAUUUAUAAGAAUUCAAGUGAAUUAGCGACCACAAGAGUAGUCAAGCCAAUGGACUUGAACCCAUAUAAACCCGGUAGUCCGACAAAACCUCAAAAGAUCUCGAUUCAACCAACAUACAACCAAUACCGUACAUGAUCAAGCAUCUCCAUCACAAAUUGUAAAUAUCCACCACAGAACAUAGUUUUACACACAUCAGAGUUCAAAUAAAGUUUAUUACAACAAGGUUUGGUAGCGGAAGCAAAGUAGUUUUGAAACAACACACGCUCAGUUUAAUUACAUGCUAGUUCCAUGACCAUCCCAACAAAAGCACAACUGAAGAUACAAGAGGUGAUCUUGCCCGAGAUCUACUCAUCAUCUGCAGCCGGAUGGUGACAGUUAGCACAGUAGCCAUGAUACACGACAUCAUCUGCAACAAGGGUAAAUAAAACCCUGAGUACGAGAAUGUACUCAGCUAGACUUACCCGACAUAAACCAGAAAUAAAGUGACAGCAAGGAGUAUGCAAGGCUAACAUUUGUUGGCUGGUUUGACUCACAUUUUGCAUAAAAAGCUUUAGUUUUGAGUAACACAUUUAUAACAUUUUCAGCAGCAAGUUCAUUACUUUAAAGGCUAUCCACUAGGUUAGCACCUGUUCUAAGCAUACACUUGAGUAUUAAGCAUCACAAUAAUAACCAUAUCUGGAUUAUCACAUUGCCAUCAUCAUUAUCAUCAUAACCAUUAAGUUCACUUAGUGAAUUAUACGCUGCCGUUGCUCGAGUCAAGUUCUCACUAUCCGGGAGAGACGACAUUCGAAUCGAUUCCUAUCCAGCUGGAGGGGUAUUCCUAGCACUCACCCUAGCAUACCUCGUGAGGUGGUGAGGUCGUUGUCCCGAUCUUCAUGACGUAGGACAACUAGCUGAAGAUCAACUGAUAACUUGCUGCAAGCAGCGAGGAUAACUAGUGCAACCUGACGACACGCACAAGGAGCCAACCACCGUCUCUAUACGGCAGCCUGAACCAAGGAUUCGCCCAACCACACUCUCAAAGAACCAACCUACGCAACCUGAACUCAAGGAUCAGGAGCACGGAUUGGGUGCCGAUGAUGUGGCUGCUUCUGUAAUCUCCGCGAAGGAAAACACAAGAGCAAAGGGGUAGAGAUCUCUCUCUGAAUUUGUUAGCACACAGCUGAACAAAGUGGUUUGUAUUCUCAAUAUCAUAAGUCUCUGAUUACAAUGAGUCUUAGGGGGUAUUUAUACUAGCAACAGCCCUGCUAGAUAGGUAUGAAAACAAAAUAGAGUUUCUGAGGGAAGGCAAUGUGAAAGGUCCCCUCGAAAUGGAUUCCCGAAGUGGCUUCGCGUGACUGUUGGCCUCCAGAGCAGUUUCCAAUAAACUGACCAUAACUUUUUAUUGGAAGUCCAAAUGACGUGCGGUUUGUUGCAAUGGAAAUUUAACUUGAUAAGAUUUCACUCCAUGUGCAGCAUGUACCACGAAACCUGGUAGAUUGGUACAGUUUUGCACGGCAACUUGAACUUCAUGCAGACUGAUGACUCGAUGACCAGUGUCGACUAAAACAGGUCGGCAGAUUUACUGGCAUCACCAAACAGGUUCUCACCGGUGGCAUUAGAAAGUAGACUCGAAGAGCUUUCCAACAAGUGCUCAUGGGCUUUCAUAGCAUCUCGGAAGUGAAAGUUAUGAUCUUUUCUUUCAACUGUCCGUUCUGCACCGCACUAGUCCGAUCUGCCCUUCUUUCAACUGGUCCGUUCUGCACCGUGUUGUUCCAAUCCUUGUGGUCCAGGUCACCUCCCUCCUCAUGUGUAUACAUAAGCACAACCAAAGUAGAACACUUAGGUAGUAUAAUAUUCUCAUUAACAUUAAUAGAACUCUCACAAAGUAGCGCGUUCACCUCUUGUUGUAGCUUCUUGGCUCGGCUACGUGUAAUUGCUCCAUCAAUGGCUUGGGCUCGUGCCGGCGUAGUCGGUGUAGAGGUUGGCGUGGAAUUAGAGGGAGCAUGCUUGGUUGGGAUGUCCUCAUCAUCCUCCCUCUCUUGAAAAGGAGUCGACCUCGACUCUGAUUCUUCUAAUCCGAAGAAUGGUGUCAAGUCAGUAACAUUGAAGGUUGUGCUAACACCAUAAUCUUCAGGAAGCUCAAUCUUGUAGGCAUUAUCAUUGAUCCUGGACAGCACUCUGAAUGGACCAUCUCCCCAUGGCAUCAACUUGGAUUUACGCUUCUCAGGAAAGCGGUCUUUGCGAAGAUGUACCCACACUAAAUCUCCGGGCUCAAAUAUCACCUUCUUGCGAUGCUUGUUUGCCCAAUCAGCAUAGUACUUGGACCUUCUUUCGAUUGCUUCUUUGGUCUUCUCAUGAAUCUUCUUGACAUAUGAUGCACGCUUGGAUGCUUCCAUGUUAAUCCUUUCCAAAGCAUACAAUUCUUUGUCAUACACCAAGUAGUUCAGUUGCGCACCUCCUAACUUCUCACUGAAGUAUGCAACCAGCUGUCCAUUUUGCAUUAGGACACCACCGAUUCUGAUCCCACUUGCAUCACAUUCAACCUCAAAGGUUUUAGUGAAAUCCGGUAACACCAGCAAGAGGGCUUCGGAUAGCCUCUUCUUCAAUUCUUAGAAUGCUCUCUCUUGUGGUUCACCCCAUUGGAAGGCAACACCUUUCUUUGUUAACUCAUUCAACGGAGUAGCUAUGGUGCUGAAAUCUCUCACAAAUCUCCUAUAAAAACCAGCAAGUCCAUGAAAACUUCUCACCUGACUCACAUUUUCAGGAGUUGGCCAAUCCUUGAUUGCUUUCACCUUUGAUUCAUCAACCUGAAUUCCUGAACUUGAAACAACAAAACCAAGAAACACAACCUGAUCUGUACAAAAUGUGCACUUCUCAAGGUUAGCAAAUAAUUUUUCUUUUCUUAGCACAUCCAAAACUUGCUUAAUAUGAUCAACAUGUGCCUCCAAUGUCUUGCUGUAAAUUAUAAUAUCAUCAAAGUAAACAACAACAAACUUUCCAAUGAAUGCUCGCAAGACAUAGUUCAUCAAUUAAUGAACGUACUAGGGGCAUUGGUCAAACCAAAAGGCAUAACUAACCAUUCAUACAGCCCAAACUUUGUUCUCCAAUCUUCAUUCUAAUUUGAUGGUAACCACUUCUCAAAUCAAUUUUAGAAAACAUCAUAGAACCACUCAAUUUAUCAAGCAUAUCAUCUAGCCUAGGAAUAGGAUGACGAUAACGAACGGUGAUGUUGUUUAUGGCUCUACAAUCUACACACAUCCUCCAAGAACCAUCUUUCUUUGGCACCAAAAUCAUAGGAACAGCACAAGGACUUAAACUUUCACGCACAUAUCCUUUAUCUAAAAGUUCUUGUACUUGCCUUUGAAUCUCCUUGGUUUCUUCCGGAUUGGUGCGGUACGCCGGACGGUUUGGAAGUGCAGCUCCAGGGAUGAGAUCAAUUUGAUGUUCAAUACCGCGCAAAGGAGGAAGUCCAGCAGGUGUUUCCUUUAGAAAAACAUCGUCACAGUCCUGCAAAACACAUGCAACAACACUAGGGACAGAUGUUAAGUCAUUAGCUGAAAGCAAUGAGUCCUUGCACACAAGUACAAAUAGUACUUGACCUGGGUUUUUCCUCACAUCUCUCGUUUUAGAUUUGGUGGCUAUCAUCACGACGUUCUCUCCCUCUCUUUUUCUGUCAUCUCUCAUGUUUGGCUUGUGGCUCUCACUCAUUGAUUUGUGGAGGGCACUCAAAUUAUUUUUCUCUCCUUCUUUUGCACUCUCAUUCCUCACUUCGGAGCUCUUUUGCAAGUGCUCAGCUAGGAUUUGCUGCGGUGUCAUGGGUUUAAGAAUCAACUCCUUGUUCUUCCACUUGAUGGUGUAUUGAUUGGUUCUACCACAAUGUAGAGACGAUCGAUCAUAUUGCCAUGGUCUUCCCAACAGCAUGUGGCACACUAUCAUAGGCGCGGCAUCAAACUCUACAGUGUCAAUAUAUUCACCAAUCUUGAAUGGAACUUUCACUCUUUGUGCAAUCUUAAUAGAACCUGAAUUAUUAAGCCAUUGCACAUGAUAUGGAUGGGGAUGUUUCAGCAGCUUCAACCCAAGCUUUUCAACCAUUUCUUUGCUUGCAAGAUUGUGGCAACUGCCACCAUCAAUGAUCACUUUGACAGCCUUAUCUUGCACUUUAGCUCUAGUCUGAAAAAGAUUGUGCCGCUGUCCAUUUUCAGCAUCGCUCAUUUGUACACUCAAAAUUUGAGUUAGAACAAGAGCAGCACCAGAUUCAAAUUCACAGAUGUCCUUCUCAAGAUUACUCUCACUUCCACUAUCUUCUUGUUCUUCCUCACUAGCAGAUUCAUACUCCCCUUGAUCAUUCACAAUGAUGGUUUUAGCGUUUGGACACUCUCUUGCAACAUGACCACGACCACCACACUUGAAGCACUGAAUUCCACUACUCUUGCUGGAAGAACCCACUGAGUUUGCUGAUUUGAAUUUCUCAUUUUGAGCAGCCAACUCUUUGCUACUAGAAAAACCAAGGUUGCUAGAUCGUGCACCACCGUUUGAGCUGGAAAAUGUACCUUUACUUCCACUUCCUUUGGGUGCAAAUUUACUUCCACUUGCUGCACUCUUUGUGCUGAAAGAUACUCCUCUAGUGGGCUUCAUAUCUUGCUGCAAUUGCCGCUCAGCUUUGCUAGCUUGAUGCACCAAUUCAACAAGAUUACGAUAUUACUGAAAUUCAACAAUGCGCUAAAUAUUCCGAUGCAGCCCUGACAUAAAUCUUGCAAUUGUUUGCUCUUCAUCUUCAAUUACAUUGGCUCUAAUCAUCGUCUUCUCCAUCUCUUUAUAAUACUCAUCAACACGGAGGCUUCCUUGCUUCAGAUUUUGUAGCUUGUCAAAUAAAUCACGGCGAUAAUGUUUGGGGACAAAUCUUGCUCUCAGUUCUCUCUUCAUUUCAGCCCAUGAACGAACAUCACCUUGACCAGCUUCUUCUCUUUCAUUCAACAUUUGCUCCCACCAGAUUAGAGCAUACCCAUUGAACUCAAGAGCAGCCAUGGCAACCUUCUUUCUCUCAGAAUAAUUAUGCACACGAAAAAUUUUAUCCACCUUCAACUCCCAUGUAAGAUAUGCUUCAGGAUCAAAUCCUCCUUCAAACUGGGGCAUGGUGAAUUUUAACUUGCCAAACCUCUCUUCAUUGUGCUGAUUACGCCUACGAUUUCUUCCGUGACGACGAGGCUGUUCAUCCUCUUCUUCAGUUUCACUUUCUUCCAAUCCAAUACCUCUCCCAUGUCCAUGACCCGCACCUCUACCACCAUGAUCACGUCGUGGAAAAGGAGGUCUUCUUGCAUUGGCAGCAGCUCGCUCUCUACGCCAUUCCCUUGCACGACAAGCAGCUUCUCCUUUGCUUUCUUCAACUUCAUCUUCAUGGUGACUGCCAUUUGCAUUGUCAUGAGGAUGAAUUUGCAACCGGUUCAUGAGUGCUUGAACAUUGUUUGUUAGCGUUUCCAUGCUUUGUUUCAUCUCAUUGAAUUGUACCAUGGUGACACAAUCAUCAAUCUCUGGAUGCUCAGACAUCUCUCUUACCAACCGAAGCUCCUGUGAGUUCCCCGCAGAUUACAACGGCCAAUGCGAGGUGGUAACCGAGAAUGAUGGUUGGGAGAAUCCAAGAUCAGUAUUUUCCUAUGACGGUGGGUUAUUUGUGGAGCUUGGUGGGGAUAUAUUUCACAAGGAAUGCAGUCUAAAUUCUUGAUAUUGUAAAGUUAAACCACAAUCGAAACUAGAAGUUCAAUGUCUAGUGCUGACCACAAGAUAUGAGUGAUGUAAAUAGAUCAAACACACGCGCAAAGAUAAUUCAGAUUCGAUGCAAACAAGGAGUAUGCCUAGGAUGCAAGUGUUGCAAUCAAACCCAAGCAAAAUUUUGCACCAAAGAUGGAUAAUGACUGAUUGUGUGACUUGAUAUAAAAUUCAGAACUUUAGCACAUAAACAGAGUGAACUUUCUACUCUUUCUUCACAAAUUUUCUUCCUCAACUCUCACUUUUUUCCUUUUUUUGACACUUUGUUUUUUUAUAACUAAGAACAAGAGCAGAUAUAACACUUACACACACUUUUUUUUGAAACAAGACACAACCGUCAGCGUUUUAACUUGAUAGGCUCAAAGUUUACGCGAAGGAUGAUACCGGUUUCAGAUUUUCUUUAGGGAUUUGUAGAUAUAAAAGAGGCACAAAGGACACACAAAGGAUAUGAUGAUCAGCAGCUAAACAAAACUCUAAUGGACUGGAACUUAACCAAACUCACAAGGAAAACAUAUUGAAACAAAGGGCUAAUGCAAUUUUUUUAUGGCUUUUUGGUGGAUAGGACGAACAAGAUAUAUAUAUGUAGCUAUGGGUAAAAAUCCUACCGUGGAAACUUGAGCUUUGAUACCAGAUGGUGAGGUCGUUGUCUCGAUCUUCAUGACGUAGGAUAACUAGCUGAAGAUCAGCCGAUAACUUACUGCAAGCAGCGAGGAUAACUAGUGCAACCGGACGACACGCACAAGGAGCCAACCACCGUCUCUAUACGGCAGCCUGAACCAAGGAUUCGCCCAACCACACUCUCAAAGAACCAACCUACGCAACCUGAACUCGAGGAUCAGGAGCACGGAUUGGGUGCCGAUGACGCGGCCGCUUCUGUAAUCUCCGCGAAGGAAAACACAAGAGUAAAGGUGUAGAGAUCUCUCUCUAAAUUUGUUAGCACACAGCUGAACAAAGUGGUUUGUAUUCUCAAUAUCAUAAGUCUCUGAUUACAAUGAGCCUUAGGGGGUAUUUAUACGGGCAACAGCCCUGCUAGAUAGGUAUGAAAACAAAAUAGAGUUUCUGAGGGAAGGCAAUGUGAAAGGUCCCCUCGAAAUGGAUUCCCGAAGUGGCUUCGCGUGACUGUUGGCCUCGAAAGCAGUUUCCAAUAAACUGACCAUAACUUUUUAUUGAGAAGUCCAAAUGACGUGCGGUUUAUUGCAACGGAAAGUUAACUUGAUAAGCUUUCACUCCAUGUGCAGCAUGUACCACGAAACCUGGUAGAUUGCUACAGUUUUGCACGACAACUUGAACUUCAUGCAGACUGAUGACUCGAUGACCAGUGUCGACUAAAACAGGUCGGCAGCUUUACUGGCAUUACCAAACAGAUUGGCACCAGUGGCAUUAGAAAGUAGACUCGAAGAGCUUUCCAAUAAGUGCUCAUGGGCCUUCAUAGAGUCUCGGAAGUGAAAGUUAUGAUCUUUUCUUUCAACUGGUCCGUUCUGCACCGCACUGGUCCGAUCUGCCCUUCUUUCAACUGGUCCGUUCUGCACCGUGUUGUUCCAAUCCUUGCGGUCCAGGUCACCUCCCUCCUCAUGUGUAUACCUAAGCACAACCAAAGUAGAACACUUAGGUAGUAUAAUAUUCUCAUUAAUAUUAAUAGAACUCUCACAAAGUAGCGCGUUCACCUCUUGUUGUAGCUUCUUGGCUCGGCUAUGUGUAAUUGCUCCAUCAAUGGCUUGGGCUGGUGCCGGCGUAGUCGGUGUAGAGGUUGGCGUGGAAUUAGAGCGAGCAUGCUUGGUUGGGAUGUUCUCAUCAUGAGGGCAGCUCGGAUCACCUUUAGCACAACUCCGGACCAAUUCGCGGGUCCGUCCAGCGCCGCAACCCAGGGACGGCCAAUCUGCUAGGGUCAGGACUCUAACCUGACACCUCGGUCUUACGCCAUUGACUCCCCGCACAUCCUUGCUACCAACCGGGGUGCGCACUCAUACAGAACGGGGUAUCUAGCCUGAGUUGCACUCGUAGGCUUUGUGGUCGGAACGACUUAUCUGGCCAACUAAGUCGUAGGCAUGCGUUGAACAUGACACGAGGACGUACAGCGUAUAGGUCCAUAAACGACACAGACGGGGAUAGAUUCACACCCAACACCUCAAUGCCUUGUUGCUUCACUACCGUCAUCCCACCCGGUCUCAAAUUCAUUAUUAGCACAUGGUUAUUUCCACGAUAGCAAAUAUAGCCAACCGUGAUCAAGUAUCCACCUAUCUCUCGCAGGUCACAGGAAAUCACCCUGCUUCUACCGAGCUAAGCAUGGCUAAACAUCAUUUUGAUCCUGGACCUACUUAGGUAAGGUAUAAGGUGGACAAGGUAAUCAUUAUGCAGCAAGGGUGUCAUAUCAACGCCUAACACUUAAUGCAACAAUACAUAACCAUAGUAAUUGACAGCUGGACAUGGUAACAAAAUAGUAGAAGUCUUAUAAUGCUCUAGAGCUUGCCUUCGAUAUAGGUGGAAGGAAAGUGGUCGGGGCACUCCGGUAGAUCCUCUUCCUCCUCAGCUCCUUCUCCUUGAGGUGGCUCCCUCUGCUGCUCCUCUGGCUCGGGUGGUGCGAACUCCAGGACCGUCAUGCCCUAGGGUACACCUAUAUAUGCAUGACAAGGCGAUAAACAUAGGAAAUGCACAUAUGAUGCAUGAUGUCGUGAUGAGGAGCCAAAGGAACAUAAAACAAGGUGCCAACAUGAGAAGAUUAUGAGGAUCAUGAAAUAACAAGUAAGUGCAUACUUCUUCUCUAGUAGAGAGGCUAACUAAACAAGAUAAUCAACCUUAGCUACUCAUACACAACAACUGGUGUCAAUGACAGACUGGGUAGUCACAAAUUUUAGCUAUAACUUAGCCAUCCUUUGGCCAAAUUAAGCAAGUAGACACUUUCUGGAAAGCUUAACAAAUUGUCUACAAUUCGCUUUCAGACAACCUAGAGAGAUUCCCAACCGAAAUAGACUAAAACCGAGAAAGUUUGCUGGCUGCCCUGGAAAAUCCAGAGAGCAAGCACUUCGCAGCAGCUUCUUGCAACAGUCAUACCACUUAAACUACCCAGCCAAAUGUCAUGAAAUUUGGAUACAAAGUAGAUAAGGAAGUUAGCUACAAGUUUGUUAUAGGUAAGUUUUCCAGAAAACUUCAUCUUCAAGCAAUUCUUAAGUGAUUUCUAUCAGCUACCCAGAAUGUGCUCUAGACAAGGCAUAAUUAGUCAAAUAGUAUUUUAGCACAUAUUAAGAAUGUAACAAUGGUUCAAACCAAGGGAACCAGUAGCUGGAGCAUGUCUAAGAAACACCAUAAAACAUCAUGGCACGGUUUAAACUCAUUUUUUAUCACCUUUUCUAUUUAUUUAAUUAUUAAGAUGAUUUAAUGAGUAUGUAUCACAAGUGCUCCAAAAAUUCUAAUAACAUUACAGCAAGUUAUCUAGGCUACCACAAGGUUACUGUAAAAUUUCCAUGGCUCUUUCGUGUGCAGAUUGUGAGAUACAAAAAUGACAAGCUAACAAUGGCAUUAAAGGCAUAAAUGUGAAACCCUAUCAAAAAGUGUCAAACAACAGAUUUCAGAUUUUUCUUAGCUUUGUUUACCCAUGACUACAUCACUCAGCAAGUUUUAUCAUAAGAGGAGUUAUACACUAUUUAUUAAAAAUACCACAAGAAACUCCUAUUUAAACAAGAAUUAUUUAUAACUUCAUCAACAGGCAUCCACAAAUCAUGAUAAAUUUAUCAGAGCCUACACAUAGCAUAAAGAACAAUCUCCUAAAUUUGCAUGGCCAUAGAACUUAUAGAUCUCAAGAUAUAAUUACCUUCUAUUUACCAAAGAUUAAAUCAUAACUAUUUAUUUCUGUCAAAACAUGGCAUGUCUCAUAUUUUUAAUAAAAACUAGACUAACUCAAGAACCUAACAAAAUUGGAAUCACCCCAUUUGGAUCUGUCUAGCCCAAGUUAUGAAUUUUUCAAAUCAGCAUUGAAUCAGCCCAAAAAAACAGAAAUAGGGGGGGAAAAGACAGAGGCUGACAAAGGGGUCCUACUCGUCAGCGACACACAGAGCAGAGGCGAGCUCGGCUGCCGGAGAUCUCAUCGACGGCGAGGUCUCCGGGGAAACCGAGGGCAUCUAUGUGUUUCUCACAUCGAGGCGAACCUGUUGACCUACUUGGCUCACGCUCUACUGGACUCUAGGGUGCUCGCUGUCGGGAAUGGCGGAGCGGCGGCGCUGCGUGGCGUUACGACGGCGAACUGAGGCAAUGGCGACUAUGUAGAGGUUGCCGACGAGCAAGAGGAAAACAAGGUGAAGCUGUAGGACGAAGAAUCACGGCCAGAGGUGAACCAGAGAGGUCUGGCCACGUUGCCGGUGAUCUCUGUGAAGUCCGGCGAGGUGGAGCUCGCGACGGAGGUGGCAAUGCGACCUCACCGUUGCUCGGCUAGGGAAAGGAGAUGGACUUCGAGGUAGAGGACGUCGCGGCGGAGCUCUGGGCGAAGCAGCUCGGCUCGGGACGCGGUGGUGUGGCCAGAAAAGCUCGCCGAAGUGUGGCGGAGCUAGCCGUGGCGAUGGCGGAGGGAAAUGUGGCGCUCUGGGCAAGUGGACGACGCGUCUGAGGCGUCUAGGGGGUGUGUGGCGACUUGUGGACGAUGUCCAAGCUGACAGGCGGGGUCGUCGAUGGCGUAUGGCCGACAGGUGGCCAGACACGCGGCGGCGGGUGAUGCUCUGUCCAACUGAAUCGGCGUUUGAAUCCUCCGAUCGCAGUGACUGAAACUCAAACUUCGUCGACAUUUUACUCGAGAUUCACUCAGUGGUUUUGGCUCGGAUUUGUUCCAUUGGAUAGAGCUACACGAGUUCUACAAGAUUGCUUAAAGGAUCAAAGUCUGGUUCGCCCUAGAUUUCAAACUACAAGGCUCCCAAGUACCCUAAGUGCAAACUGUGUCGAUUCUGACUUAAGCAAAUUUGGCUAAGUGUGAAACAACAUUGAUUUUUGCCUUGUGAGCUAAUUUUGAGUGUGUUCCAGGCAUUUUCAUAAAAAGUCACCAACACAACUUUUUUAGCUUAUAAAAUUUACUACCACUGAUUUUUGCUUUAUAUGUCAUUUACAUGCAAAGUGUCUGACAUUGGUUUCAUAAAAGAUCUUUAAAAAGAGGUUUAGGGGGUCAACUAGGUCAAUCUAGGGCUAACCAUGACUUAGGGGCAUUUUUAGAUGAAACCUCCAUCACAAACUUUGUUCAAAAUAAUAUUCGAAACAUGAUUAAAGUAUUUUGGAAGACAAUGUGCACUUAUAUGCAUUGGUCACACAUUACUUUCACAUAUAGCAAGUCACAUAAGCACUUCAAUCACCUAGUGUACACACCAAUGACAUGUGAUCAUGGUAUGAUGCUCAUGGAUGAGUAUGAUGAUGCUUAUGUUGAUGCAAUGCUCAUGGUUAACAUGCAAGCUAACACUAGGAGUGUUACUGUAGAAUCACAUGAGCCUAACAACCAGGCGACUUAGGGUAGUCCUUAGGGAAAUCACAAUUGUACUCCUGACCGUCCGAGCAACCUUUAAUGAUUAUAGCAAGGGUGAGUUCAUGAUGAACUCAGCAAGCACAGACAGAAAGUAAUGACAUGCAAGGCUUAGAACAAGGUAAAGCUGACUUGGUUUGACUGCAGUAGCAUUUUAGUUGAUCACUUUUAAUUAUGACUAUUAUUAGAACAACCUGCUACUAUUUGUGAGUAGCAUAAACCCAACCCUUAAUUAGUGUAAGUAGUAAUUAGCAUAUUUUAAAAGACUAUCCUAAUAGUUAUUGUAGUCCAAGGAUUAACCCCAAUUAUUAACACAGGAUAGCAAUCCUGCCAACACGGAAUAGCCAUUCUGCCAAAACACGAGGUAGCAACCUCAACAAGUUCCAUCUCCAAGUAUCCAGUGAAUCCAAUUUGCUCAUCAUGUGAGAGUCUGGGCCGCUCGUGACCAUGAGCACGGCUGAUAUAUCAAGUUUACACUCUGUAGAGGUGUGCACGUUCACUCCAAGUCGUGAUUCCCAUUUGCCCGAGGUCAUGACUCCCCAAAACACUACCAAGGUGAGCAGGCAGGGUCUCACUAUGAGACCUUUCACAGGGUCCAACUAAUAGGAUGCCACUCGCAAGUUUUUGCCGAGGCGCUCGGCAGUCGAUACCCAUAGGCAUGGCGUACCGAGCAACCGUCAACUUAAUACUCAUUACCCAAGUUACUUCCUCACACCUACCCAAAAAGUAACACCCUACUAGUGGAGGUCCUGCUAAUUAGUCAAGCCAGAGCCGUAUAGCUUGGAGCUGCACUGUAUGUCCUAGGGGGCCGCUCCAUGACUAAGUCCUUACGGAGAGUAGAGACGGGUACGCCCGGCAACCGGACCACCAACGUACCCGUUCCCUCUGUCACCACCAUCAUCACGAUGCUCGUAAGCAUCCAACAUCGCCAUCACCGCAGUGACCAAAGAUACAGCACAGUUUAAGCAUCAAGUUUAGUAGAGAGUAUUACUUGUUUAGGCAUGUGUACAAAAUGAGUAGAGUAGCUAAGCAUACCUAGUAUAACCUAGUCUAUCCAUAUACAUAACCCCAGGUGAACAAGGAUUAGUAAGUAAAACUAGUCAGGUCCUUAGGGUUUGCAUUCAUUAGACACAUGCAUGUAAAGUAAAUGACAUUAAUGAGUAGGUUCAAAAUGAUCAAACGGUGUCUGCACUUGCCUUGAUCGUAGUCGGUUUGCUCAAACUCAGCGGGAUCCUGCUCCUCUUCCUUUACGUGCGUCUCAUUGCCUAAACACGACAAUCAUCACACAUAGGAGCAAUACAUACAAGCAAACAAGCUUAAUCAGAAACAGUACACCAAAGCAUUCGAAAACAGAAAGCAACUAUACUACUGUAUUCUACUCAAUGAGACGAAACUAUAGCAACCAGAAUCACCCAAAUCGGAGCUAAGACGCAAAAGUUAUGGCUAAAACAAGUUGGAUGGCAAAUCUGUAGAUUAACUGAACUAUUUUUCAUAUUUUAAAUCUAAUUAAAACUGAAUUAAAAAUAGAUUUGGAUUAAAUCUGUAAAUUCUAAGUGUGCCAGGGGGCAAACUGCAAAGCCAGGGGCAUAUUUUAAAUAAAAGAAUAACAGACCUAGACCACGGGUUGAUUUCGAAUAAAGUGAGGGGCCUUUUUGUAAAAAGGCCAGGGGCGCGCGGGUGGCCAAGCUGGCCGGCCACAUGGCGCAGCGCGGCUGGCCGGUCUAUGGCGGCGGCGUGCACCGGGUCAUGGUGGACCGGUCGCGCGGGGGCAGAGGACCGCGGUCCAUGGUGGACCGCGCCUGCGGGGGGCUUGGCCGCGGCGGCGGGUGGAGCGCGGCGGCGCCAUGGCCGGCCGCGGAAAACUCACGGCGGCGGCGCUGCGGGGCACGGAAAAACGCGCCGAAGGCACGGGUGGGGUCGGCAUGACGGGGCGAGUCCAGAGCGCGGUUUACCUCCGCGAUACCGUCAGCGAGGAGACGGGUGGCGGCGCACGGAACUCGGCGAGUCGACGGCGGCGCUGCGGCUUCGAGUUAGGGUUUUGGCUAGGGUUUUGGGUGGCUCAGGAUGUGUAGGGGCACGCGCGGGCGAGAUGUGGUGCUUUUUAUAGGCGCUGGCGAUCUUCGGGAGGCGCGUGCUGUUGACGGUCCUUAAUGCUCACAUUUAACCGUCAACUAAUCAUGGAAAAGGACCUAUAUGUUACCAACAUCCAAAAUUAGGGUUUCAUCUAGAAUUCCACGAGUUUUGGUGUUUGUCUAUUUCUGCAGGGCGUUAUCAGGAAAUAUGGAGGAAAGGCCCACACAUUGGGUUUACAUAGAGAUAUUAACGUGUGCGCCAAUUUUCUAUCAUCUAGAAGACUCCAGAAGCCACGAGAACGAACGGGAGCCCGAGCGGGCCCAGGGGCAGGGCGCCCGCCCUCCCCCCUUGGGCGCCCGCCCUGCUGCCUGGGCCAAUCAGGCUCCAUCUCGCGGAUAAUGCUCCACCGACCUAGAGGAUUAAGGAAAACCGUGUGAUUAAGGUCGGUUUGAUCCGACGGUCCAUAUUCAUUUUGAGGGACUAUAUAAACAGCCCCCACCAGCCCUUGGAGGCAUAUCUCUUCUACAGAAUCAAAGCAAGGGUUUCAAUUACUCAUGCAAGUAGAGAGGAUCCCUCUAGUUCAUCUAGUUCUAGUUCAUCUAGUUCUAGUUCUAGUUCAUCUAGUUUUAGUUCUACUUAGUUGUAGUUGUAAUCUAGAAAAUAGGGAGAGAGAAGAGGAGAGCGGAGGAGGAGCCGGAUCUGUCGGAUCUUCCUCAACAUUGUACUUUUGUAGCAACUGGUUCGUUCUUCAUCGUUCUCCAAGUUCUUCAAUUCAUAAUACCUGAGUUCUUUAAUUAUUUUUAUUUACAUUCAAGUUAUUUAUUGGAUUCCCGCUUGCAUCAAGUGCUCUAGUCUUUGCAAUGCUAGAGUAGUAAUUAAUAGAUUAGACGUGGUGUUUAGUCUUGCAAUUACCUAGAAUUGCACCCAAUCCUGCGGAUUGUUGUGGUAGCCCUAGGGUAGUGACAUCCCUAAGGGUCGACGUAUUCCACCUCGUUCGGACCGGUGUUUGUAGCACCGUAGUCAGAGCUUCCUAGCCCCCUUCUCAUCUCUUUUUGUGGUUAGUGUUCUGAUGUCCCGAAAUAAAUAAUCCUUGAAGUAAUUCUUGAUUCUUAGAUCAACUAGAGAACUCUCAGGAAACUUCCUCUCGUCCCACCAAAAAUAAUUAUAUAGUUAUCCUUGGGCAAUCUUGAAUCUUAAUUAGUACACUCACAUUCCCUGUGGAAAAUCGAUACUCUCGAAUACUUUCGGGUGAAAGCUACAUCAGUAUCCAUGCGCUUGCGGAUUUUUCUGUUUGCGUUUAAAAUACCCAACAAGCUUUCUGGCACCAUUGCCGGGGAACGGUGUAUCCUUUUUCUUUUCCUUUUUACCACACUCACCUUACCAUUUUCACCAUACGACAUGGAUUUCACUCAUAUCUAUAAAUUCUUUGCUCCAAAGGGCGAGUUAUUAGAGCCACCACCAUCAUCACAUCUAAUUCUUACAGAUGGCUACGACCUCGGCCCUAAUCUAAUAGCCAUGAUUCAGGAGCAACCCUUCUCUGGCCAAGUAGAUGAAGAUCCAUACACCCACCUUAGAGAAUUCGAGCAGUUGUGCUCUUGCCGAUCUAUUUCCGGCAUGACACAAGAAACCCUUAAAUGGAAAUUAUUUCCGUUCUCCCUUUUGGGAAGAGCAAAAAAGUGGUAUGCUCAUUCUAUAGGAGGCGUUAAUGGAAAUUGGGAUGAACUUUGGGACAACUUUUGUCUCGCGUUCUUCCCACUUCUUUGAAUUGCUAACCUUAGAAUCGAAAUUCUUACAUUCAAACAAAGUGAGAAGGAAACUUUAGGAGCAGCUUGGGCUAGGUUCACAAGCAUUACCAAUUUUGGUCCAAACCUUUCCCUGCCUGACCAUGUACUGUACUACCACUUUUAUCGUGGUCUAAACAAGGAAGCUGCUCUUCACCUCGAUAUUGCUUCAGGAGGCUCAUUCGCACACAAACUUAUAGAUGAGGGGAUAGCUAUCCUAGAGAGAAUCCUUGAAAAUACCCCUUACAUAGGCAUUUAUGAUGAGUUUCCUGAAGAAGAAAAAGAAGUCGAGCCUGAUCCUAAACCAAAAGAUGAGGAACUUGCAACCAAGUUAGAAAUUCCUCCUGACCCAUCUAUUAAUUUGGUUGUAGAGAAACCUCCUGAUAAGGGAAUGCAAAACCAACUAAGGGACGAUGAACCACCACAUUUAGAGCAUCCCUUUGAAUUCGAGGAAGAUCUUUUUGAAGAUUAUGGAAACACCUUGAAUUUUCCUAUCCAAACAUGACCUCUAGCAGGGACCACUCAAUCCGUUCUAAGAGUAGAAUCUGUUGACAUAGAACACAUCAAAAGCCUUUCGGCUAUUCUGAGUUAUGAAUGGCUAACAGAAGCAGAGCUGUCUCCUGAGGUAGCUCGGAUCAUCACUCCUUCAACCAUUCUUCUGUGCAAAAUAAGAGGGUCCGCUAGGAAGGUCCACUACAAUCCAUAUGUUGGGAUAAAUGUUAUUUCCAUGGAGUUAGCUGACACUCUUUAUCCCAACGAGUCCAUAACCCCAUCUCAAAAACUUUUACAAAGUCCAUCUGGUUAAUUCUAGAAAGCCAUGGGGUAUUAAGGGCAGUUCCUGUUAGAAUCAAGUACUCUGGAAUAUGUCUAGAUUUUCACAUUUUUUACAUACCAGAGAUUCCUCUCUUGAUUGGCAGACCAAUCAUGAAACUUCUACAUGAACAACCACAACGAGGUCAUUUAGACUUUGAGGUUGGGAAUUCCACUAUUGUUGUUCCUCUUGCUAGAUCAAUUAACAUGAUAGUGGAACCCAAACUUGAACCAGAUCCUAUUAAGGAGAUCUUAAUGCUGACUCAAGAGGAGAUGGCCCAACCAUUCUUUAAUCAUGAACACUUUGUUCAAGAAGAAAAAGAGUUGGUAGAACCCGUUGAGCUAGACAAAAAUGAACAACCUUCACCUCCUUUGAUAGAGUUAAAACCUCUUCCUUCUGGCCUUAGAUAUGUCUUUUUGCACAACAACCCAAAAACUCCAGUAAUUAUCAGUGACAAGCUUUCCGAUUAUGAAACACAACAACUUGUCACUGUUCUUGAAAGGCAUAGAUCAGCAUUUGGCUACUCUCCCGAAGAUCUCACGGGCAUUAGUCCCAUUCUCUGCACUCAUCGUAUCCGUAUUGAUCCCAAUUUUACACCUUCAAGGGAACCACAAUGGAGACUUAACAAUGCUAUGUGAGAGGUUGUUAAGAAAGAGGUCCUCAAACUCUAUCAUGCUGGGAUUAUUUAUCCUGUGCCACAUAGUGAGUGGGUUAGCCCUCUCCAAGUAGUGCUAAAGAAAGGAGGAAUGACGGUCAUUAGGAAUGAGAAGAAUGAACUCAUCCCUCAACGAAUUGUCACCGGGUGGCAUAUGUGUAUUGACUAUCGAAAACUCAGCAAGGCCACAAAGAAAGAUCACUUUCCGUUACCCUCCAUUGAUGAAAUGUUGGAACGGCUUGCAAACCACACUUUCUUCUGUUUCCUUGAUGGUUAUUCUGGAUAUCACCAAAUCCCAAUCCACCCAGAUGACCAAGAAAAGACUACUUUUACAUGCCCGUAUGGAACUUAUGCAUACCGACGAAUGUCGCUCGGAUUGUGCAAUGCUCCAACUUCUUUCCAACGGUGCAUGAUGUCUAUUUUCUCGGACAUGAUUGAGAAGAUCAAGGAGGUUUUCAUGGAUGAUUUUACUGUCUAUGGCAAAACCUUCGAUCAUUAUUUGGAGAAUUUAGAUAGUCUUGCAGUGAUGUGAAGAAAAGCACUUAAUCCUGAACUGAGAGAAAUGCCAUUUUAUGGUUCAGGAAGGAAUAGUGCUAGGACAUAAAGUGUCCGAACGUGGUAUAGAGGUGGACAAAGCAAAGAUUGAAGUUAUUGAAAAACUUCCACCUCCCACGAAUGUGAAAGGCAUCCGUAGCUUUUUGGGACAUGCAGGGUUCUAUAGAAGCUUUAUCAAGAACUUAUCUCAAAUUGCUAGACCCGUAACUAGUCUCCUAGCUAAGGAUGCACCUUUCAUCUUUAGUGAUGAGUGUCAUGAAUCUUACUCUUAAGAAAGCACUCAUCUCAGCCCAGAUUAUCCAACCACCUGAUUGGAAUCUUCCUUUUGAGAUCAUGUGUGAUGCUAGCGAUUUUGCGGUUGGUGCCCUUUUAGGACAAACCAAGGAUAAAAAGCAUUAUGCCAUAUCCUACGCUAGCAAAACCUUGUCUGGACCACAGCUCGAUUACACUACAACUGAAAAAGAGCUUUUGGCUGUUGUCUUUGCUAUAGACAAGUUUAGAUAUUACUUAGUGGGGGCAAAGAUAAUCAUCUAUUCAGACCAUGCUGCUCUCAAGUACCUUCUCACUAAGAAGGAUGCUAAGCCUCGUCUAAUUCGAUGGAUUCUUCUACUCCAAGACUUUGACAUAGAAAUCCGAGAUAGGAAGGGAGUAGAGAAUUCUGUAGCCGACCACUUGUCUAGGCUUCAAUAUAAGGAAACACAUGAUGAGCUUCCCAUAAAUGACUACCUAAGGGGUGACACCCUGCUUAAGAUAACACAUGCAGAUCCAUGGUACGCAGACAUCAUAAACUUUACAGUAAAAGGCUAUGUCCCACCUGAUACAAACAAAAGGAAAUUGCUUCACGAUAGUCGUUUCCACCUUUGGGAUGAGCCAUAUCUUUUCCGAGUCUGCGCUGAUGGACUCUUGAGAAGGUGUGUUCCUAUGGCUGAGGCUACUCAAAUUAUGGAAAGAUGCCAUGGCUCGCCAUAUGGAGGACACUAUGGAGCAUUCUGGACACAUGCUAAAAUUUGGCAAAGUGGCUUUUUCUGGCCAACGAUGUAUGAAGAAACAAAGGACUUUGUCAGGAGAUGCCACCGAUGUCAAAAACAUGGGAAUAUCAACUCACGAAAUGAAAUGCCUCUCACAAAUAAUCUUCAAGUAGAACUUUUUGAUGUAUGGGGCAUUGAUUUCAUGGGGCCAUUCCCUAUGUAAGGGAAUUGCGAGUAUAUCUUAGUAGCUAUGGACUACGUGUAUACCCCGGAUAGUUAUAAGCGAUGGAGGUUCCCACUUCAUCGACAAAAUCUUCCAGAAGUACCUAGCCGAUCAUGGAGUUCGACACAACGUCGCAACACCAUACCAUCCUCAGACUAGCGGUCAAGCCGAAACAUCUAACAAACAAAUAAAAUAUAUUUUACAAAACACCGUAAAUGAGAUGGGUAAGGGGUGGAAGACAAACUUCCUGAUGCACUUUGGGCAUAUAGAACUGCAUUCAAAACACCCAUAGGCAUGUCACCUUAUCAACUUGUAUAUGGAAAAACUUGUCAUUUGCCUGUGGAAGUAGAGUUUAAGGCUCAUUGGGCACUCAAGAAAUGGAACAUGGAUCUGCACCUCGCUAGCGAGAAUCGUCUGAUGCAACUAUCUGAGCUAGAAGAAUGGAGAGAGAAAGCCUACCACAAUUCAAGGAUCUAUAAAGAGAGAACAAAAUGAUGGCAUGAUAAGAGAAUCAAGCACAAGGAGUUUAAGCCUGGAGAUAAGGUUCUACUAUUCAAUUCAAGAGUUAAGCUCUUUGGGCAUGGUAAGCUACGAAGUAAGUCGGAUGGACCAUACAAGGUUAUUGGCACUUCAACUCAUGGAGCCAUUACCAUCCAAGACGACAUAGGUAACACUUUUAAGGUAAAUGGUCAACGCUUGAAAAUCUAUCUCGAGCCACAAAACAACCUGGUAGAGGAACUUGAUGUGAUUGAGUUCAUAGAAUUCUCACAUUAAGCUCUCAUAAGCUCUAGACAAUUACCUAACCCUUAACAUGCUCCACGAGUUUUGUUUUCUAUUUGGGUUGUGCAGGAUUUUGAGGCUUAAGAAGAGUGAGACCGAACAAGCAGGCCAUAAGAGUGAACGACUAUGUCAACAUCCAGCUUGGGGGAGGCACCCCCACGUGUAUCUAGAUAAGUAUUACUAGUAUUCGGAAAUAAAUAAAAAAGUGCAUAACCAUGAAACCAAACAUAGUUUUGUGUAAUCCUAAGUUUUAAAUAAAAUAAAAAGAAAGUUUGGUCCAAGUCUAGGAAAUUGACAAACUUGAUACGAGAAGGUCUGAGCUGCCAUUUAACUUGUUCCAAGUUUCGCUAGAGUUCUGGAGAUUUUAUCUUUUGAAAAUCUAAAAAAUUCAAAAAAAAAUGAGAUCCUAUUUGACAUAAUACCUAGAGUCUUAUAAGAUAUAAAUAUUAAAACUGUGGGCACUUGCUUUGUUCAAGCCAUUGUUAAUUCUUAUGGUUUUGGUUGAGAGAAUUGUCAUGCUCCAAAGAUCAAGAUAUUUUUGUUUAAAAAUAUAAAAGAUUCACUCUUCUGAAGUAUUAUUGCGUUAGAGGCAUGGGACUAUGCAAAAAUUUGAUUCGGAAAAAGGAGUGAGACAAGAGGUAAAAAUGGACAAGUGUCCGAAUUAGAAUUAGGGGUACAAAGAUACCCACCUGAGUGGAAAAAAUGGAUACGUGUCCGAUAGUAGAAUUAGGGGUACUUGGUGCCCACUUGAAAUAAAAGGAGAGACUGAAAAAAAGAAAAAAAAUGAUAGCCCAUGGUCCCUUUAAUAAGCAAUAUGCCAGUAAGAGAUGACAAACUUUUCAAAAAGGUCAAAGGUCUUGAUCUAGGAGUAUGACAUUCCUCUACUUAUAUAUCUUUCGAGAAGAAGGCAAAUGCCUCAGUUUUAUUUUGGAAACUUAAAAAAAAACUCCAGAACAAAGGUAAGACAGAAGAACUUGAGACAUAGUGCUUGACUUGAUCGUUCUGUUUUUCAAUCACUUAAGACCUUAGUGAUAACUUAAAAAACCCUAUAGUCAGAGGCAUAAAAGUAACCCCUGUUUUCUUGCUAAUUUUAGCUUUGCUUAGGGACGAGCAAAGGUUAAGCUUGGGGGAGCUUGUUGACGGUCCUUAAUGCUCACAUUUAACAAUCAACUAAUCAUGGAAAAGGACCUAUAUGUAACCAACAUCCAAAAUUAGGGUUUCAUCUGACAGAAUUCCAUGAGUUUUGGUGUUUGUCUAUUUCUGCAGGGGGUUAUCAGGAAAUAUGGAGGAAAGGCCCACACGUCGGGUUUACAUAGAGAUAUUAACGUGUGCGCCAAUUUUCUAUGAUCUAGAAGACUCCAGAAGCCACAGGAACGAACGGGAGGCCGAGCGGGCCCAAGGUAGGGCGCCCGCCCUGCUGCCUGGGCCAACCAGGCUCCAUCUCGCGGAUAAUGCUCCACCGACCUAGAGGAUUAAGAAAAACCGUGCGAAAGGUCGGUUUGAUCCGACGGUCCAUAUUCAUUUGGAGGGACUAUAUAAACAGCCCCCACCAGCCCCUAGAGGCAUAUCUCUUCUAUAGAAUCAAAGCUAGGGUUUCAAUUACUCAUCCAAGUAGAGAGGAUCCCUCUAGUUCAUCUAGUUCUAGUUCUAUUUCAUCUAGUUCAAGUUCUAGUUAGUUCUAGUUGUAAUCUAGAAAAUUGGGAGAGAGAAGAGGAGAGCGGAGGAGGAGCCGGAUCUGUCGGAUCUUCCUCAACAUUGUACUUUUGCAGCAACUGGUUCGUUCUUCAUUGUUCUCCAAGUUCUUCAAUUCAUAAUACUUGAGUUCUUUAAUUACUUUUAUUUACAUUCAAGUUAUUUAUUGGAUUCCCGCUUCCAUCAAGUGCUCUAGUCUUUGCAACGCUAGAGUAGUAAUUAAUAGAUUAGACGUGGUGUUUAGUCUUGCAAUUACCUGGAAUUGCACUGUCGACGAAAGCUAGUCGGCAGUCUACCUUGGGGUAUACCCACGGUAGUAGUUUAUCGGUAGACGGUGCGCAAACUACGAACUCGAUGGUGACGCAAGACACGGACAAGCUUUUUAUCCAGGUUCGGCCGCCAAGUUGGCGUAAUACCUACGUCCUGCGUCUGGUUGUAUUGGAUUGUGUUGAGAGAUAAUCUGUCCUAGGGGGUCCAUUGCCCCUCCUUAUAUAGUCUGGAGGGCAGGGUUACAGAUCUAGAAACUAAUCCUAGUCGGUUACAAUUGCCAUGGAUAAUUCGAUAUCAAUUCCUAUUCUAACCGACUAGAAUCCUGCUUGAUCUCCACGUCUUGUUUCCUUGCGCGAAACUCAGGCUGUCGGAUCAAGCCUUGAACUCAUCUCGUAGUGGGCCAAGCUUCCUGGCGGAAGUCUAGCCGUAAGGGUAUAGGGGUUUAUACCCCCACAGCUAGUCCCCGAGCGCCAUGUAUUGUGAUGCAACACGCCGUCUUGAGCUUCUUUGACCAGCGAGGCCUGUCGUCUUCAAUGAGCGGGGAAAUCGCCCAAACAGUUGCAACGGUUCCUUGAUCAACGUUGUCAUCGAAGAAGCAGGUUGUUCGAAGAAUGCAUGGUGCUCUAAAAAAAAUUUCUUUCCUGGUGAAGUGUGCCCACUUUGCCCUUUUUAAAAGGUAGUAGCAUCCAAAAAAGCAAGCAAAUUCACCGCCAGGUGAAGUGUGCCCACUUAGUCCCCGAGCCUGGUAGUAGGUGGUGUAGGCACGUGGUGCCAGGGUCAAAAGAAAAUUCCCCAAAGUAGUUUCGAGAACUGAGAUGCAUCGCUAGAUGCAUCGUACCGAUGUAGUCCCCGAGCUUGCUGGAAGGCGAAGUAUGAGCCUUGUAGCAAGGUCUAAAAAAUUGAAUUUACCAGUCCCCGAGCAUGUCAUGCUCGUCUGCAAUCGAAAAAACCAAUCGACCAGUCCCCAGGCACUUAGUGUGCUUCUUGGAAUUAUAUGUUGCUAUAUUGUACGACCAGUCCCCGAGCAUCGAGUGCUCAGUGGUCGGUGCAUGCUUUAAAGUUUUGAACUGAUAGACUAAGCGACCAGUCCCCGAGCGUCGAGUGCUCGGUGGUCGGUGUAGUCCUUGAAGUUCUGAGUUGACAGACUGGGCAACCAGUCCCCGAGCGUCGAGUGCUCGGUGGUCGGUGCAGUCCUUGAAGUUCCGAGCUGAUAGACUGGGCGACUAGUCCCCGAGCAUCGAGUGCUUGGUGGUCGGUGCAGUCCUUGAAGUUCUGAGUUGACAGACUGGGCAACCAGUCCCCGAGCGUCGAGUGCUCAGUGGUCGGUGCAGUCCUUGAAGUUCCGAGCUGAUAGACUGGGCGACCAGUCCCCGAGCGUCGAGUGCUCGGUGGUCGGUGCAGUCCCCGGAUUGCUGACUCACUGGCAUAUGUGUCUUCUUACUUUUGAAAAGAUCUUUCCAAUUAAAGUUGACGUGACGGGGACUCCUGACGAUAUGUCAGUCGGAUGCAUGAAAAGCUGCACCUGGCAACUGUACAACCGCUCUUUGCAUGGUUUGAGAAAAGGAAACCAUCAGUUGGUACGAAAACUCCGCCGCAUUAAUUGUCUAUAAUCAUUGUAAACCGAAACGCCGUGUCCGCCGCAUGGCCUGCCCACUUCUCGAGAAUACAGCAAGUGGGAGAGGUGGGGUCGCGGGUUUAUAAGGGUCUAAUAGGACCGCCUGUACCGCUUGUCCUGCCAUUGCCUUCAAACCUUACGCUCUCAUCUUCUCCAAUCUCCUGCAUCUUCCUAACUCCAGCCCACAUUCGCACCUCUAAUGGCGAAGAGCGACUCCAGGAAGAGGGCCGAACUGAUGGCCAAGGAGUGGAAGAAGUCUCGCAGCACCACAAAAUCUCUUGGUGACCUCGUCGAUAUGGGGCUUCUGCACGGUGCAGAGCUCGGCGGCUGGAGGGCACCGGAGGGGGAGAGCUACCCCGACCCUCGCGCCGGUGAGAUCGUCGUUUUUGAGGAUUUCGUUAAGAGAGGCUUUGGUGUUCCUGUCCAUCCUUUUCUUCAAGGUCUUCUUUUGUACUAUGAGAUCGGGAUUUGCAAUCUGCACCCGAACUCAAUUCUCCUUAUUUCCACCUUCAUCCACCUGUGCGAGGCCUAUGUUGGCAUAGAGCCGCACUUCAAUCUUUUCCGAUACCUUUUCUGCUUGAGGAAGAAGGGAGCAGUUGGAGGCUCCAAGGUUGCAGGUGGAGUAUACCUCAACCUUCGCGAUGGGAUGAAGAAUCGCUAUCUGCACUGCCCAUGGAACACUUCCUUGACCGAAUGGUACAGGAAGUGGUUCUAUGUCAGGGAGGAACCGGGCAGCUCCAUGUUCUGCGACGUGGGAUACAUUCCCGAGAAGAGGACGAGCUGGACCGACCGCCCAGAGUUCGACGGUCAAGUGGCAGAUCUGAUGAAGCUGAUCGACUGGUCGCGCCUGGAUGGGCUUGGCGUGGUCGGCAACUUCAUUUGCCGCCGGGUGAUGCCCUGCCAGAAGAGGGUGCACUCGGCGUACGAGUAUGCCGGAAGCGUAGACCCGACCAGGAUGCGGUCGGAGAUCUUGGAGAAAGCGGAGGUACAACAGCUGUUGAACGAGCUGUUUAACUUCGCGGAUGGGGGCUUCACCCGUGGCAGUGAUCGGGUGCAAGCCUUCAAGUUAGGACGACCAGCACCAAAGGUAUGCAGCAGACUCUGUUUGAUCAUUCGUAUAUCGUCUGUAGUUGACUCAUCUCUGUUGCUUUUGCAGGUCGGUGAUGUCGACCGGUAUGUGGUGUAUGUAUCACUGGCGCCGGGGAUGGAAAAUCCUGCGGGAGAGGUCCCGCCAGAGGAGGACGCUGCUCGGUGUACUCAUUACACCAGCAGUGAGGAAGACCGAGCCCGCCCCGUCCCGACCUCCGAGGAGAGGGUAGCGGGGAAAAGGCCAUUGCCGGCGGAUCCCUUGCCGACACCGGAGCUGCCAGCAGACCUACCGGCGGAGAGCAGCCAAGCGCCGAAACGUCGUCGGCUCGUGCGGAUCGUCGUCGACGACGACGACGACGAGGAGGCUGCGCCGUCAUUGGUCCGACGGCCUCGGAGCCGCCCAGACACUGCGCCGGUCGCCACUGAUCGAGUGGCCAGCGGCGCCGCUGCCCCGCAAGUUGCCGAGGUGGGGGCACAGGCGCCGACCGGCCGGGCGAGGAGGAGGUUCACCGCGACCCAUCGCCGGUCAGACCUGUAAGUGUUCGACUUACGUAUUUUGGACUCCUCUUUUUUUUUUAAAACUUUUGUUCCUGCAGUGCGGCAUCGGAUGUCGACCCUGGCCAAACUGCCGGCCAGGUAACGGACGAGCCUGCCCGCGGUUCUGGGGAUGCAGCCCCCCAGACCACAGAGCGGCCAACAGCUGCAGUCGCGCCUGGGAGCACCGAGGGGAUCCCGAGCGCGGCGCCGACAACAAGCAGCCCGACCAGGGCUGGAGAGGCUCCCCCAACUGACUCCUCGGAGAAGGGGAGAUCUCCGACCGCUCCUCCUGCCGGGGGGAGUGAAGUCCCCCCGCUGCCCCGAGCAGGAGCCUCUUCGGCUGCGGGCUCCCCAGGUCUGGUCCAAGGGCCAGUAAUGCCUGGGACCACCACCGGGGGUGACGCAGCACAGGAGGAAGAAACCCGGGCGGCCUCCGACGACGAGGUGGAGGAGAUCGAGGGUCGUCCCCGUGAUGGCCGCCAACACGUGUAUGUGUGGCGCCAACGCGGGGAUCACUUUAUCGGUCAUGAGGAGGUCGCUGAGACCGAAGAGGCCGCCAGGGUGGAGCGCGCGGCCAAGCGCCUUGUUGACGAAGUCAAGGUAAGCGGCUUUUUGUACUGCUGCGCAUUCUUUUGCCUUGUCUUGCUUGAUCGUUAUAUGCUUGCUUUGUAGGACGUAAUGAAAACGGCGAAGUACCGGAAACGGUGCUUUGACCAGAUAGAAAGCGUCAUGGCCGAGAACAAGGCCCUUGCCGCGGAGGUAGACCGGUUGCGGGCGGAGGUCGGGGAGAAGGUGGUCGAGAUGAGCGCUGAAAAGGAGCGUCGUCUCGACCUCGCUCGUCGCCUGGCCGACCAGUACCGGCUGCAGGAAGGUUAGUCACACGCUCCGAGCAGUUUCGCGUACUUGUAUAGUUUGCUUUGCUGACCAGUUUAGGAUUCACGCAGACUUGGAGGAGGAGGUGGCGAGCCUCCAACAAGAGAAGGAGCAGCUCGGCCAACAGCUCGCCAGUGCACAGGAGUCCGGGCGGCGAGCGGAAGAAGAAUUGGGUCGAAAAGACCGGGAGUUAGCUGGUAAUGGGUGCCGCCUUGUUGGUUGCUGCCUGCCCCUUUGCUUGUCUGGUAUACCGGAAGUAACGUUUCGUUUUGUUUGCAGUGCUCAAGGUGAACACCAAAAAGCACCUGGAUGAGCUGAUCAAGGACCGGGACUCCUGGAAGGUCAACUGUUGCAGGAUCUGGAAAGGAGUGUCCCCGGUCCUGGACCUGAUCAGUCCCGAGCUCCCGGAGAGCCAGCCCCGCGCGCCGCAGUUGACCCCGGUCGAGAAGGCGCAACGGGCGUGGGAUUGGCUCCAGCAGUUUGUGAAGGACGCCGGGGAGUUUGCCGGCGCGCACGUCCUCAGCAUGGUACGCGCCCACUACCCCCUGGUCGAUUUGAGCAGGCUGGAGAAGGGGUACCCGAAGGAAGUCGGCCCACAGGAAGCGGACGAACUUCGGGGUAGUCUGCUGGACUUGUCGUCGACAGUGAUCGGCGACAUCAACCUGUGCGGAACGGCCACUCCUCCAGACCAGCCGAGCUCAGAUAGGUUGGCCAGGGAGUUGUCGGGCGCGUCCGUUGCUGGAGAUGGGCGGUCGACGCCUGCGGUCUCGACCAGCCAGGCGCCGGUGGCCCCGACCCCUUCGUCCGGGCAGCAGGGCCAGGCGGGUGAUCAGCCCGAGCAGCUAGGCCAAUAAAGUAGUCUGUAGGAAUAGACUAGUAUCUGCCCGUCAGGGUAUUUAUUGUAAACUUUGUAUGUAAAGUUUGUAAUAAAGUUUUCUUCUUGUCAUGACUGUUGUUUUGAGCGCUGUAAAAAUAUCUGAGUGACGUGUCACCGUAUUUGUCUUGGUUGUCGCCAAGAGCAUCCAUUGCAGGAGUUUUGCCGAGUGCUGUGUAUGACAAGGUAUAGGCGAAAAAUAGAGAAUUUUAUUAUCAAAAAUUAUAAGAUACUUACAAAAGAAAGUCGUUAAAACUUUAUGGAUAGAAACGUCGCAGUUUGUCGAUGUGCCAAGAGUUAGGCACUCGUGUUCCGUCUGGGUAUGCCAAUCUGUAGGACGUAGGUCGUGUGACCUCGGUCACCACGAAGGGUCCUUCCCAGGGAGUAGAUAACUUGUGCAUUCCCUCCUGGCUUGUUUUCCAUCGAAGCACCAGAUCGCCGACCACGAAGGAACGGUCCUUGACGUUCCUGUUGUAGUAUCGCCUGACUGCCGCGAGAUAUUUUGCUGUUCGGAGACAUGAAACUAAACGCUUUUCCUCCAUGCAAUUGAUUUCGAGUUCUCUGGCGUUGUCGGCGGUCGCCUGGUCGAAGUGCUCGAUUCUAGGAGAUCCGAAGUGUAUGUCAGAUGGCAAGUCCGCCUCUGCGCCGUACACCAUGAAAUAGGGAGACACCCCUGUGUUUCGACUGGUCUGAGUUCGGAGGCCCCAGACCACUGCCGGCAAUUCUUUCAUCCAUCGACCGGGUGCUUUGUCGUUCUCGGUGUACAAUCUUUUCUUUAGGGCGUCGACGAUCAUUCCGUUAGCACGUUCAACUUGACCGUUGGCACGUGGAUGUGCCACUGACACAUAUUUUAUGACUAUGCCUCUGUCAUCGCAGAAAUCCCAAAAAGUGGUGCCAGUAAACUGAGUGCCCAGGUCGGUGAUUAUGCUGUUUGGGAUGCCGAAUCUGUGUAUGAUUUGAUUGAGGAACUCCACAGCCUUCUCGGAGGUUGCCUUGACCAGGGGCAUGUAUUCAAUCCACUUGGAGAACUUGUCGAUUAACACGAAGACAAACUUGAAGUUGCCCGGGGCUGGUUUAAAUGGUCCGAUCAUGUCAAGCCCCCAGCAAGCAAAGGGCCAAGACGACGGGAUGGUUUGAAUUUCAUGGGCAGGUACGUGGGUCCUCUUAGCGAAAAACUGACAUCCUUCGCAAUGCCGAACCAGUUUUUCUGCGUCGCUGACCGCGGUUGGCCAAUAAAAACCUGCUCGGAAAGCCUUUCCGACCAGCGUUCUAGAUGCGGCGUGGUUGCCGCAGGAUCCGGCGUGUAUGUCCUCCAAGAGCUUGAUACCAUCGUCUUGGGGUAUGCACUUGAGCAGUACCUCGGAGCUUGCGUUUUUCCGCAUGAGUUUUCCGUCGACCAGGAUGUAGUUCUUUGAUCGUCGGAUGAGACGCUCGUUCUCUGUUUUGUCCUGAAAACCUGUCCCGUCUGAGAUGUAUUUGAUGAACGGGAUACGCCAGUCACGCCCGCCGGUUGUCGGAGUGGCGUCAUCUAUGAGCAUUGCCUCGGUGGGUUGCUUGUCGACCAGGGGGGAGCUUACGCUCGGCUCAUGGAUGUCCUGGACGAAAAUACCCCGCGGGAUUUGGGCCCGAGACGAGCCUAACUUUGACAACGCAUCUGCUGCUUGGUUCUUAUCCCGGACCACGUGGAUGUACUCUAUGCCAUAGAAGUUAGUUUCCCAUUUGCGAAUUUCUUUGCAGUAGAGAUGCAUCUUCUCGUGGGUUGCGUCCCACUCCUUGUUGAGCUGGUUGAUGACCAGAGCGGAGUCGCCGUAGACAUAGAGGCGCUUGAUCCCCAGUUCGACGGCUAGUCGUACGCCAUGUAAACAAGCUUCGUAUUCGGCAACAUUGUUUGACGCCGGAAAAAGGAUCCGAAGGACGUAGCGGAGUUUGUCCUUGUUUGGUGAUACGAACAAUAUCCCAGCGCCUGCACCGUUGAUGUUCAAGGACCCAUCAAAGAACAUUGACCAGUGGUCUGAGACAUCUGGAACGGAAGGCUCGUUGAGAUCCGUCCAUUCAGCAAUGAAAUCGACCAGGGCCUGAGACUUGACAGUGGUGCGACUCUGGAACUCCAGGGAAAAUGGACAUAAUUCCAUUGCCCAUUUCACGAUUCUGCCAUUGGCGUCUUUAUUGCGCAGGAUGUCCCCAAGAGGAAAGCUGGUUGUCACCAGGACUCGAUGGCCGUCGAAGUAGUGCUUCAACUUUCUUGACGUUAUCAGGAUGGCGUAUAUAAGCUUCUGUAUUUGUGGGUACCUGGCCUUGGAUUCGUUUAAAACUUCACUUAUGAAGUAAACGGGUCUCUGGACCUUGAAGACGUGACCUGGUUCAUCUCGCUCGACCACUAUUGCCGUGGAAACAACCCUGUCGGUUGCAGCAAUGUAAAGGAGCAGGUCUUCAUUGGGCUGAGGCGCUGUGAGGACAGGCGGUGAAGUGAGGAAGGUCUUAAGCUGAGUGAACGCAGCGUCGGCUUCUUCUGUCCAGGAGAAUUUUUCUGACGCUUUCAAUAGUUUGAAGAAAGGGAGGCCUUUUUCUCCCAGCCUUGAGAUGAAACGACUGAGGGCGGCCAUGCAUCCGGUUAGCUUCUGAAUAUCCUUGACGUUCUUCGGUGGUCGCAUGUCGAGUACGGCUUUGACUUUUGAAGGGUUUGGUCGUAUGCCGUCGCAACUGACGACGUUGCCGAGCAGUAGACCGGAAGGAACGCCGAAAAUGCAUUUCUUGGGGUUGAGCUUCCACUUGUACCUAUUGAGUGCCUUGAAGGUUCGGUCUAAGUUGUCGAUUAGGGUGCUCGCGUCCCUUGUUUUUACGACCACGUCGUCCACAUAGGCCUCGACGAGGUCAUCGUGAAUCUCGUCGUGGAGGCAUUGCUGGAUGGCCCUUUGAUAAGUGGCCCCGGCGUUUUUAAGUCCGAAAGACAUGGUAGUGUAACAGUAUGCGCCGAAGGGUGUGAUGAAGGAUGUUUUGAUCUGAUCUUCUUCUUUUAACGAGAUCUGGUGAUAACCAGAGUAGCAAUCUAGAAAGGAGAGGAGUUCGCAUCCGGCCGUUGAGUCGACCACCUCGUCGAUGCGAGGAAGACCAAAAGGAUCUUUAGGACAGUGUUUGUUGAGAUCGGUGUAAUCAACGCACAUUCUCCAUUCAUUAUUCUUUUUGCGUACAAGAACCGGAUUGGCGAGCCAAUCGGGAUGAUACACCUCUUUUAUGAAUCCGGCUGCUAGAAGCCGUGUUAUUUCUGUCCUAAUAGCCUCCUUUUUGUCACGAGCGAACCGUCGCAGUUUUUGCUUGAUUGGUCUUGCGGUCUUCGAGACGUUUAAGGAGUGCUCGAUCAGGUUUCGUGGGACACCGGGCAUGUCUGCGGGUUUCCAUGUGAAAACGCUCACGUUGCCCCUUAGAAACCUGACGAGCGCGUCUUCCUAUUUUGGAUCCAGGUUAGCCCCGAUGAGGGCUGUCUUCUCGGGGUUGCCUUCGACCAGCUGCACUUCUUUGUACUCCUUGGAUUUCGAAUUCUUUCUGGCUGUCUCCUGCUCAGGUAAUCGGAGCUGGUCGGGGGGCAGCUGUGCGGCUUGGUUUGCUGUUUCCGCCAUGCGGAUUGAGAGGUCAAUUGCCUCGGUGAUCUUGAAACUUUCUUCUUCGCAGGUGUACGCAGUGUAGACGUUGCCUCUGACGGUCAGGACACCCUUCUCCGUGGGCAUCUUAAGCACUAGGUAUGAGUAGUGCGGGACUGCCAUGAACUUUGUCAGCGAUGGGCGGCCCAGUAUGGCGUGGUAGGUCCCGUCGAAGUCCGCGACUACGAAGUUGAUGAACUCCGUCCGGAAGUGAUCGGGUGUGCCGAAUUGGACAGGCAAUGUUAUCUGUCCGAGGGGCACCGAACUUUGACCUGGCAAAACCCCCCAGAAUUGGGCGUCGUAAGGUUUUAGUUGCGCCGGUGAUAUCUUGAGGGCGGGCAGGCUGUUGCGGAAGAGGAUGUCGAUGGAGCUUCCCCCGUCCACGAGCACGCGCUCGAAUCUGAUGCUAUUGAUGCAGGGAUCAAGAAUCAGUGGGAAACGACCCGGCUCUGGGAUAGCGGCCCACUGGUCCUUCCUGCUGAACGCGAUCUCCCUGUGGGACCAGGCGGGAAAUUUCGGAUCUGCGAUCAGCCCGUCCGUGCUGUCUAUGUUGAGGCAGGCUCUCUUUAACAGCUUUCUUUCUCGCUUGGACUCAGUGGAGACCUUGCCCCCGAAAAUGGAGUGGACCACGUCGGUGGGGCUGACGUAUUGGUGUCAGGGGUCCCUGUCUUGGUCCUCGUCCUCAUCUUCGUGGUCGUGCCCGUCGCGUUUGUUAGUUUUCUUGGCGGUGUCUUCUUGGGCGGCCCGCCGUGUAUAGAUACUUUUGAGGACGCGGCACUCUUCCAUGGUAUGAUUAGACUUUGGGUGUAGCUGGCACGGUCCCUUCAACGUUUUGUUGUAGUCGUCUUGGUAGUCCCAUCGUCCAUUGGGACGUUUGACCGUGUUUACUUCGUGGUCGUAUUCGCGAGGGCGCUUUCCUCUGAAGUCGUCGCGGCUGUCGCGCCGCCGAUCCCAACCCUCUCGGUGAUCACGGUUGUCGGAGCGGCGGUGAUUUCUGUUGUCGUAGCGACCACGACCGUCAUCUCGCCGGGAGGGCUGGUCGGUGCCUCUCGCAUCGUCUCGGAUUAGUUUUUCUGCGUCAUCAGCGUCGGCAUAAUUUUUAGCCGUGGCGAGGAGCUCUGCUACCGUUGAUGGGCGCUUACGCAACAGCUUGUUCCUCAGCGCUUCAUGGAAACGCAAGCCCUUGAUAAAGGAUGAUAUGGCCUCGUCAUGAGAAAUCUUCGGGAUUUUGAGGCGCAUAUCCGAGAAUCGUCGGAUAUAAUCGCGCAGAGGUUCAUUCUUCCUGUCUCUUAUCCUUUCAAGGUCAUACUUGUUUCCGGGCUGCUCACAUGUGGCGAUGAAGUUGUCGAUGAAAGCCUGUCGUAGCUCUUCCCAAGAGUCGAAGGAGUCCUCGGGUAAGCCGAGAAGCCACUGAUGACCAGCCUGGUCGAGGACUACGGGGAAGUAGUUAGCCAUGACGUGCUCAUCUCCUGCCGCUGAUCGGACGGCGAUUUCGUAGAGGGUGAUCCAGUUCUCUGGAUUUUCCUUGCCGUCGUAUUUUUUAAGUUUUUCGAGCUUGAAAUUGCGGGGCCACACGACCUGGCGGAGGUGUGAGGAGAACUGCCUUAGGCCCGGAGGACCAUGGGUCGCAUCGUACUCGAUGCGGCGCAGGUUUUCGUGGACUACUCUCUCUGCGGCGCGCCUGUUGAUGCGGUCCCGGGCAUCUUUGGGAGGGAUGUUGUGGCGGAGAUCCCUGUGUUGAUCUUCUUCUUCUUGGCCGCGUACGCGGUUCUGCUGGCGGCGGCCAUCGGCGUCCCGACCACCAUCGUCGCGCCGUGAGUCCCCUCGACGGUUGUCGGGGGAGCGGCUGCAGCGACGCCUACUGGGUGAGGCCCGGCUACGAUGAGUCUGGUCGGAGGCGGCUUCCGUAUAAGAGACGUCCUGGACUCUCUUGAGCAGAGUGGCUGUCUGUCCCAUCGCGGCGAUCAGGUGUGCUCGGAUACUGGUCCGGACUCCCUGGCAUUCGGGGGUGUCAGGAAGCCGAUCCAGGUUGGCCAUGGCGACAGCCACGUUGGCGCUUGGUGUUUUGUAGACCGGCUGGUCCCCGACCAUAUCAAAGGCAUCGUUGAGGUUGCCUGGUGGCGUCUGUUGUUGCUCGUCCGCACGCCGUCGGGCGCGAUCGGCGUUACGCUGUUCGCGGAGUUGCCUCUGGUCGUCUGUUUCUCCGUCAACAGCCGGUUCGUCGGCGCUGACAUUGAAUACAAUAUCCCCUCGCCGGGGGGGGGAAUAUCGGGAAUCGGUCGAAACCCGGAGGGUGUGAAGGAAAAUCCAGGUCGUAGUCCUCGUCUUCGGUGUUCACAACCUCGGUGGGGACGGAGCCGGUGCUUGAGUUGGUGCUAGAAACCUGGCCGUCCCGUAGCUCUCGGAUGGUCACCAUGUUGACAUGGUGACGAUUGUUCCUUGUCGGCGACCAGCCCGCUUUGCUAAAAACGGAUUGGACAUGCUGUGAGUAAACAGAGGCUGAGUUGUUCAGGCCGCAAGGAUAGUCUUCCUUUUUGAGCUCGACGGAUCGUCCUGAGGGGGUCGAGGUUAUCAUCAGGGACGUUCCCAGCCGUUCGUGUGUGGCGACACGAGUUGGCCGGCGGAAUUUCGAAAAAUCCGCUCGAGCAGCUUGGUCGGGCCGGCGCAGAACUCCAUCUAUUAGUUGGGAGACUUCGAGUAGCUUGGAGUCAGCGCGAUCGAGCGCUUGGAGGAGGUCCGAGCAGUCGAUCUCCUUUCCCCUGUAGAGCGGGAACGGUGGUCGGGAGCUUGGUGCCGUCAUGCGUGUGGUCGGAGACGGCGUGAUCUCAGAUUGGAUCUGGAUCUCUUUCGGAACCGUGGCCGCAAAACCGCCGCUGCACGUCGUCCACGUGAUCUGGCCGACGGUGAACGUGAGGCCUUCGGGCACGGUCGCGGAAGCUGGGAUCGUGACCAUCUUGUUCGCCGGAAAAGUUGCACGCACACCCCCUACCUGGCGCGCCACUGUCGACGAAAGCUAGUCGGCAGUCUACCUUGGGGUAUACCCACGGUAGUAGUUUAUCGGUAGACGGUGCGCAAACUACGAACUCGAUGGUGACGCAAGACACGGACAAGCUUUUUAUCCAGGUUCGGCCGCCAAGUUGGCGUAAUACCUACGUCCUGCGUCUGGUUGUAUUGGAUUGUGUUGAGAGAUAAUCUGUCCUAGGGGGUCCCUUGCCCCUCCUUAUAUAGUCUGGAGGGCAGGGUUACAGAUCUAGAAACUAAUCCUAGUCGGUUACAAUUGCCAUGGAUAAUUCGAUAUCAAUUCCUAUUCUAACCGACUAGAAUCCUGCUUGAUCUCCACGUCUUGUUUCCUUGCGCGAAACUCGGGCUGUCGGAUCAAGCCUUGAACUCGUCUCGUAGUGGGCCAAGCUUCCUGGCGGAAGUCUAGCCGUAAGGGUAUAGGGGUUUAUACCCCCACAUGCACCCAAUCCUGCGGAUUGUUGUGGUAGCCCUAGGGUAGUGACAGCCCUAACGGUCGACGUAUUCCACCUCGUUCGGACUGGUGUUUGUAGGACCGUAGUCAGAGCUUCCUAGCUCCCUUCUCAUCUCUUUCCGUGGUUAGUGUUGUGAUGUCCCGAAAUAAAUAAUCUUUGAAGUAAUUCUUGAUUCUUAGAUCAACUAGAGAACUCUUAGGAAACUUCCUCUCUUCCCACCAAAAAAUAAUUAUAUAGUUAUCCUUGGGCAAUCUUGAAUCUUAAUAAGUACACUCACGUUCCCUGUGGAUAAUCGAUACUCUCGAAUACUCCCGGGUGAAAGCUACAUCGGUAUCCGUACGCUUGCGGAUUUUUCUAUUUGCGUUUAAAAUACCCAACACACGCGGGCGCGGAAGCCGGGGCGGCGGCGGACUCCCCAUCCGUUUCGGACGGGAGGUUAGGGGUGGACCUGACGGGUGGGGCCCACCCGUCGGCGAGUGGCGGCGGGAGCGGGGCGAUCCGUGCGCUUGCGGAUUUUUCUGUUUGCAUUUAAAAUACCCAACACGCGCGGGCGCGGAAGCCGGGGCGUUGGCGGACUCCCCAUCCGUUUCGGACAGGAGGUUAGGGGUGGCCCUGACGGGUGGGGCCCACCCGUCGGCGAGUGGCGGCGGGAGCGGGGCGCGCGCUGCUGGGUGCGGCUGGGCUUGCGCGCGGGCGAGCUGGGCCGCGCGGCCCAGGUGGCGGAGCGGGAGAGGGAAGAGAGGGGAAGGGGAUUGGGGCGCUGGGCCGAGGGGAAGCCGGCCCAGGAAGAGGGUGUUGCUCAUUUUUUAUUUCAGAAAGAAAUUGAUUCUCCUAUUUUUGUUCUUGUCUCAAAACUAAAACAAGCACAAGCAAAUAAAAUCAAACAAAAUUAAUGCAGCGGCAUGAAUGCAUUCAACCAUGUUUCUACCUUAUAUUUUAUUUUAUUUACUUUUGUAAAUUAUUUAAUAAUUGCCUAAAAUUCAAACUAAGGCAAAAAUAAAUCAAAUUUAAACUAAAAUUUGAAAUUCAAAUUUUUGGAGUGUUAUACCAUCAAACGUUAAUCAUGACAAUAUUAUUGACCUUACAACCAAUGUGAAAUCUCACAUGACAUAGGUAGGUCUUGCAUCAACAAGAAUCAUGUGCAAGACAAAAUUAAGCAAGCAAAGAUGUUAGCAAGAUUUGUAGGUAACAAGUAGAAGGUUAAAGGAUAAGAAAAUGGCACAAGACAUAAAUGGAUACGCGCUAUGCCCAUCAAGGUCAUUACCCAACAAUUAAUUUAUGAGAUGCAGUCAUGUUGGGUAGGAACAUGAGAUCAAAGCCAAUAAGCAUCCCAAGAUUUGGGGAGGAUGGAGAUGAAUUAAGCAAACUCCAAUGGUAAAACCACUACACCGAUUAGAGAUUUAGAUGAUAGGGAGUUACAUGAUUUGUAAAGCAAAAGAUUCCAAGAUUAGGCAGCAAAAGAUUGCCUUACACAAGCUAAGUUUUGGGAGAUGCAAUCGGGAGGUCCAACAUGGAUUUGGUAUGGUCUCCGUAACUACCAAAGAACAACUAUAGUCAAAAGCUUUCUGUAGCGAGAACUUAUCCUAGCUAGUUGGCUAGACAAGGAUAUUUGCAACAGGUGUAGGGCAACCAUGGUAUAUGCAAGCAUUUAAGGGUCUGGACAUGGGUGUACAUAUCAAGCAUAGGCAUGGAUGCUCAAACAUUCAAAAACUAACAACCAAGUCAAUAAGCUUGGCUCCUAAGAGGGAGAACCUAAUUUGAUACAACCAAUACACAAUUAACAUAACUUGAGUGCCAUUCUAAGAUAAAGCUAUUUGACACUCGUGCUCGUCGAGGACAAAACAAAAAACAACUAAGGCACGAUCUAGAUAACCAACACCCACACAACAUAACAGUUUUAAGCAAGUACUUGAGAAAACUCAAACAAUCAUGCUUAAAAAACCAUUACUAAGCACAAGGCUUACAUACAACAAGCAUUUAUCUAUGGCAAUACAACACAAUUGUUCCACAUACAAAGAUUAUGAUACAAGAUGUGCUACAAAGCUAGUGGACAUGGCGUAGUCUUCUAGGGAGAAGAUGAUUUUGAGAUGGGUAGUUAAAAGGGCUCCAAAAGAUUUUGGCAUGGUUGUACUAUCAUGCAAAUGGACAUACCACAAGCAAGAGUCUAGCAUUUAGGAAAACUCAGUGGUGAAAGGUUAUCAUACCCAUAGAGCUAAUUCAAAAAACUUAAAAAGGUUGAAAAAGAAUACUAAUCAGCUCUGCCUAAACAAGGAUAGAGAACUUGACAUUAACUUUAGAAAAUGAUAACUAAAGUUCCAGUGAUUGAACAACCAUGAUCUUUAAUCUUAUGGAAACUUAUCAAGUUAUCUAUAAUUUUCUUAUUAUCAUCUUAAGAAGCUUCUACAGCUAACAAGGACAAACAAUACAAAGAAGACAUAUCUAUUCAGAUUUUUGACAGAUUCUGUCAUUCUACUUCACAAGCUCAUAACAGAAGAUUUAGACAACCAAAAGUAGUGAUCUUAACAAAAGUACUACACUUCUUCUAUUAACUCCAGGACAUGAUUCUGUAUGCACACUAGUCAAACAAACUAAACAUUCAGAUCUGUUCAGAAUAUGAUCAGGAUCUGACAACAAACUUCAAAAGUUCAUAACUCCUAAACCAUCAGGCCUAUGGUCAUGAAAGUUUAGGAUAAACUAGAUAUAGAGGUUGGCUACAACUUUGGUAUUCACUAUAAUUACAGAAAACACCAUUAUUGUCAUGAAAACACCACUAGAAUACAAACUGCUCUAGUAGCCAAAAUUCAACACCCUAUCAAGCAAUGUUUUCCCUUGUUCUAUUAACAAGAUAGCACACACAUGUAUAACUCCAGUAGCUACAAACAUUAUUACCUAGAUAAACAAUAAUUUAGUUUGGUGACAAGGAGGGAUUAACAUAAGAAUCACAAUUGCUUAAGUGAGGUUAAAGUAUUUGCAAACUCUUGUCUGAGCAACAUAUUCAUCACUUGGCUAAAUAAGCUGACACCUACAAGUUCAAGCAUAUAGCCUCAGCUAUUUCCAUUAUAGGUAGGCCACAUUUUUACUUAGUUAAUUAAAAUUAGAGGCAUCACAGAAAACAUCCACAUACAUGUUCACCGACAAGCUUUAGUUUUCAAAGGAUUGUAGUUUCUACUACUACUAACUUAGCAUUCCUAUAGAAGCAGUUAUUUCAAGGCUAGACACAUCACACACCACUUUCAAACAAAACUAUUCAAGUAGCAUGGAAUAUGGCAAUUUUUGUAUAGCUACACACAGUGAAAAGAGUAGCAUCACAUCACUCACAAGUUACAAAUUACUGGAACAAAGGUGGGAGAAGCAUUGUCAUACAUAAUGCAACAAUCAUAAGGAUGCAUGCUUCGUCUUAUUCGUCCUCAGAAAAUUGCCAGCCUAAGGUGGCAAUCACGUUCUAUGUCGGUGGCAUAACACGUACUCUCUCGACAUAUAGCUAGUCGUUAACUACGUUCAAUCUAUGCAUUCGUGGUUAGCGUACCUGCAGAAGAAUUUCAUUUCAGCCCAACCCAAUAAUAAUACAAGUACAGAAAUGAAAGUCUGUUCUCUAUGUUGAAAGCUAAAUACUCCAAUAUAUAUUCCCGAAUAUAUAUUGCAGCAUACUACCCAUGUGAAGCACGCCCAUGUAUACACAGAGUCAUGUAUACACGGUCAACCAACUAACCCACAAUUAAUUAAGUACCUUCAUAUAUACAUGUGUGUAACAUGCCAGUAACCAUAUCUAACUCUCCCCUAGACCGACGGUUGGACAAUCAUGCUCUCACAACUCACAUUCUUACCUUAGUGUCGAGGUAUAUAGAUCCAUACAUUACCACUCAAGCAUGUGGCAUCCAUACAAUUUCACGCCGUAUGGACGACGAAAGGAAAAUAUUGCUUACUGUGGCAUAGAGGUAUAUGAUCUAUGCAUUACCACUUAAGUAAGUGGCAUCUAUACUAUUGCAUGCCGUAUGGACGAUGAAAGUAAAAGUUGCAAUAAAUUAAACCCCCCAUAGUUAGUAUCAGUUUACAUAAAGCCACCUAGUAGUCCUUAGUUGGGCAUAACUGGAGGUUGUCGCUAGCGUAGUUUUUGUAAAUUAGCUUUGACAAGUUUUAGUCCAAAUAGGAUUUUUAAAACCAAAACUUUGUUUUAAAAUAGUGUACCUGAUAGUAUUAUACUUAAUCUUGCUCCGAUGCCAGCUGUGACAGAACCGCCCAAUUUAUACAAGUUUAAGUACGACUGUCCCUAUUUAACACAUUGACACGAGCAUACUCUCACUUAUAUAAACCCGGUAGUCUGCCGAGUGUCACGAAGGACCUUGGUAAAUCAACCUUACACCAAGAUCGCAUGAUUAAGCAAAUACACAUCACAUACACGGAGAUUUGCAAGUGGAAAUAAUAUUACAAAAGAGUCCACAAAUAAUAGUACAAGUUUGGAUUUUCCAAAUUGAUUAGAAAACAACAUAGCUUUCAAAUGAUUACAAUAACAUAAGUUCCAAAUACAUUGUUAGUAUAAGUGUCAUCCUCCGACAAAAGCAUGUAGAUGAGAACACUAUAUAGAAUCACCAAGCCCACCGGCGGUUAGCCACCAUCCUUAGCAGACUGAAAACUUCACCUACAACAUGGUGGGAUAAACCCUGAGUACUCAAAUGUACUCAGCUAGACCUACCCGACAGGAGAGAAAUAAAAGACUCUCAAGGAUAUGCAAGGCUUAUUUGGUGGUGUUGGUUGGAUAGCAUAACUUUGCCAAAAAGAGCAUUACUAUCAUGAGUCCUUACUUUCAACCUUUUAGUCAAUAUUUUAGCAUCAAGUUCAGUUAAGCCACCAUAGCUAGAUUUUGCACCUAUUAUAUAGCAAUCACUUGAUUAAUAAGCAUCACAUUAAUAACCAUAUCUGGUUUAUCAUGUAGCCAUCAUCAUUCUCAUCAUAACCAUUAAGUUUAUUUAGUGAGUUCUACGUUGCUGCUACUCAAGUCAAGUUCUCACUAUCUGGGAGAGAUGACGAUUCGAAUCGAUUCCUAACCAGCUGGAGGGGUAUUCCUAGCACUCACCUAGGCGUACUUUGCAGGAGCAGUCUUGGGUCACCUUUAGCACAACUCAGGACAAAUUCACGGGUCCGUACAACGCCGCACCCUAGAGACCGCCAACCUGCUAGGUUCAGGACUCUAACAUGACACCUCGGUCUUACGACAUUGACUCCCUGCACAUCCUUACUACCAACCGGGGUGCGCACUUAAACCGAACGGGGUAUCUGGCCUGAGUUGUACUCAUAGACUUCACGGUCGGAACGACUUAUCUGGCCAACUAAAUGUUAGGCAUGCGUUCAACAUGACGAGAGGACGUACAGCGUAUCGGUCCUUAAACGACACAGACGGGGAUAGAUUCACAUCCAAGACCUCCAUGCCUUGUUGCUUCACUAUCAUCAUCCCGCCCGGUCUCCAUUUAUUUUUAACACAUGGUUAUUUCCACGAUAGCAAAUAUAGCCAACCUUGAUCAGGUAUCCACCUAUCUCUCGUAGGUGACACGAAAUCACCUGGCUUCUACCGAGCUAAGUAUAGCUAAGCAUAGAACGUCUUCCUUAUCUCUACUAUAAUUGAAAUCUUCUCUAGGGAAAUCCCACCUGCAAGAUCAACGACUCACAGCACAUGUCCUACAGAUUUGACGGCCCAGAUUAGAAGUAUGAUCACGACCUUACACACGCACAGCUCCAUCAAUCGGAAAAACGCCGCAACACACGCACGUCCGUCAUCCUGCCGGCCUCCUCUAGGAUCCGGCGUCUCCUCCCCUGGCCACGAUCGACCUGGUCGGUGUUGAGAUAGGAUCCCUGGAGCUCAACGCUAUGCACACACCAGCGCGCCAGGAUCUACGCCCUUGACCUCACGUCGUCUGCGGCGCGAUCAUGGCAUGCUAGCCCAGCUAAGGAGAUCGCGGUGACCGUCGGGCAGCCGGCACCUCCGCGUGCUACCGAUCCACGUAGGCCUCCUCUGCCACGGGUGGUGGUCGACGCGGUUUUGCACCUGGCCGUGGUCACGGCGCUCGGCUUCCUCUUGAUCCGGUACAUCAGGCUGCUCGUCCUUGAGGCGGGCGUGCUGCUCCACCACCCGGCUGCAUGUAGAUCCUAGCUGGACUAGCACGCCGUGAUCGCACCACAGACGGAGGUCAAGGGCAGAGGCAUGUUGCCGCAAACGCGUGGUCAGGUUCGUCCUCAACAUCCACCCCAAACGCGUGGGGGUUCAGCGGCGGCUGGAACGAGUAGACUGAUAUGAAGGUUGGAGCUGUUGUCGGCGUCGGCGAGCAACUGCCGCGGAUCAAAGUGGAAGAACAUCCACCACGCCGGCGCGCGGUCUUCGGGAACCCUAAUGGUUGCACUCCCGGUCGCGAUCCAUUUUCGUACAUGCCCUGCACAAGGCUUGCCAGGACGGAUCGCGGAGGAUGAGGGAGUUCCUGGCCAGAGCAAAGCCAAAAAUACAGGUGAGCAAUUCAUUCAGGAAACGAAUUUAAUCUGAUGCUGCACUGCUGCUCGCUAUGGUACUUGAUUUCCUUUUCACUAUGACACUAUCCUAGCUGAAUGAGACGAAUUACAAGAAGACUGAGUUUAAACAUAAGGUAUCUGAUUGUCAUUCUACUAAUGAAGAGAGUGAAUUAAAAAAAACUAAGGAACAUCAUCGAUUAACUUGCUUCCUCUAGCUCUGAUGUUGUACUGCGGAUUAUGAGAAGGAGGCAAAUAAAAAAGCUGGUGAAAGGAAGUAGUAGCUCAACAGGUGAUCCAUGUGUGUGUUCUGCAUUUUUUUCUUUCAUUCUUCUAUUCGCUGCUCCUAAACAAAAUAGAACGUUUCUGCAUGAAUCAAUUUAAGCCCCCAACGCAGCAUCAUCUAAUUUCUCAUUACAGUUUUAACAACAUGAGAUUGCCCUGGAACUUCAAAGAGGACCUUUUGUGACGUCAUUUUUGUUUCUUGUGCUGAUCAUAUAGGUAGACUAUAGAGAGGAUCAGACACAACCAUGGCAUGAAAUAAAAGCCGCUAAACCCAAGGUAACCUUCAGAGAUCUAAAUUAUAUUUGUCAGAAAUUUUCUAAAUAAAUAUACUGAAUUCUCACUUUGAUCCUAUUUGCAGUGUCUAUUUGUAGCUUUUCCGUUUAAUUGAUGCAAUAUUUUUUUUCCUUUGAUUAAGAGUGAUCCACGGCUGAAGAAUGUUCGUGGCUAAAAAAAAUCUUGAUUUAUAGCUGCUUAUAUGCAGCCAAACUCACAUUAAAUUUUAGAUUCAGUAAAAAUUGUUUAUGCUUACCAUAGGUUAGCAUUUUUAACCAAAUGAACCCAAGAAAUGUCAGUACAAUAUUGCUACGGUUUUCUAGACUGUUUAUGCUUACCAUAGGUUAGCAUUUUUAACUAAAGGAACCAGUAAAAACUCAAAGAUCUAGUCUGAGCACCUACUCAAUGUCUACGCCAAGAGAUACGCCUAAUGUAUUGAGUGACGUCACUAACGUCGCAGGUAUGAUUUCAAUCUGGAUUUAUAUAGUAUGGAGUACUUUGGGGGUGUAUUUUUCAUUUUCUCUACAGAUGACGUCUCACAGACGAUGGACGAACGAAACUUACGGCAACAGGUGCAGCGAGCAGAGAUGUCCAAAAAAUAAAGGGAAGAAAUGAGAAGGAAACAACCGUGAGUACCAUUGUCAGUACCGAGAACGGAAGAAGUUAGAAUCGCAUAACAUUGGCGCUACCUAUUAUUUGACUGCACCUGGUACAAUUUAUUUUUUUAUAUUAGAGAUUGACAUAGUCAAACCAUCGUUGCUGGAACUAAUCACAAAUUUUGCAGGUACUAACCACAGUGCUAUGGACCAAAACUCCCUAUUUUUUGUAAACAAGGAAAAUAUCCAACCAGCUGCAGAUGGGGAUCAUAGCCAUGGUGGCAGUACCAUGACAACCAUGAUAGGAAGUAGAAUAUCUAUGGCUAGCGGUAAAUAUCAGCUACAUAAUCUGCUUUUUAUUUUUGUGAAGGAGCCAAAUUAUCUUCAUCUUUACUGUAACAAAAAAGAUAAUGCUGAUGGAUCAAAAAUCACAAAUUAUAUUGAACGAUGAUAAUACCAAAGCAAUUGCAACUGCGGAGAUCAUAGCCAUGGUGGCCUUGUCAUAGAAACCAUGAUAGAAAGUAGACUACCUUUAUGCAGCAAUAAAUGUCAAAUAUAGAACUUCAUGCUUCUUAUGUCACCAAGUUUCCUUUUUUGUUAAUAUCUCUACUACUAUGACUGACCUCAUAAAAAAAGGUACUCUACACAGAUAUUCUAACACUCACUGGAGAAAAUGAACAUGCAAGAACGAAGAGAAGAGCUGAGAUGACCAUAGAAUAGUUAGAAACAAACAUUCUUGAUUGGAAUUGAUCGUGUUUAAUAACAUUCCCCAGAGAUAGCCGUAGCGUUAGCACGGGCAUUAUACUAGUACUAGUAAGGGUUCAGGUAGUUUCAUAUAGUGGACAAGGUAGGAAUAUAUGCACCAACAGUUUCAUUCAACUCCUAUCACCUAAUGCAUCAUAUAAAGUUAUACUCUUGUUCUUUUAUAAAAAGAGAGGGUAGGAGACUUAGAAUGCUCUAGGGCUUGCCUCGAAUCUGACACAAGUCAGUUAAGUUAGCUUGCGCCAUCUUGACUACAUCCAAGUUCACAACACUUGUGUAGUCCUUCCAUCAUCCAGAUAGGUCCACCAUCAAGUCCUUCACGUGGUUCAUCUAGCGUACCUAAAUGAGAUGCAAGAUGCAAGUGUAUGAACACAUGGAAGUGCAAUAGAUAAUGCAGCACAUACAGUAAGCAAGACAAGCAUCAUGCUACUCUACACAUACAUAUGUAUUUCAUGUUGCUUAAAUAACAUAACCAACAUACUAAGAUAGAAAACAAUGCAACACCAAGCAUAUCAAGCAUGGCACACAUGUUUCACAAGAUUUCCAUCAUCAAAGGCAUGAGUCACUUAGAAACACACACAAAGUAAAGUAAUCAAGCAUUCAUGCAUUUUCAGCAAUUCUAGACAUACAAGCAGCAGCUCAGUAAAUAAAUCAUAACUAGAGUUAUACAGAUCCAAAAUCAAUGCAACAAGACAUUAUGGAAAUCUCAUAAAACUGUGUACAAUUCAUAUUUAAUCAUCUCAGCAUGAUUAGUAAGCUAACUAAGUCAAACAUGCAUAUUUACAGAAUCUGGUCUAGGAAUUCCAGAGAACAAGCAUUUUGAUAGAUAAUCUUUAUACCUUUAUAACUCACAACCAUUUAGCCAAAAGAUAUGAAACUUUAACACAAGCUAUAUAAAAGAGUUACCUACAACUUUUAUAUAGAUAAGUUUUACAGCAAACAUCAUUUCUACCAAGGAAUUAGUUGCACAAUCAAAACUGCUCAUGUUGUCCCCAAACAGUAGGGUACAAAUAAAGACAGAAAACUGAUAGGCACUUCAAGCAAGCAUAAAUGGAGUUACUGUUGGGUAUUUUAAACGCAAACAGAAAAAUCCGCAAGCGCACGGAUACCAAUGUAGCUUUCACCUGGGAGUAUUCCAGAGUAUCGAUUUUCCACAGGGAACGUGAGUGUACUAAUUAAGAUUCAAGAUCGCCCAAGGAUAACUAUAUAAUUAUUUUUAGUGAGAAGAGAGGAAGUUUCCUGAGAGUUCUCUAGUUGAUCUAAGAAUCACGAAUUACUUCAAGAUUAUCUAUGUCGGCACAUCAGAACACUAACCACAGAAAGAGAUGAGAAGGGGGCUAGGAAGCUCUGACUACGGUCCUACAAACACCGAUCCGAACGAGGUGGAAUACGUCGACCGUUAGGGCUGUCACUACCCUAGGGCUACCACAACAAUUCGCAGGAUUGGGUGCAAUUCCAGGUAACUGCAAGACUAAACACCACGUCUAAUCUAUUAAUUACUACUCUAGCGUUAUAAAGACUAGAGCACUUGAUGCAAGCGGGAAUCCAAUAAAUAACUUGAAUGUAAAUAAAAGUAAUUAAAGAACUCAGGAAUUAUGAAUUGAAAAACUUGGAGAACGAUGAAGAACGAACCAGUUUCCGCAAAAGUAUAAUGUUGAAGAAGAUCCGACAGAUCCGGUGUUGACGGUGCUUAAGUACCAAAUAUAAUCAUCAAAUAAAUAAAGAAAAGGAUCCAAAUGCAACCAACACCCAGACUUAGGGUUUUAUCUGACAGAAUUCCACGAGUUUUGGUGUUUGUCUAUUUCUGCAGCGGGUUAUCAGGAAAUACGGAAGAAAGGCCCACACGUCGGGUUUACAUAGAGAUAUUAACGUGCCGCGCAAUUUUCUACCAUCUAGAAGACUCCAGAAGCCACGGGAAGGAAGCGGAGGCCGAACGGGGCCAGAGGCAGGGCGCCCGCCCUCCUUCCUUGGGCGCCCGCCCUGACUUGGAGUCCAAACAGGACUCUCUUCGGGGAUUACUCUCCACCGACCUAAAGGAUCAAGGAUAAUGUAGUACCACAUCGCCUACCGACCCAAAAACGCAUAGAGGAGGAGGACUAUAUAAGGAGACCCCCCUGGCCCUUGGAGAAGACAAGAAGUUAUCAUAGAGAUUGAGGGGUGCCCUCGAAGGAAAACCUCUUCUCUAAAUAAUAUUUCUUUUUAGGCUUAGCAACCAAUAUAAGUAGAAAUAGAUCUUCUAGUUUCUACUAGAUUGAGAGAGAUAGAGUGGAGGUGUAGAUCAGAGGAAGGCCGGCCUGUCGGUGUCUACUCCGAGGUUGUACCUGUGGGAUCAAGUCUUCUAACCCGAGGCUUGCUUCUAAGAUUCUUCAGUAAUUCGACUUCUAAUUCUAGUAAGUUCUUGUUUUAUUGUUCUAUGGUUUAUGAGUUUACUUUAAUCCUCUUCCGAUUGAGUAUUAGAGUAAUCAUUGCUAGCGUAAACGUGGUGUUUAGGCUAGGGUACUCAUAGAUAUCCCCUAACUAGCUGGACCGUGGUAGUAGCGAGGAACGUGACAUUUCCGAGUUACCUUUGCAUCCCAUAUCUUGUUAGCAGGACGGGUAGGUUUAUAGGUGCGGGUCGAACAUCCUUUGUGGUGUCUAGAUUCCGUAUGCUUCCCCAAUAGAAUAGUAGAUCAUCCUUACCAAGGUUAGAACGAGACUACGUCCUUACCAAGGUUAGAACGAGACUACGGUUGCAGUCUUCUCUAUACAUCACUCACAUCGAGAAACAUUCUUUGUAGCCUAAAGGGAUAGUAGCAAUAGAUUUGGUUAGUCAGUUGCACCCUUUCUCCCAGUGGUAAAAAUAUAAAUACGAUAACUCUGGAUAACCUCCCGGGUGAAAUGCUCACCGAUAUCCGUGCGCUUGCGGAUCAUUUUCUGAUUGCGUUACCAAAUAUCAACAAGCAUUUCUGGCGCCGUUGCCGGGGAGAAAGACGGUUUGUGAGAUAACUUUGAGUCUUGCUAUUGUCUUGUAUUAUACUUUGAUACUUUUAUUCUUUUAUCUUUUUAUUUUUAUUUUUAUGGAUAACUCAAAUUCCAUACCUAUUAUUGAAUUCUUUGCACCUUCGGAGACCAGCCAUAGACCAUGGGAGUCAACAUGUCCUGCCCCUAAUUAUGAUCUGUGUCCAGAGUUGAUUGCAAUAGGUCAAAACCAACCCUUUUCUAUAGCCGAGGUCCUAUCUUUUAAUCAAGAAGAUAAUGCACUUUUAGCUACACCUAGGGAAUCUGUUAAUCUUUCUAUAAAUUCUGAUUUAGACCUAGCCCUACAAGAACAUGUUUUUUCUCGAUAUUUUCACAUUGGUCUUAAUCAUAUAACCUUUGGUAGAGUCUUUCUUUCUUUAUCUAUUAGUAAAGGACGGUGUUGACACUUCUUAACGCAACCACCGGAUAUCGGCGACGGCGCCAGAAGUGCCCUCGUAGGGUAACUCUAUUUACUAUUGGAUAAUUCCGCAAGCGCACAGAAUGUACCGCUGUAGCACUUCACCAAGGAGUAUUCCAAGGUAUCGUAAUUUAUAUUUUCCCAAGGGAAAGCGGCUAAGUGUGUUUAACAAAAAGGGGAAUGAGAUUCCUUGAGUUGUCUAGUAUCAACUAGUGAAUAAGGGUGGUAAAUAACGAAUAGGAAGGGUAGUGGUGAAUCCAAGGUCCUAUGCUAAAGGUAAAUGGUAGAGUUAGCUAGGUGGGAGGACAACGAGUGAGUAAAGGACUCCUAUGUAUCUAACUUGACUUCUGUGACUUACUUUAAUAGAUAAUUGCCUUAACUACGCUAGAGCCUUACUAACUGUGUGCGAGGGAUAGCCGAGCUGGUAAGACGCUUAGAAGGUUUUUCACCUAACCCCUUACCGAAAGCGACUAUUGGGCUUAUGGACGCCUUACCUUUUAAGAACUAGCCUGUACGUGAGGAGAACCUAAUGCCGCCCACGAUCUGUCACCUACUAGGGAGUGCGCUCCUACUUUCCGUUCAAGCCAGCGGUAAUCAAAGGUAAUCUUAAGUAUGAGCACCACGCUCACACUUAAUCCUACAACUCUAACUAGUUGCAGCUAGCGAGAGCUCCUAUACAAGAUAGGACGAUGAUGCACACACAGGAGUGGUUACAGGUCACUAACUUCACUAAGACAACUAUAUUACUAAAGUAAAUGCACAACAAGACUAAAAGACUUGCACUAAGUAAGAACUCAGUAAAGUAAAGUAAGAAUAAUAUAUUAAUAAAAGGAAAGUCUUACAAAAGUAGAAAGGUACAAGAGCUAUACCAGACUCUCCAGAAGACGACUCCGGAGACCCCGAGCUUCGCUCGACUCGACUCUAACUCCCACUCUAGACUAACUACUACUCUACUUGUAUGCUUGGAACUUGUAAUGCACUUGGCCUUGGAAUUGCACACUUGAAAUGAAGGGUGGAGGCUGCCUUUUAUAGAGGGAGAUGGAGUAGGGGUUACUCCAUCGCCACGUCAUCGAUCCGCGUGACAUCUUCUCUCCACCCUUGGAUCAAACCGACCUCACAACCGCCAUUUGAUCAACGGCAGGGGCAAAUCAACAUGUGGGACAUGUGGGGAAGGUCGGUGGGAGGCCACCGACCCUGGAACCGCCUUUGAUGUGGGGUCGGGCGACCCCACUUCUGGGCCUCUGGACCCACCAGCAGUGUCCACAGGAGUCCCUUAUGUCGGUGGACUAGGUGGCACACCUGGGUCCCACCAAAGAGGGGUCGGGCGACCCCCUCCCUGUGGGCCCAGGGUGUCACCUGUUGUCCCCUUGAUCUCCUCUUGAUGAUUCUGAUGUUGGCUUUGUCAAAUAAUGUCUUGAAUUUGUUGUUCCUGCAUAAACAAGCUAAGAGUACAAGUGGAACUAGUUAUGGAUAAAAUAUGUUCAUGUCAUGUCAUUUCCCCUUGCAACCGAGGCAUGUUGACGGUGUUUUGUAUGUGAAUUUCUAUGGUAUAUCCACCGUCAACAGAAGGUAUGUCUUCAUUCGUGGACAUCCUUCUUGUACUAGUCUUCAUAGAAAAAUCUUAGAGAUAGAGAAGGAUUCAUCUCCCAGACAAGGAAAGGAAGUUUCAAUAGCCAAUUUCCAAACAUUUCAAUCCCAUGAUUCGGCUAUCCAACCCAUCCUUGAGCUUAAUAAUUUCUACUAUGCUCUUUCUCUUGAACCUCCCGAUAAUCCUAUGAAUCUCUCUAGACGUCCCAUGCAUAAGAAGGAGGAUCGAGAAGAGCAACAUCAAUGGCUAGAGGGCAUUAAAAAUCCAUGUGCUAUCACCACAUUAGAGAUCUCCAAACCCCUCUUCCUUUCUAUUUAUAAAAAUUUAAAAGGGCGGUUGUCGAUGCAUAUGUAUAUAAUAAAUAUUACAGAUCUCGUUGAGUUGAUUGAUGGUUUCCCAAGGACAAGCUUAGUGUCCUAAAACAAGCACUUAUCAGAUCGUAACAUGAACUUCUAAUUAUUUGCAACACUGCCUUGUGUAUUGAGCAUAUAAAGAUAAUUGUAGAAAUAUUCCUUCGGGUAUUCGUAUCACUAACCUUUCUAGGAUUGGAGCAAGAAGAUCCGAGGAAUGACAAGCACAAGGUAUGUCCAACCAAUCAUCAUGCAACAUUGAAUUAAAUUCAUCCAAUCUUGAAUUUUGCAUAAUUCAAGCUUGGGGGAGUACUUUACAUAAAAACACCUUUUUCCAUGUUGCUAUGUUGGUUGUCCUUACCUUUGAGACAUGCUCAAUUUGUUAAAUACUAAUCACACUACUUCAUCUCCACUUAAGUAGAUCUCUAUAAAAGCCAUCAUGUUACCUAUGUUUAUCCUAGUAAGUGUUAGUUUGGAAGUACUGUACAUACUUCUAUUGGCUUUUAAAUUAAGCGUGGUGCUUAGGUUAAAUAGCCUUCCUUAAUCUGAUUAGACAUGGAGUCUAGUUUGGUUACUGAACUAAAAACUGCUUGAGUAGGCAUUGGUAUAUUUUGUCAGACUAACCCCUACAGGAAAACUUUAAAUAUCAACCUGGGAAGUCCUGAGAUACAAACUAAUUGGAGAUAAAGGAGACACACGAAGUUUAACAAUUUGCACAAGAAAGACAUAGCUCAUUCAUGAUCUAUGGAGGGUGCCACAAACACGAUGUACAACCGCUAAGAAAGGAAAGCUUCCACAAGGUGAUACUAUACCAUCACUCUUCAAGUAAGGUAACAUCUUAAGGUACUUGACUAUCGCUUUUAUAAGCUUCUCCUUGGUUCUAGCAUUCACAUAAAUAAAGAGACAAACAUGUACGAUUUAUAACUCCAGAUUAACCAACUCAAUUAAUUCAACAUGUUUAGUCCUUUAAUCUUUGUUCUUAGUACUACGUUCGUGAUCCCACACUCCUAAUCACAUAAGCUAAAAUGUUGCACAUUCAAUCUUUGGAAGAUAUAAACAAAACAUAAAUAUAGAUAGAUUAUCUUUCCAUUAGGUUGAGCCACCUGAUCUGACAAAUGCUACACUCAUGAUCCAUCAACUUUGUCUUGCUCAUUAUGCUUAAGGUUAGAGAAGAACAAAUACACUUUUGGUUCUGUUGGUGUUUUCCACCAAUAGGGCCCAUGCACUUGAUCUCUGCCUUGUCUCUAUGAAUAGGUACACUUCAAACAAAACAUGGAGGAGUUUUACAACUCUCAGACUCCACCAAGUGAAGGACUUGGAUCUAUGAGCACAAACACACUGAGCAGGAUAUUGCCAACACCGCACUUCAAACUGCUGGGCAAACAAAGAACAUAGGUGACUCCGUAUCAAGAGGUGCAGACGUCAAGGUCCACACCCAAUCAAAUGAUGCACCUAAAGGAUGAAGACAGUGAGAAGUCUUGUCUAGAAGACUUAAAACAUUGGAUCCUUGUCGGAGGAGGUCAAGAUCGUCGACUCAAGUCGCCUUUACUGAUCAAGAAGGACGACCCUAGUGUUCCAAACAUCGAGUGCACAAUCAAUGGAUACUCUUUUCAGAAGACACUCUACGACACCGGAUCUAACGACAACAUAAUGGCCGCAGUCACUUAUCAGCUCCUGCAUGGAACCAUGCCCCUACAACCAAUAUAUAUUCAGCUCCAGAUGAUUUUUAGGUCAUUGACAUGGGAGAAGACGAGUGCGAUCCACCCAUCAUCCUUGGAAGACCGUUCCUCAACACUAUCAAAGUUAUCAUCUAUAUUGGAACCGAAGAAGUCCACAUGCACUUCCCCUCUGAGAAGGUACGCCACUACUUUAAUGAUUCUAACUAUAUAGUUGAAGAUUCUAAGCAGAUCAGGAUGAGAAGAAGGCGACAAAACCGAAACCAGAGGAGGCAAAUCAUCAAGGACGGAUGGGCAGACUACGAAGGAGAAGUAGUAAGGUCUGAAGACAUACAGCUUGAACAAAACUGUCCUGAGGAGACCGUAGCAUCGAGUCAGGUGUGGAGAGAGAAGAUAGUUAUACACGAAGAGGAGGCACCGCCGGAACCACCGACUACGCCAUCCAGCGAAUCCCAGGACGACUGAGAAAACGGAGAGUCCCGUUCGGAGGACUUAAAAACACCGAACACCUUGCCAAGAGGUAAACUUGAUAGUUAUCCUUUUCCUUUCAAUUAUUCAAUUAUAGUUUGCUUAGUUAAUCAGGUUCAUGCUAUCUUGAAAAGAAAUAAAAAUGUUAAAAAUAAGCCCCAUGUGAGUAGACUUAUGGUUUAAAAACCCAUAGGUAUAUUGACCGUGGUGGCAUAAAAUAAAUAUGUUUUCAUCUUACAAUAAAACUAUAAAUAAUAAGUGCAUGAUCCUGCUAAAUAAAAUUUAUUAGGAGUAAGCUCAAUAUGAUAAAGGCAAAGAGAUUUUAUGCUAACACUUAACCAGUUCCACAAAGCUUUGUUGUCUAUUUGAGCUCCACAGAAUUCAAGGAUCAAAGAAGACUAGCAGACGAAGGACAUCCUAAUCACUGUCAGGGUACUACCGACAUUCAAAUAUACCUCCGUCACCUGCUAGCUACAUCAGAAGAAAUUACGUCAAAAUCCAGCUUGGGGGAGAGCACCCCCAUUUAUCCAACUAAGUGUUUCUACUCGCGUUUAUACUUUACUCACAUAAUAAAAGAUGCAUAAUCAUAAAAACCUAAAUAAAUAUUUUGUGCUUAUAUAUAUCUUUGCUUAGUUUGCUAAAUAAAUAAAUAAAGUUUGCUAUGAACCCUCAUGAUAAACUCUCACAUGGAAAUGAUGAAUAGUUGCUCUGCCAUGACUGGUUCUUAAAAUUGAAAUCUCUCUCAAGUUUAGGCGUAACUGUUAUAAUUUAAACCUGCUCUAAACCUGAACUUGUGGGAAGAGUAGUUGACCUAAAGUCUAAGUUGUUAACGGAUAUGAUAUGGGAAGGUUGAGCUGCUGUUUAUCUGUUCCUAGAGAUGCUAGAAUUCUGGGGAAUUUUAUCUUUGAAAAAUCUUUAAAAUAUCACAUGAUGAGUUCCUUUAUGAUGAGAGUUUAAAAUCCUACCACACUCAUAUAUACAUGCUUAUUAGACUUUGAGCCAAACAUUUACUUUUACUGCUUAUGAGCAUUGAGUGUGGACAAGCUGUGUAGACCCUUAGGAGCUUGUCAUGUGGUUAAAAUCAAGAUUCACUUGCAUGUUCACUCGUAUAUGCUGCUUCUACUCCGGAAGUACGCAUCCACAUACAUCCACUCAUUUCCAUCUCCAGAUUCACCCAAAAUUAUUCUACUCCUAAUCCGGGAGAGAAUAGCCAAAAACAUUUUCCUAUCCCUGUUAUUCCCUUUGAAAUAAAUGCUCCAGUUAUUUUGGUUACUACCACUUGCUACAAUAUUUCAGGAGAUGAGUGCUCAAAAAAAAGAGAGAGAGAAAGGUUACGAGGAAAUAAAAAGGGGCAAGUGCCCGGAACCUCGAAAGAAAAGAAAAAGUGAGACGAGAGGUAAAAAUGGACAAGUGUCCGACACUAGAAUUAGGGGUACAAGAUGCCCACCUAAGAGAAAAAGAAAAAGAAAAUAUAGAGCAUCUCAUUCUCUCCAAAAAGCUUCAAAGUGCAAGAAAGGUAUCUAUCCCCUUAAAAGAGCAAAAAUAGAAUUAGACUUUCACCAUUGUUAUCAUCAUCAUCACCAUACACCAUUCAUUCGCCACACAUGCACAUCUUGAUUUGACUUAUUGACUUGUUUCUCUGGAUCCAUGGUUUGACUAUGCAAUAAAUGUCUUGUAAGUAUGUAUUAGCUGUCUCCCACCUAUGAGCUCCAGAUAUCAAAACCUUAUUAGAGUAGGGUGAGAGAGAAGGUAAUAUCACUAUGCAUUAUACCAAAAAUACCACAUACUUUGAGAGAAGGCAUAUACCAUUACUGCCUUGGUAAGGAUCCAGAAAUACCACAAAAGAGAGAUUUGAGAGAAUCAUAUAAGGAAUCUCUGAGUUUUAUUUGAAAAUCUGCAAAAACUCCAGAGCUAUAGUUGAUCAAGAAUAAGAGACAUGGCGCUUGACUUGACCGUUCUAUCUUUUAACUGCUCAAGACGCAAGUGACGGUUACAAGCCCCAUAGUGAAAGGUAAAAUGAGUAAGUUUUAAGUCUUAACAGUUCACUCUAACUUAGAGAUGAGAUCUUACUUUUAAAGCAUGAAACCACUGCAGAAACUCUUGAGUUCAUCCUUGCUCAGGGACGAGCAAGAGGUAAGCUUGGGGGAGUUGUUGACGGUCCUUAAGUACCAAAUAUAAUCAUCAAAUAAAUAAAGAAAAGGAUCCAAAUGCAACCAACACCCAGACUUAGGGUUUUAUCGGACAGAAUUCCACGAGUUUUGGUGUUUGUCUAUUUCUGCAGGGGGUUAUCAGGAAAUACGGAAGAAAGGCCCACACAUCGGGUUUACAUAGAGAUAUUAACGUGCCGCACAAUUUUCUACCAUCUAGAAGUCUCCAGAAGCCACGGGAAGGAAGCGGAGGCCGAACGGGGCCAGAGGCAGGGCGCCCGCCCUCCUUCCUUGGGCGCCCGCCCUGACUUGGAGUCCAAACAGGACUCUCUUCGAGGAUUACUCUCCACCGACCUAAAGGAUCAAGGAUAAUGUAGUACCACAUCGCCUACCGACCCAAAAACGCAUAGAGGAGGAGGACUAUAUAAGGAGACCCCCCUGGCCCCUAGAGAAGACAAGAAGAUAUCAUAGAGAUUGAGGGGUGCCCUCGAAGGAAAACCUCUUCUCUAAAUAAUAUUUCUUUUUAGGCUUAGCAACCAAUGUAAGUAGAAAUAGAUCUUCUAGUUUCUACUAGAUUGAGAGAGAUAGAGUGGAGGUGUAGAUCGGAGGAAGGCCGGCCUGUCGGUGUCUACUCCGAGGUUGUACCUGCGGGAUCAAGUCUUCUAACCCGAGGCUUGCUCCUAAGAUUCUUCAGUAAUUCAACUUCUAAUUCUAGUAAGUUCUUGUUUUAUUGUUCUUUGGUUUAUGAGUUUACUUUAAUCCUCUUCCGGUUGAGUAUUAGAGUAAUCAUUGCUAGCGUAAACGUGGUGUUUAGGCUAGGGUACUCAUAGAUAUCCCCUGACUAGCUGGACCGUGGUAGUAGCGAGGAACGUGACAUUUACGAGUUACCUUUGCAUCCCAUAUCUUGUUAGCAGGGCAGGUAGGUUUAUAGGUGCGGGUCGAACAUCCUCUGUGGUGUCUAGAUUCCGUAAGCUUCCCCAAUAGAACAGUAGAUCAUCGUUACCAAGGUUAGAACGAGACUACGGUUGCAGUCUUCUCUAUACAUCAGUCACAUCGAGAAACAUUCUUUGUAGCCUAAAGGGAUAGUAGCAAUAGAUUUGGUUAGUCAGAUGCACCCUUUCUCCCAGUGGUAAAAAUAUAAAUACGAUAACUCUGGAUAACCUCCCGGGUGAAAUGCUCACUGAUAUCUGUGCGCUUGCGGAUCAUUUUCUGAUUGCGUUACCAAAUAUCAACAUCCGGCUCCUCCUCCGCUCUCCUCUUCUCUCUCCCUAUUUUCUAGAUUACAACUAGAACUAACUAGAACUAGAACUAGAUGAACUAGAACUAGAACUAGAACUAGAUGAACUAGAGGGAUCCUCUCUACUUGGAUGAAGAAUUAAAACCCCAACUUUGAUUCUGUAGAAGAGGUAUGAUCUCCAGGGGCCAGGGGGGCUUGCUUAUAUAGUCUUUUCAGAUGAAUCUGGGCCGUCGGAUCAAACCGACAUUAAUCGCACGGUUUUCCUUGAUCCCUUAGGUCGGUGGAGCGUGAUACGCGAAACGGGUCCGAAUUGGACACUGUAGCUGGGCGGGCGCCCUGUCCCUGAGCAUUUUUGGCUUCCCGUUCGUUCCCGUGGCUUCUAGAGUCUUCUAGAUGAUAGAAAAUUGCGCGGCACGUUAAUAUCUCUAUGUAAACCCGACGUGUGGGCCUUUCCUCCGUAUUUCUUGAUAACCCCCUACAGAAAUAGACAAACACCAAAACUCGUGGAAUUCUGUCAGAUAAAACCUAAGUCUGGGUGUUGGUUGCAUUUGGAUCCUUUUCCAUGAUUAGUUGACGGUUAAAUGCGAGCAUUAAGGACCGUCAACAAGCUCCCCCAAGCUUAACCUUUACUCGUCCCUGAGCAAAGAUGGACUCAAGAGUUUCUGCAGUGGUUUCAUGCCUUAAAGAUACACAUGCGUUCAAACAAUAUCUCAUCUCUGGGUUAGGGUAAACUGUUAAGAUUUAAACUUACUCAUUUUACCUUCCACCAUGGGGCUUGUAACCGUCACUUGUGUCUUGAGCAGUUAAAAGAUAGAACGGUCUAGUCAAGCGCCAUGUCUCUUGUUCUUUGAUUAACUAUAGCUCUAGAGUUUUUGCAGAUUUUCAAAUAAAACUCAAAGAUUCCUUGUAUGACUCUCUCUAGUCUCUCUUUUGUGGUAUUUCUAGAUCCUUACCAAGGCAGUAAUGGUGUAUGCCUUCUCUCAAAGUAUGUGGUAUUUUUGGUAUGAGGCAUAGUGGCAUUGCCUUCUCUCUCACCCUACUCUAAUAAGGUUUUGAUAUCUAGAGCUCAUAGGUGGGAGACAGCUAAUACAUACUUACAAGACAUUUAUUGCAUAGUCAAACCACGGAUCCAAAAGAACAAGUCAAUAAGUCAAAUCAAGAUGUGCAUGUGUGGUGAAUGAAUGGUGUAUGGUGAUGAUGGUGAUAACAAUGGUGAAAGUCUAAUUCUACUUAUGCUCUUUUGAGGGGAUACAUACCUUUCUUGCUCUUUUGAAACUUUUUGAGGAGAAUGAGAUGCUCUAUAUUUUCUUUUUCCUUUCACUUAUGUGGGUAUCUUGUAACCCUAAUUCUACUAUCGGACACUUGUCCAUUUUUACCUCUCGUCUCACUCUUUCUUUUCUUUCGAGGUUUCGGGACUUGCCCCUUUUUAUUUCCUCGUAUUUUUCCUUUUUCUUUUUUUCUCUUCUCUUUUUUACAGCACACAUCUCCUGAAAUAAUAUAGCAAGUGGUAGUAACCAAGAUAACUCGAGCAUUUAUUUCAUAGGGAAAAAUAGGAAUAUUUUUAGCUAUUCUCUCCUGGAUUAGGAGUAGAAUAUUUUUAGGUGAUUCUGGAGAUGGAAAUGGGUGGAUAUAUGUGGAUGCGUACUUCCGGAGUAGAAGCAGCAUGUGUGAGUGAACGUGCAAGUGAAUCUUGAUUUAACCACAUGACAAGCUCCUAAGGGUCUACACAGCUUGACCACACUCAAUGCUCAUAAGUAGUAAAAAGUAAAUGUAUGGUUCAUAGUCUAGUAAGCAUGUAUAUAUGGCUGUGGUAGGAUUUUGAACUCUCAUCAUACAGGAACUCAUCAUGCAACAUUUUAAAGAUUUUCAAAGAUAAAAUUCUCCAGAAUUCUAGCAUCUCUAGGAACAGAUAAACAGUAGCUCAACCUUCCCAUAUCAUAUCUGUUAACGACUUAGACUUUAGAUCAAGUACUCUUGUCACAAGUUCAGGUUUAGAGCAAAUCUUAAUUAAUAACAGUCAUGCCUGAACUUGAGAGAGAUUUCAAUUUUGAGAAUUAGUCAUGGCAGAGCAACUAUUCAUCAUUUCCAUGUGAGAGCUUAUCAUGAGGGUUCAUAGCAAACUUUAUUUAUUUAUUUAUUUAUUUAGCAAACUAAGCAAAGAUAUAUAAGCACAAAAUCUUUAUUUGGGUUUUUAUGAUUUUGCAUCUUUUUAUUAUUUGAGUAAAAUAUAAACGUGAGUAGAACACUUAGCUAGAUAAAUGGGGGUGCUCUCCCCCAAGCUGGAUUUUGACGUAAUUUCUUCUGAUGUAACUAGCAGGUGGCGGAGGUGUAUUUGAAUGUCGACAGCACCCUGACAGCGAUUAGGAUGUCCUCCAUCUGCUAGUCUUCUUUGAUCCUUGAAUUCUGUGGAGCUCAAAUAGACAGCAAAGCUUUGUGGAACUAGUUAAGUGUUAGCAUAAAAUCUCUUAGCCGUUAUCAUGUUAAGCUUCCUCUAAUAAUUAUUACUCUCUUUGGUAGGAUCAUAAAUUUAUUUUUAUAUUUUCAUUUUUAUAGGUAAAGAAUAUAUUUAUAUUCUUUUUACGCCACCACAAUGAAUGUACUUAUGGGUUUUAUGCCAUGAGCAUACUUACAUGGGGCUUACUAUUUUUAACAUUUUUAUUUUCUUUUCAAGAUGAUAUGAACCUGAUUAAUUAAGCAAACUAUUUUAAAAUAAUUGAAAUGAAAAGGAUAACAACCAAGUUUACCUCUUGGCCAGGCGUUCGGUGUUUUUAUGUCCUCCGAACGGGACUCUCCGUUUUCUCAGUCGUCCUGGGAUUCGCUGGAUGGUGUAGUCGGUGGUUCCGGCGGCGCCUCCUCUUCGUGUAUAACUAUCUUCUCUCUCCAUACCUGACUCGGUGCUACGGUCUCCUCAGGACAGUUAUGUUCAAGUUGUAUGUCUUUAGACCUUACCACUUCUCCUUCGUAGUCUGUCCAUCCGUCCUUGAUGAUUUGCCUCCUCUGGUUUAGGUUGCGUCGCCUUCUUUAGAGGGGAAGUGCAUGUGGACUUCUCCGGUUCCAAUAUAGAUGAUGGCUUUGAUAGUGUUGAGGAAUGGUCUUCCAAGGAUGGUGGGUGGAUCGUAGUCAUCUUCUCCUAUGUCAGUAACCUGAAAAUCUUUCGGAAUGUCUGAUCUGCCAUCUGGAGCUGAACGUAUGUCGGUUUUAGGGGCAUGGUUCCCAACAGGAGCUGAUAGGUGACUGCGGCCAUGACGCUCGUCCCGGUGUCGCAAAGCGUCUUCUGGAAGUUGUAUCCAUUAAUGGAGCACUGGAUGCUUGGCAUGCCUGGGUCAUCCGUUUUGAUCAGGAACGGUGACUUAAGUCAACGGUCUUGACCUCCUUGAACUGCAGUGACCAUCUUAGCUGACUUGGUCCACAUUUGCUUGUUCCUGUUCCUCCUGUUGGUCCUUUACUUGGUUCAUGUCGGGAUUGCUCUGAGAUUUGUGUAGUCCUGUUCUUGAAGGAAAAUGUCUCCUUCCUUCCCUUGAUGUAAAAACUGAUCUUGGCAGUACUAGCGUAGAUGACACCUCCUGAGGUGUUCAGGAAUGGCCUCCCUAGGAUGAUGGGUGCCCUAUCAUCAGUACCAGUCUCGAUCACCACGAAGUCUGCUGAGGCGUACAAGGUACCAAAUCGGACGCUGAGGUUCUUCAAUAUUCCCUUUGGGAAACUUAGUGUCCGAUCUGCAAGCUUCAAACACAUGGUUGUUUCUAGUAAAGGAUGUGUAAAGAAUUUUUCAUAGAGUACCCUGGGCAUAAUGAUGACACUGGAGCCAAAGUCGCAGAGUGCUUCUAGGAUGUCCACCAUGCCGAUGGAGAUCGGGAUGACGGGGCGUCCUGGAUCGCCUCUCUUGACCGACAGAAGGUCAGUAAUUACUUCCACAACAGGGUUACUCUAGUAGUUACCUGCAUCAAACAUGUCUACAAGAUUUGCAUAUUCUAAUCCUUCUGGUUGUGAUGGUAUACCGGGGUUAGUAGCAGGAACAGCAACAACUAUCUGAUUUAACUAAGAUUCAAUCAUUUCAUUUAAGCUAAUUUGAUUCUUGAUGGCAGUAGAGAAAUUAUCCAUUCUAUUAUUUAUAUUUUCUAACAUUUUAUCAUUAGAUGCCAAUUUCUUAGAUAGGUUAUCCAUUAGCUUUCCUUGAUUAGACACUAACUUUCUCAGAGGUAGAAAAUUAUUAUUAUUACUGUAAGAAUUAUUACCUUGAUAAUUACCUGAGUAGUUAGGCCUGUGUUGAUUCCAACUUUGAUUUUGUUGAGGACGGUUGUAGUAGUAGUAGUUGUUGUUGUUGAUGUAGUUUACGUCCUCAAGCAUCUCAGGGCAGUGAUUGCGUGAGUGUCCAGUGUCUCCUGUGUGUUUGUGCUCGUAGAUCAGGUUUUUCACUUGGUGGAGUUUGGGAGUUGUAAAACUCCUUCAUAUUUUUCUCGAAGUGUACCUACUCAUAGAGACAAGGCAGAGAUCAAGUGCAUGGGCCCUGUUGGUGGAAAACACCAACAGAACCAAAAGUGUAUUUGUUCUCUCUAACCUUAAGCAUACUGAGCAAGACAAAGUUGAUGGAUAAUAAAAUCAUGAGUGUAGCAUUUAAAACAUUUGUCAGAUCAGAUCACUCAACCUAAUAGAAAGAUAAUCUAUCUAUACUUAUGUUUUUUUAUAUAUAUAUCUUUCAAAGAUUGAGUGUGCAACAUUUUAGUUCAUAUGAUUAGGAGUGUGGGAUCACAAAGGUGGAAGGACUAAACAUAUUGAAUCGACUGGGUUGGUUAAUCUAGAGUUGUAAAUCAUACAUGUUUGUCUCUUUUAUUCAUGUGAACGCGAGAACCAAGGAGAAACUUAUAAAAGUGAUAGUCAAGUACCUUAAGAUGUUACCUUACUUGAAGAUUUAUGGUACAGUAUCACCUUGUGGAAGCUUUCCUUUCUUAGCGGUUGUGCAUCGUGUUUGUGGCACCCUCCAUGGAUCAUCUCUUGUGGGCUAUGCCUUCCUUGUGUAAAUUGUUAAACUUCAUGUGUCUCUCUCUUUGUCUCCAAUGUGAUUUUAUCUUAGGACUUCCCAGGUCGAUAUUGAAAGUUUUCCUACAGGGGUUAGUCCAACAAAAUAUCCAAUAUCUACUAUAGCAUACUAUCGGCUCAAAGAUCAACCUAGACACUAUUCACGGUCCUUAAGUAUCAAAUUUAAUUAUCAAAUAAAUAAAAAAAAGGAUCCAAAUGAAAUCAACAUCUAGACUUAGGGUUUUAUCUGAUAGAAUUCCACGAGUUUUGGUGUUUGUCUAUUUCUACAGGGGGUUAUCAGGAAAUACGGAAGAAAGGCCCACACGUGGGAUUACAUACAGAUAUUAACGUGCCGUGCAAUUAUCUUACAUCUAGAAGAUUCCAGAAGCCACAGGAAGGAAACGGAGGCCGAACGAGGCUAGGCACUGGGCGCCCGCCUAGUUGACCUGGGCGCCCGCGCCCUCACAGAGUUGGAUCAGGACUCUCUUUCUGGAAAGAUCUCCACCGACCUAAAGGAUCAAGGAUAACCAUUCAAUCAAUGUCGGUUUGAUCCAACGACCCAUAUUCACUUGGAGGGACUAUAAAACCAGACCCCCUGGCCCCUGGAGGAGAGAGCCUCUCAACCCUAAUUCAUUAUUCUCAAGGGAAAAGAAGCCUCUGAUCAAGCCUAGAGCCACCACAUCAAUUAGACAUCUAGAUUAGCAUAGCUACAUAGGAUUAGAACUAGAAGGAGUCAAUCUUCGAUUGGUUUCCGGAUCUUUCAAGAGGAUUCUUGGUAAUUCUCUAAUUGUUCUUCUAAUCAUCUUUGUUCUUCAAUAUUAUGAAUAUGAGUUUAUUCUACUUCAAUAUAUUGCUUAUGACUUUGCUCUACUUGUUUAUAUUCAAGAUUAUAUUGUUCUUAGUUUAUCAUAGUUACGUACUUGGCUUAGUUAGAUUUGAUCUAUAUACAUGUUUAGGAUCGUAUAGAGAUUAUCCAUCAGAUCCAUGGGUAAAUGAUAGAUAUUGUGUAGGUGGUGCUUAUACUAUAUUUAUUUGCGAUUGUACCCAAUAUGCCAGAUCGUGAGGUAGUUCGUGAUAGUGACAACUUCAUUGAUUCUUAUAUAGUCCCCCUCUCGUGUAUUGGGCUGGCAGAGCAACAUUAUUACAGGGAAGUGAUUGCUAUGUUUCUCAUAUUCCUUGCUAAUAUCACUAUGCAUGGGCGUAUUCUUGUCUCACAAUGAUUGCUAAGUAUGCUUGCACUAACUAUGAUAAUGCUAGACUGUAUAGUUGAGAAUAACUUAGAAAAUAUUCUAGUAGUUCGUUCUAAUACCAGGCUAAUGACUUUCUAGAGUAUCUAAUUGAGGUGCUUAUCAUAUUUAUUAUGUGGCUAAGUUAUGCUGAUCAGAUUAAUUAUCUUUGUCACUAUUGAUUACUUCAUAUAUCUUUUAUGUGACAGUUACCCCUGUAUGAAAGAGUUAGAUAAAUAAUCUCAAUUAUACAUGCAAUGAUAGAUGCUCAAUCUCAUAUUCUAUUCUAUAAUCAACAUUGAUGGUUACUAAUCCCUUCCCAGUGGUAAAAAUAUAAAUAACGAUACCUGGAAUACUUCCCGGUUAAAAUGCUACAUCGGUAUUAAUCUGUGCGCUUGCAGAUCCCAUUCAUUAUUUAUUUAGAAGAGCAAUUGCAUAUUUCAAUACUGCGUCUCUCAUGUCAUGCUGGGGAUGACAACUUGGCUUAAGUGGUAUGAGGGAUAGGUUUGGCAUUUUUGGCACCGUUACUAGAAUUAGAAAACUUUCUACUUUUGGUAAUGAAGUUAAGAAUACCCAACAAGCAUUUUUGGCGCCGUUGCCGGGGAAGGUUGAUUACUAAUCAGGAAUGAAUAUAGGAUUUUGAGUUAUCAUUCGCAUCACUAAUAUGAUUGAGCUUAUCUAUUCUCUCAUACAGUUUUACCCCGAUAUUUUUCUGUUUUAUCUUAUGCAGGGGAAUGUAUGAAUAGAAGACAUCUUCCAGGAAAUUUUGUUGACAAUCCCGAAGCAUUAUUUAGAAAAACAAGAGCCAAGCUCAAGAAGAGAUCAUCAACACUUCAGCAAGAAGCUUCAUCCAAUCAAGAAGAUCACCGGAACUUGUCUUCAGAGUUCGAAGCCACGGCGAACAAAUCAAUCCGCGAGUUCUCAGCUCUCACUACGGACAACAUCCGCACUGGACCUGCUGCAGAGAUCGAUGGCAACUUUGAGCUCAAUCCUGGACAUAUCAACAUGGUGCAAUCCAACCAGUUCUGUGGGAAGGCACAUGAAGAUGCUAGUGCUCAUCUCCAACACUUCCUGGAGAUUUGCAGCACAUUGACCAUAUCAGGAGUCCCCAAAGAUGCUAUAUUACUUCACCCCUUUCCAUUCUCACUGUUAGGAAGAGCGAAGCAGUGGUUCUACGCUACAAAGGAGAAGAAUACUACGUGGGCACUCUGCUCCAUGAACUUUCUAGCUAAGUUCUUUCCCAUGGGCAAGACCAAUGCUCUCCGUGGGAAGAUUACAAGUUUUCAACAACAACAUGAUGAAUCUGUUCCAGAAGCAUGGGAGGGUUUCCAAGACUACAUCCUAGAAUGUCCCCAUCAUGGAAUAGAGAGCUGGCUACUGAUGUAGACGUUUUAUCAUGGGCUCGGCAAUAGUGCCCGAGAAACCAUGGAUGCUGCAGUCGAAGGAGCAUCCCUAUCACUCAGCAUAUCACAAGCCACAGCUCUUGUGGAGAAGAUGGCGUCCAACCAAAGCUGGAAUGAAGAGAGGACCCAGACACGCAAGAGAGGUGGAGGUAUGCAUCAGCUCAAGGGGGUAGACAUGUUGUCUACAAAGCUAGACCUACUCAUGAAGAAGCUCGAUGAUAGAGCUAGAGACAAGAAAGAAGUUAUGCACAUCAACGACUCUCACAUGACUUGUGAGGAGUGUGGAGACACUGUACACUCAGGCAAUCACUGCCCUGAGAUGCUUGAGGAUGUGAACUAUAUCAACAACAACUACUACUACUACAACCGUCGUCAACAAAAUCAAGGUUGGAAUCAAUAGAGGCCUAACUACUCAGGUAAUUAUCAAGGUAACAAUUCUUAAAACAAUAAUAAUAAUUUUCCACCUCUGAGAGAGUUAGUGUCUAAUCAAGGAAAGCUAAUGGAUAACCUAUCUAAGAAAUUGACAUCUAAUGAUAAAAUGCUAGAAAAUAUAAAUAAUAGAAUGGAUAAUUUCUCUACUGCCAUCAAGAAUCAAAUUAGCUUUAAUAAAAUGAUUGAAUCUCAGUUAAAUCAAAUAGCUGCUGCUGUUCCUGCUACUAACCCCGGUAUACCAUCACAACCGGAAGGAUUAGAAUCUACAAAUCUUGUAGACAUGUUUGAUGCAGGUAAUUAGUGGAGUAACCCCGUCACUGAAGUUACUACUGACGUUCUGCCGGUCAAGAGAGGCGAUCCGGGACGCCCCGUCAUCCUAAUCUCCAUCGGCAUGGUGGACUUCCCAGAAGCACUCUGCGACUUUGGCUCUAGUGUCAACAUUAUACCUAGGGUACUCUAUGAAAAAUUAUUUACAUAUCCUUUAUUAGAAACAACCAUGUGUUUGUAGUUUGCAGAUCAGGCAUUAAGUUUCCCAAAAGGAAUGUUGAAGAACCUUUGUGUCCAAGUUGGUACCUUGUAUGCCCCAGCAGACUUCGUGGUGAUAGAGACCGGUAAUGAUGAGAGGGCACCUAUCAUCUUAGGGAGGCCAUUCUUAAACACCUCGGGAGCUAUCAUCUACGCUAGUGCUGCCAAGAUCAGUUUCUACAUCAAAGGGAAGAAGGAGACGUUUUCCUUCAAGAACAAGACUACACAAAUCCCAGAUCAAUCCAGAUGUGAACCAAGGAAGAGGACCAACAGGAGGAACAUGAACAAGCAAGUGUGGACCGAGUCAGCUAAGAUGGUCACUAUAGUUCAUGGAGGCCAAGAUCAUCAACUUAAGUCACCAUUUUUGACCAAGAAGGAUGACCCAGGAAUGCUAAGCAUCUAUUGCUCCAUAAAUGGAUACAACUUCUACAAGACGACUUACGACACAGGAUCGGGCCUCAACAUAAUGGCCGCAGUCACCUAUCGGCUCUUGUUCGGAACCAUGCCCCUAAAACCAAUAUACAUUCAGCUCCAGAUGGCGGAUCAGACAUUUCGAUAAGUCAAAGGAAAAGUGACUGAUGUCCCAGUCAAAAUAGACGAUCAUUUUGUCUACACAGACUUUCAGGUUAUUGACAUGGGAGAAGACGAAUACGAUCCACCCAUCAUCCUUGGAAGACCGUUCCUCAGCACCGUUAAAGCAAUCAUCUACAUUGGAACUGGAGAAGUCCAUAUGCACUUCCCCUCAGAGAAGGUACGCCGCUAUUUUACUGACUCUAACUAUAUCGUUGAAGACUCUAAGCAGGUCAGAAAACGACGCAACCACAACCAGAGGAGGCAAAUCAUCAAGGAUGGAUGGGCAGACUAUGAAGGAGAAGUGGUAAGGUCUAAAGACAUACAGUUUAAACAGAAUUAUCCAGAGGAGACCGUAGCACCAAGUCAGGAAUGGAAAGAGAAGAUAACUAUACAUGAAGAGGAGGCGCCGCCGGAAGUACCGACUCCGCCACCCAACGAAUCCCACGACAACUAGAAAACGGAGAGUCCCGUUCGGAAGACUUAAAAACAUCGAACGCCUUGCCAAGAGGUAAACUUGGUAGUUAUCCUUUCCCUUUCAAUCAUUUAAACAGUUUGCUUAGUUAAUCGUGUUUAUACCAUCUUAAAAAAGAAAAUAAAAAUGUUAAAAAACAAUAAGCCCCAUGUGAGUAUACGAGUGGCAUAAAACCAAUAAGUACAUUCACUGUGGUGGCAUAAAAAUAAAAUAAAUAUUUCUUUUUCUGCUUUAUAAAAUGAAAAUAAAAAAAUAGGGAGUAAUAUUUAUUAAGGAGUCUCAACAUGAUGAAGGCUAGAUAUUUAUGCUAACACUUAAUCAGUUCCACAAAGCUUUGUUGUCUAUUUGAGCUCCACAGAAUUAAAGAAUCAAGAAGACUAGCAGACAGAGGACAUUCUAAUCGCUGUCAGGAUACUGCCGACUUUCAAAUACACCUCUGCCACCUGCUAGCUAUAUCAAGGGAAAUUACGUCAAAAUUCAGGUUGGGGGAGAGCACCCCCAUUUAUCCAGCUAAGUAUUUCUAUCUAUCUUUAUACUUUUACUAUAUUAAAUAUACAUAACUAUGGAAAACCAAAUAAAGAUUUUAUGCUUAUAUAUAUAUACAUAUAUCUUUUGCUUAGUUUAAUAAAUAAAUAAAGUAGCUAUGCUAAUCUGAAUCUUAAUAAUAAAACUCUAGCAUGGAUAUGAUGAAUAGUUGCUCUGCCUAGUGUAGAUGGCAAUUAUUGUGUCAUCCUAAACGAUCACUUGGUGUGCCUUGUGUAGAUGGCUCGCAAUACUCGGUCCGGCCAUAAUGAGGUGCCGCCACCUCCACCUCCUCCCUCGCCAACGCCUGCUGAGCUCAUAGCAACUCUUGUUGAGGGCCAGCGGAUGCUAAAUGAAGUUAUGCAAACCAUGGCAUAUAUAGCAGAACCGGGGUGGUCGCCAUGCCCGCCAAGGCGGAGAAGCGAAUCAGUACAGUAAUUUCAAGGAUUUCCAGGACACCAAGCCGCCAGUUUUCAAGGAGGCUUCUGAACCUCUGGAAGCCGAUGAAUGGCUCAACACUCUCGAGUAGAAAUUCCGUUUGUUGAGGGUGACUGAGAAACUGAAGACGGAAUUUGCAACACAUCAAUUGGAGGGCCAAGCAAGUGUCUGGUGGAGCCAUUAUAGGACCAGCUUGCCUACCAAUGCUGUUGUAACCUGGGACCAGUUCAAAACUGCUUUCAGGGACAUUUAUAUUCCACAGGGCUAAAUGACCAUCAAGCAUACCGAGUUCAUGGACCUGACUCAGGGCACUAAAAGUUUGACUGAGUAUCUUCAUGCUUUCAGUAACUUGUCUCGCUAUGCUACUGAGUUUGUUGACACCGAUGCUAAGAAGCUUGCUAGUUUCAAGAGAGGACUUCGGCCCAAGCUGUCCAAGAAUAUGGCUGGUAACAAGAGUACCAUGUUUAAUGAGUUUGUAAGUGAUGCUUUGACCCAGGAGAACUCCAAUGCUAUUUAUGCUGCAUCCAAGAACCACAAGAGGGCCUAUGAAACAGGUGCUUCGCAGUCCAAGGCCCUGGUGACAAGUAAGCCGACCUAUCGCCCACCCAAUGCUGUGACAAGGUACAGGUCGCCACAGAAGAAGUCAAAUGUGAAGACAGGAGUUCGCAAGUCCUUCACGGUUGCUCUUCCUCGAGGUGCUACCGGUCAAGGGAGCCCCAAAACUCCCCCUGAUAACCGUCCCCGCUUCAAUUGCAAACAAGUCGGUCACUGGGCAAGGGAUUGCCCUUAUCCUAAGAGGACUUCUGCAGCUGGGGUUAAUACUUGUACCGGCCGUGUGCACUAUACCACCAUUGAACAAAACCCCGGAGGUGAAGUGGUUAUGGCUGGUAUGUUUCUUGUCAAUCAACACCCUGCAGUUGUCUUGUUUGAUUCUGGCGCUUCGCAUUCAUUUAUGAGUCAAGCAUUCGCAUCUAAGCAUGGAUAGCAUGUAGUUGAUCUUGACAAAGGCAAAUUUUGCAUUAGUGCUGCUAGUAAUCAAAUCUCUACAAAUCAAAUAGUGAGAGGGAUGUACAUAUUGCCAUUCAAGGGCGUAAUUAUUCAGUAAAUCUGGUGAUUUUGCCAGGCUUGGGAAUAGAUGUUAUUCUAGGAAUGAAGUGGAUGAGUGACCAUGGAGUGCUAAUAGAUACCUCAACAAGGGUAAUCAUGUUGAGGGAGCCUGAAAGUAAAGAAGCUUUCUUAGUUCAACUUCCUAGAAGCGACGACAUCCGUCAUGCUGCAAAUGCUAUCAGACCACUCACUAUUUCAGAGAUUCCUGUAGUUUGUGAGUUCCCAGAUGUCUUUCUAGAGGAUCUGCCCAGGUUGCCUCCGGACAGAGACAUAGAGUUUAAAAUUGAUCUAAUUCCGGGUACCGCACCUAUCUCUAGAAGGCCAUAUCGAAUGCCACCCAACGAAUUGGCAGAAUUGAAGAAGCAGUUGCAAGAACUCCUGGAGAAAGGUCUUAUUUGGCCUAGUUCUUCUCCAUGGGGUUGUCCGGCCCUCUUUGUCAAGAAGAAGGACAAGUCUCUACGUAUGUGUGUAGACUAUCGUCCGCUACAUGCCGUGACUAUCAAGAACAAUUAUCCCCUGCCCCGUAUUGAUAUUCUAUUCGACUAAUUAGCCAAGGCUAAGGUAUUCUCGAAGAUUGAUUUGAGAUCUGGAUAUCAUCAAAUCAAGAUCCGACCUGAAGACAAUCCUAAAACAGCUUUCUCUACUAGGUAUGGGUUAUAUGAGUAUCUAGUCAUGUCCUUUGGUCUGACUAGUGCCCCUGCUCAUUUUAUGUACCUGAUGAAUUUGGUGUUCAUGCCUGAACUGGAUAAGUUUGUGGUGGUGUUCAUCGAUGACAUAUUGGUAUAUUCUGAAAAUGCCCAAGACCAUGAGAAGCACCUUCGGAUUGUACUCACUAGAUUGCGAGAACACCAGCUCUAUGCCAAGUUGAGCAAGUGUGAGUUCUAGCUAAAGAAAGUGCCUUUUCUAGGCCAUAUUUUAUCCGAAGAUGGUAUUUCUGUUGACCCGUCAAAGGUACAAGAGGUUCUAGACUGGAACGCCCCGACUUCAGUGCAUGAGGUUUGGUGUUUUCUCGGUCUAGCGAGAUAUUAUCGUCGCUUUAUUCCAGACUUCUCUAAAAUAGCUAAGCCUGUGACCAAGCUACUGCAAAAAGAUGUGAAGUUUGUGUGGUCUCAAGAGUGUGAGGUCGCUUUCACUACUUUAUGCCAUUUGCUGACCACUACUCCUGUUUUGGCACAGCAUGACAUUGAAAAGCCAUUUGAUGUCUUUUGUGAUGCAUCCGGCACUGGCUUAGGUUGUGUACUUAUGCAAGAAGGCCGAGUCAUUGCCUAUGCCUCUCGGCAGCUAAGGAAGCAUGAAGUUAACUACCCAACUCAUGAUCUAGAGUUAGCGGCCGUGUGCAUGCAUUGAAACUCUAGAGGCAUUAUCUAUUGGGUAAUCUGUGUCACAUUUAUACUAACCACAAGAGCCUCAAAUGUAUCUUCACUCAGCCCGAGCUAAACAGGAGACAACGAAGGUGGUUAGAGUUGAUCAAGGAUUAUAAUCUUGAAGUGCACUAUCAUCCAGGCAAGGCCAAUGUUGUAGCAGAUGCCCUUAGCCGAAAGCAACAUGUUGAACCUCUCCUAGAGGAAGGUUUCAAUCUAUUGCAUCCUGUGGUCCUGCACAACAUCGUAGUCAGUUAUUCUUUAGAAAGUCAAAUUGUAGAACUCCAAAAGACUGACCCGGGUAUCUUCCACAUCAAGAGAAAGAUGCAAGAACAAGACACCAAGCAUUUCAGGGUAGAUGAGAAAGGUGUACUGUGGUUUGAUGAUCGACUUGUAGUACCCAAAGACCGUGACCUACGCAACAAAAUCUUAGAUGACGCUCACUCCUCCAAGCUAUCCAUUCAUCCUGGUAGUAGCAAAAUGUAUCAAGACUUGAAACCUCGUUUUUGGUGGACCAAGAUGAAGAAGGAGAUAGCAGCUUAUGUUGCUAGGUGCGAUACCUGCUGCAGGGUAAAGGCAAUUCUCCUUAAGCCUACAGGAUUGUUGCAACCUUUGUCGAUUCCGGGUUGGAAGUGGGAAGAAAUCAGCAUGGAUUUCAUUGUUGGGCUUCCCCUAAUCAAAAAGGUUACAAUUCCAUAUGGGUGAUUGUUGAUCGCUUGACCAAGUCAGCUCAUUUCAUUCCAGUACAAUCUACAUACCGACCAUCCGACUAUGCUGAGUGUUGACGGUCCUUAAGUACCAAAUAUAAUCAUCAAAUAAAUAACGAAAAGGAUUCAAAUACAACCAACACCCAGACUUAGGGGUUUAUCUGACAGAAUUCUACGAGUUUUGGUGUUUGUCUAUUUCUGCAGGGGGUUAUCCGGAAAUAUGAAGGAAAGGCCCACAUGUCAGGUUUACAUAGUAAUGUGUGCGCCAAUUUUCUAUCAUCUAGAAGACUCCAGAAGCCACAGGAACGAACGGGAAGCCGAGCGGGCCCGGGGGCAGGGCGCCCGCCCUCCCCCUUGGGCGCCUGCCCUAUCAUCUGCACCAAUCAGGCUCUGCCUCGCGGAUUAUGCUCCACCGACCUAAUGGAUCAAGGAAAACCGUGUGAUUAAGGUCGGUUUGAUCCGACGGCCCACAUUCAUUUGGAAGGGCUAUAUAAGCAGGCCCCCUGGCCCCUGCAGGAGGCACCUCUUCGAUCCCAAUUCAUUAUUCACAGACAGAGCAAAAGCUAGGGUUUGGAGAUGAGAGCUCUCCUCUCUUCUCUAAACUAGAGUAAAUCUAGAUAGUAGCGAGAUAGAGAGCAAGGGAGGAUUGGAGGAGAGGCCGGCCUAUCGGUUCUUCCUCCGGUUGUACUUUGCCAUGAUCAAGCUCUAAUCAAGCUUGCUCAUGAGGUGACUCUGGUAAUCUACUUCUAUUUCAUUAUGCAAUUACUAUCCAUGUAUGUUCUGGUUCAUAACUCUUUUUGAGUACUUUAAUCUAUAGGACGCUAUAGGUGAGAAUUGUAGUAUAGGUGUAAGCGUGGUGCUUAGACCUAGAUUACUUGUGGAUAUCCCCUGUCUAGCCGGAUCGUGUGGUAGGCUACGUAUGUGACAGCUAUGUUGGUCCUCUGUAGUCCACCUCCCGUUAGCAGGACUGGUAGGGUUAAUCGGCCUAUGGAUAAGCAUCCUUUGUGGUGUAUUGUUAUCACGUGGUUCGUCCCAAAUAUAGACAUACCCCUUUGAAGUAGAGAAACCAUAGUUAUCCUCUCUAUUCUCCUACCAUCGCACAUAUAUUAGAUUGCUCUACUCUAUAUUCCCCCAUUAUCCUUUUACCUUUAAUAUUGUUCUUAUUCAAUUCUAACACAUUUCCUAUUUACACCCACCUGUCUGUCUUGGUUAUGUUGGAGCGUAGUUGGUUCUCCCGUUUCCCUAUGGAUACGAUAAAACCUUUAACCGGGUAAAAGCUACAACGGUAUCCGUGCGCUUGCAGAUUUAUCUGUGUGCGUAUAAAUACAAUAGUACACUCUAGUGCCAUGCUGAGGAUGACAACCUAGUAUUCAAGUGGUAUUAGCAAGUGUCAACAAGCAUUUUUGGCGUCGUUGCCGGCGAAGCGGUUGCUGAGUUGACUACGAACUAGCUUAAUCAUUUUCUAAAAAACAAAAUAAAAAAUAUAUAUUUUUUCCUUUUAUCCUUUGCCUCAUCUCUGCUAUUCUUUCUUCUUAUCUAAUCCUUGAUCUCUGGUCUAUCAUGAAGGAAAACAUGUCUAUCUAUCGGUUUAAUAGACCUACGGGCACACAUCUCGAACCACCAAUAUCUUCAAAGCCUAUCAUGACAUCUAGUUUUGAGAUAAGCCCGGAAUACAUAGAAUUUCUUCAAAAACAACCUGUCUUAGGAGAAGGUGAGGAAAACCCAUACACACACCUAAGAGAGUUUUAUCGAGUCUGUGACCUCCUUUGCAUUGAAGGCAUGUCCGAUGAGACCCUUAAAUGGAAGCUCUUUCUGUUCUCUUUAACGGGGAAAGCUAGACAUUGGUAUAAACUCAACAUAGGAAGUGCUCAUGGAGAUUGGAAGGAGCUAUACAAUAGUUUUCUCUCUAAAUAUUUUCUGAUCUCCAAAGUGGCGGAUCUUCAGCUUGAGAUUCUUUCUUUUAGACAAUUAGAAGAAGAAUCUCUUGGCGAAUCAUGGGACCGCUUUAUUGACCUUACUCUCACAGGCCCAAAUUUUUCUAUUCCAAGAGAAGUUCUUCUAAUUCACUUUUUUAAGGGCCUUAGUAGGGAAAAUAAACAAACACUUCAUGCGGCCUCUGGAGGAUCUUUCCACCACCUGUCCGCUAGUGAAGCUUGGAAUUUGAUUGAUUUAAUGAGCGGAAAGUCUCCUAGCAUUUAUAUCCCUGAGAAAGAGAAAGAAUCAGUUCCUAGACAAGAAGAAGAAGUUUCGAUAGCCAGAUCACAACCACUUCAAUCCCAAACUUUAGCUAUCGAUCCUAACCCAUCAAUACCCCAAAAUUUUCUAAGGGAUGAAGGAAUUCCAACCUUAAAUCUUUCAGAUGCUGAUGGUUUAGACUUCUGGUUCCAUAAGAGACCUUCAAGCAGGGAUAAUUCAAAUCCUUGCAAUAAUGGUUCUCUUAGAGAAUGUCCUGGUUCCUGUUAUGAAGAAGUCGCGGAUGACAUAUCAAGUGAAGGAGAGCUAAACCAUAUAGAAAAUUCUAUCUUCUCCCCUUCCAUGUUCACAAAUUCUAAAUCCAUCCUUGACCUUAGAGACCCCUCUUAUCCCUCUCCUUUUCAGUCUCAUGAUGAUCCUAGCAAUCCAUCAAAAUGAUCAUACCAUAGGAGUCAUAAAGACCGUGAGGAUGACAUGUUAAGUAAUGCCACAGAAGGAGAGCUAAGCCAUAUAGAAGAUUCUAUCAGCUCCCUUGUCUUGAUCACAAAUUCUAAAUGGCUGGAAUGUCUAGAAUGGAAGGACAAGGAAGAAGCCUUAAUGGAUUCUGACCUUGGCUCAAUUUCAGAUAUUGAGUCUUUAACUCCCCUUGAAUAUGAGAUUCAUCCGUCUAUAGAAGAGGACAUAGACGGGACCAAUCCAAGGGAAACUCUGAACAUCCAGAUUAGAGACGAAGAUAACAUUAAUGAGCAUAGAAUUUAUUUCAUAGCCACUUCGUUUACUCCAUGCUCAUAUGAAACAUCUUCCCAAUCUAUUGGACUCUGCAACAUCACCACAUUUGAGAUCUCCAACACCCUCUUCCUUCCUAUUUACAAAAAACUUUAAAAGGGCGGUUGUCGAUGCAUAUGUCUAUAAUAAAUAUUGCAGAUCUCGUUGAGCUAAUCUUGAUAUACAAAGGUUGGCGUCGGAGGGGAAACCACUUUGCCAACAUAAACUGAUGGUUUCCCAAGGACAAGCUUAGUGUCCUAAAAUAAGCACUAAUCAGAUCGUAACAUGAGCUUUUAAUUAUUUGCAACAUUGCCUUGUGCAUUGAGCAUAUAAGGAUAAUUGUAAAAAUAUUCCUUCGGGUAUUCUGGUCACUAACCUUUCCAGGAUUCAAGCAAGAAGAUCGGAUGAAUGACAAGCACAAGGUAUGUCCAACCAAUCAUCAUGCAACACUGAAUUAAAUUCAUCCAAACUUGAAUUUUGCAAAAUUCAAGCUUAGGGAGUACCUUACAUAAAAACAUCCUUUGCCAUGUUGCUAUGUUGGUUGUCCCUACCUUUGAGACAUGCUCAAUUUGUUAAAUACUAAUCACACUACUUCAUCUCCACUUUAGUAGAUCUCUAUAAAAGCCAUUGUUGAUAUUUGGGAACGCAAUAAGGAAUUGAUCCGCAAGCGCACGGAUAUCAGUGAGCACUUCACCCGGAAGGUUAUCCAGAGUAUUGUAUUUAUUUUUUUACCACUAGGAGAAAGAGUGCAUCUGACUAACCCUUUAGGCUACAAAGAAUGUUUCUCGAUGUGAGUGAUAAAUAGAGAAGACUACAACCGUAAUCUCUUUCUAACCUUGGUAAGGAUGAUCUACUGUUCUAUUGGGGAGGCUAACGGAAUCUAGACACCACAAAGGAUGUUCAACCCGCACCUAUAAACCCUAUCCUUCCUGCUAACGAGAUAUGGUUUGCAAAGAUAACUCAGAAAUGUCACGUUCCUCGCUACUACCACGGUCUAGCUAGUCAGGGAAUAUCUAUGAGUAUCCUAGACCAAACACCACGUCUACGCUAGAGAUGAUUACUCUAAACUCUACGUGAAGAGACUAAAGUAAACUCAUAAACCAAAGAACAAUAAAACAAGAACUUACUAGAAUUUAGAAGUCAAAAUACUGAAGAAUCCUAGGAGCAAGCUUCGGGUUAGGAGAACUUGAUCCCGCAGGUACAAACUCGGAGUAGACACCGACAGGCCGGGCUUCCUCUGAUAUACACCUCCACUCUAUCUCUCUCAAUCUAGUAGAAACUAGAAGAUCUAUUUCUACUCACAUUGGAUGCUAAACCUAAAAAUAAAUUUUAUUUAGAGGAGAGGUAUUCCUUCAAGGGCUCCUCUCAACUCUAUGAUGAACUUGUCUCCUCCAGGGGCCAGGCGGUCUGGUUUUAUAGUCCCCUCAAGUGAAUGUGAGCCAUUGGAUCAAACCGACAUUGAUUGGAUGGUUAUCCUUGAUCCUUUAGGUCAGUGGAGCGUCGUCCACGAAAAGAUUUCUGAUUGGCAUCCAGGAGAGAGCGGGCGCCCUGGUCCUCAGGGCGAGCGCCCUGGGCCAGGCCCCUUUCGGCCUCCGAUUUGUUCCUGUGGCUUCUGGAGUCUUCUAGAUGGUAGAAAAUUGCGCGGUGCGUUGAUAUCUCUAUGUAAUCCCGACAUGUGGGCCUUUCUUUCUUAUUUCCUGAUAACCCCCUGUAGAAAUAGAUAGACAUCAAAACUCAUGGAAUUUUGUUAGAUCAAACCCUAAUUCUAGGUGUUGUUUGCAUAUUGGUCCUUUCUCUUGUUUAUUUGAUAAUUAAAAUUGAUACUUAAGAACCGUCAACAAAUACCCCCAAACUUAGGCUUUUACUCGUCCUCGAGAAAAGGAUGGUUAAUAACAAUAUCUGGGGUAAAACAUUUUAAAACAUUAUCUUCAUAUCUGCAGGGUAUUAAAAUCCGCUAUAUAUCAUAGUUAGGGAAGUAUAUGGUUAAGAGUAGAAAUCCUUUCUUCUCAAUCCUGUCACUUGGAGUUUUCGUGUAUUUUUGAAAAGAAAGUUAGCAUACCUUUAUCCUCAUAGGUUCUCAGAUCACUCAUUAUCUUUUUAUAUAUCUCACUGAGGCUGUCUUAAUUUGCAAAAAUUCUUAAGCAUACUUACCUUAGAUUUAUUGCCUGAUCAAAAUGGGAUCCGAGGAGGGGAAUGCCAUACUCUUAGAUCAAAGACUUUGGAAAUUAAAAUCUUUGUCAACUCUUGCUGGCAUAUUGCUUAUUAGAGGGACCAUGGGCUAUCAUUUUCUUUCUUUUUCUCUCUCUCUCUUUUUUAAGUGGAUACCGAGGUACCCCUAAUUCUACUGCUGGACACUUGUCCAUUGUUUCUGCGAGGUUAUCGAGCACUUGCUCCUUUUUAUUUCCUCGAAAUAUCUUUAUUUUUGCAUAGCCCAUGCCUCUAAUGCAAUAAUACUUUGGAAGAGUGAAUCUUUCUGAAUAAAUGUCUUGAUCUUAGGAGCAUGAUAAAUCUCUCAACAAGGGUCUAACUCAUUUUGAACAAACUCAAUACAGAGUAGAUAGCCUUUAUAAUCAUAAUUAAUAUUUUCAGUUUUAUCAGGCAUAUAAAACACUGAGGAUGGUAGCUAGAAUUUUGAAGAUAACUUCUCCAAGCAACAAUGAUAUCAAGAAUAAGAAAUUCAUACUCUACCAUCUCACAUUCCACAAUAACUUAAGUAACAUAGGGUUUUAAAAUGAUUUUCAAUAAUUGCAAGUUUCAGGAAAUAUCAUAGAGUGAGAUUAAUCAUGAUUAGAAACAUUUUAAUCUUUUUUAAUUUAUCAUGUUGGAAAUAGUAUUCUACAUAAUCCAAGAUAUGUGUAUGUGUAAAGUGUGCAGAGUGUGUACCUGAAUCAUGGAGUGGUGUAGUCGAAGUGUGUUUGGCAUGUCGAGGGAUCUCCCCCAUACUUGUUUUCUGCUUUCUUGUACAAAAAUAAAGUAGAGACACACAAGACAUAAUAAUAAUAAUAAUACUCUUUAUUAAUCUUGAGGCAUUUAUUACAAAUGACUAGUAGCAAACUGACGAUAAUAGUAACAAACCGAUGACAAUAGUAAACCUAAACCGAAUUUAAAGAUAGAUAACUAAGAUGCAUUGCCUCAAGGUCUAAUCUAGAUAACUUAGCGGCGCUCUAAUUCAUUGAUCUUCUUAUUGGCACUGGCAAGAUCAUGCCUAAGGCCUAGUAUAACGGUGUUGUGGUUAGAGAGCUGCCUAGUGAGAGAAUUAACCGAGGACUGGAGGUCUAUGAUAACUCUGUCCAGCCUGCGAACGUCCUCGUCAAUAUCUACUAUAGUCUUGCGACGCUUGGGAGGUGUCUCAAAAGCAUUGAGAGCGUGCUUCGGGGCUGCAUUUGGAGGGAUGAAACGGACUUUGGCUGCUCUAAUCCCUUCGAAGUAAGGUCUCUCCUCCUCCAUAGUGUAGCGUAUGCUGCUGAUCUCGCCGCUUCGGUUGGUCUUCACUCCAACGACCCUCUCAUUGGGUCUAGGUGGAAGGAUCCUCGUGCCGGUUGGCACCUUGGUCUUCGUCUUGGAUGAUGAUCCGCCCUUGAGGAGUAGGGGUUGUGGCGGUGCGGUGAGAACUGGUUGAGCAUGAUAGGAUUGGGCGGAGCUACGCUGGCGUAAUGGCAUGGCUUCUAGCUGUCGCUCUGUGUUGGCCGGGACGAGAGCACGGGCGUCGGGGUCUUCCUUAGGCUCCAUGUUGAGGUUGAAGGGGACGACUUCCCAAUCAUCGUGGAACUUCUCGGCCAUUGGAGCAGCGAGGGACUAAUUAAGCUCUAAUUGAAGAAGAAGAGAAGGCUUGGGUGGAUUGGUGUUUGAAAACUGAUGUCAGGGGUCUGUUUAUAUAGGGGUCAAAAAGUGACUCUAGGGGUUGUUCGGAUUGCUCCCGUCGAGAAACUUUCCAUCUGAGGGAUUAUUCGGAUUACCAUAAGUGUGUUUUCCAUAUCGGAGGAAAUCGGGACCGAGAGGGGGCAGGAGCUGGGCGCCCGCCCACCUGAUCAGGGCGCCCGCCCUCUCUCUGGCUCCUCUGCUGGCCCGAUUCCUCAAGUGUGUUUCUAGAUGCAAAACUUUUUAGGAAAAUAUAUGUAUGACCCAAAAACGUCAGAUUAAAAAGGUUGGGCUCUAAUUCUCCAUGGGAAGGUAAAAAUGGAUUACAUCUAUUUCUUCUAAUUCUUUAUUGGGCUCUAAAAAUAAUUUAAGAUGUUGACCAUUUACCUUGAAUAACGUACCUUCAUCAUUUUGAAGCGUGAUAGCUCCGUGGGAUGAUGAAUAGAUUACCUUGAAUGGUCCUUCCCAUUUACUCCAGAGUUUUCCAUGCCUGAAAAGCUUCACCCUGGAAUUAAAAAGUAAUACCUUAUCUUCGGGUGUGAACUCCUUCUUGAUUCUCUUGUCAUGCCAACUUUUGACUCUUUCUUUGUAGAUCUUCGAAUUGUGAUAUGCUUUUUCUCGCCAUUCUUCCAAUUCUGAUAGUUGCAUUCUUCUAUGUUUUCUAGCGACAUCUAGGUCCAUAUUUCAUCUCUUUAUGGCCCAGUGUGCUUUGAACUCUAGUUCAACAGGUAGGUGGCAAGUCUUCCCGUACACCAAUUGGUAUGGGGACAUUCCAAUUGGAGUCUUGUACGCUGUCUGGUAUGCCCAGAGUGCAUCGGGUAACUUGUCUUUCCAUGCCGUUCCCAUUUCAUUCACUGUCUUCUGAAGAAUAUUCUUGAUUUGCUUUUUGGAAGUCUCUGCUUGGCCACUUGUCUGAGGAUGAUAGGGGGUAGCGACGUUGUGACGGAUUCCAUGUUUUGAUAGAUAUUGCUUGAAGCGUUUAUCGAUGAAGUGUGCUCCUCCAUCACUUAUCACUACUCUGGGGACUCCAAAUCUUGGAAAUAUAAUUUCUUCAAACAUCCUCAUUGAACUGAUGUUGUCGGCAUGCUUGCAAGGUAGUGCCUCUACCCACUUGGAGACAUAAUCAACUGCCACCAAGUUGUACUCACACUUCUUUGAUGGGGAAAAUGGACCCAUGUAGUCUAUUCCCUAGACAUCAAAGAGCUCAAUCUGAAGGUUGUUGGUGAGUGGCAUGGCAUCCCUUGUGUUAAUGUUUCCGUGCCUUUGACAUGGCCCACAUCUUCUCAUAUAUUGCUUCGUGUCUUCAUACAUUGUAGGCCAUUAGAAUCCACACUACCAGAUCUUUGAAUGUGUACGGAAUGCUCCAUAAUGACCUCCAUAUGGUGAUGAAUGACAUAUGUCGAUGAUCUUCCAUCCUUCCUCAGUGGUCACACAUCUCCUGAGUAAGCCAUCAGAGCAUGCCCGGAAGAGGUAUGGCUCAUCCCAUAUAUGUGAACAACUUUCUUGAAUAAGCUUCUUCUUGUUUGCUCCUGAUGGUACAUACCCUAAAACCAUAAAAUUAACAAUAUCUGCAUACCAGGGGUCAGACCUGUUAAUCCCGUAGAGCAUGUCGUCCCGGAGUGAAUCAUUGAUGGGGGUUUCCUGUGGACUCUUAAAAUACAUUCUAGACAAGUGAUCGGCAACAGAAUUUUCUACUCCCUUUUUAUCUUUUAUUUCUAAGUCAAAUUCUUGGAGUAAUAAGAUCCAUCUAAUCAGGCGAGGUUUAGCAUCUUUCUUAGUGAGCAAAUAUUUUAGUGUAGCAUGAUCAGUGUAAACAAUUAUUUUAGCUCCAACUAAAUAAGAUCUAAAUUUAUCAAUGGCAAAGACAACAGCCUGAAGCUCUUUUUCAGUGGUUGCAUAAUUAAGUUCAGCUCCUGUCAAAGUUUUACUGGCAUAAGCAAUUGCAUGAUGCUUCUUAUUUUUAGUUUGUCCCAAAACUGCCCCCACAGCAUAAUCACUAGAAUCACUCAUAAUUUCGAAAGGCAACGACCAAUCAGGGGGUUGAAUGAUUGGUGCAGAGAUGAGUGCUUUCUUUAAUAAAUUGAAAGAUGUUAGACAUGCAUCAUCAAAUUUGAAAGGAGCAUCCUUGGCUAGCAAAAGAGUAAGUGGUCUUGCAAUGAAUGAAAAAUCUUUUAUGAAUCUACGAUAAAACCAGCAUGGCCAAGAAAGCUUCGAAUUCCUUUUAUAUUCACAGGUGGAGGUAGUUGUUCAACUACUUCAAUUUUAGCUUUGUCUACCUCAAUACCUCUUUCAGACACUAGGUGUCCCAGCACUAUUCCUUCCCUAACCAUAAAAUGACAUUUUUCCCAAUUAAGGACUAAGUGCUUUUCUUCACAUCUUUGCGAAACCUUGUCUAAGUUUUCAAGACAACUAUCAAAAGUUUUUCCAUAAACAGAGAAAUCAUCCAUGAAAACUUCCAUAAUCUCUUCAAUCAUAUCAGAAAAUAUAGACAUCAUGUAUCUUUGAAAAGAAGCUGGUGCAUUACAUAACCCUAAAGACAUUCUGCGGUAAGCAUAAGUUCCAUAUGGGCAUGUAAAAGUGGUUUUGCUUUGAUCAUCAGGAUGGAUUGGGAUCUGGUGAUACCCUGAAUAUCCAUCUAAGAAAUAGAAGAACGAAUGGUUUGCUAAUCGCUCUAGCAUCUCAUCUAUGAAAGGUAAAGGAAAAUGAUCUUUCUUGUGGCUUUGUUUAGUUUUCUAUAGUCUAUGCACAUCCGCCAUCCUGUGACGGUGCGUUGCGGAAUUAGCUCAUUCUUUUCAUUCAUAAUAAGAGUCAUGCCUCCCUUUUUAGGCACAAUUUGAACUGGGCUCACCCACUCACUGUGCGGCACAGGAUAUAUAAUCCCUGCAUGCGGCAACUUUAUAACUUCCUUUUUAACUACCUCUCUCCUAGUGUUGUUAAGUCUACGUUGGGGCUCUCGAGAAGGUGAAACAGAAAGAUCUGUUGGAAUACGAUGGGUACAAAUCAUAGGACUGAUUCCUGUAAGAUCUUGGAGUGAGUAGCCGAAAACUGAGUGAUGUUUCUCAAGAAUGGUCAUUAAUUCCAGAGUUUGCUCCUGAGUGAGUUUAUCACUAAUGAUCACAGGAAACUCUGUAUUAUUGUUUAGGAAAGCAUAGAUAAGACCGGGUGGUAAAGUUUUAAGCUCUAUUGGAGGUCUAGGCAUUUCUGCAAACUCGUCUAAGGGUUUAGGUUCAGAAGGUUCUGCCUCUUCUUCUGUGAAGAAAGGAGUUUCGUCUUCUAAGUCUGGUUCGUCUAAAAUCUCUAGAGAUGCAGCCUUUACCUCCUCCAUAGGAUCAGGCAAAAGAUAUGACUCAGCCUUAUUGUUUAAGGAGUGUGAAAUUGAUAUGGGAAUUUUAAAAGUUUUUCCAAAAGAAAUGUGUAGCUUCCCAGUAUGACCUUCAUAAAGGAGUCCUCUAAAAGGUUGUCCUAUCAACAGGUCGAAGUCUCAUGUAUCAAAGAUAUAGAAGUUCAAAUGAACCAUGGAGCCUUCUACCGUAAGAGGUAGGACAUUUAUAAUUCCAAGACUGGGGACUAAUCGUCCUGAAGAUUCCCUUAUGACCUUUGUUGUGGGGGUUAAGACAAGAUUUUUAAAUAAUUUAAGUGCAAAAGAUUCAGACAUGAUGUUGAUCCCCACAACAGGAUUAUAGAGAGCAUCAAAUCGAUCAGAGUCAUAAGCAUAGCGUAUAGUUAUAGAGGGUGUGUCCAAACGGAUCACAUCAGAGGAAAGCUCUGAUUCCUCCAACCAUUCGCUACUCAUGACUGCGAUAAGCUCUCUUAAUUGAUAUUCACUUGGUAAACAAAAACUGGCUGUUUUGGGGUUUGUUGGUAGAAUGGUAGUUUGAAAUGUUUCCAAAAUUGGCAAAAAGAUCAGAUUCUAUAUCCAGCAUGAAGUCCGGUGGUGGAAUUUCUUCCUUUUGUGGCUCAGAACUUGGGAUAGCUAAAGUAGAUGAAGAAUUUGGUAGAGCGUCUACUUCGGCUUCGUGGGUUUUAUCAUGAAGGGUAUUAUCCAUCUCAGCUUAUAGGAUUCUAUCUAGGAUCACUCUAGCUUCAUCAGUAGGGAUGCGAAAGAAAGAACCUCUAGACAUUGUAUGUAGCAUUUGUUUAUGAUCUUUCUGAAGACCUCGAAAAAAGUGAAAUAAAAGAACAGGGUCUUCAAAAUUAAGGUUUGGACCAGAUUCUAAAAGAUUAGAAAAAUGUUUCCAGGAUUUUCCCAAAGUUUCAUUAUCUUUUUGUUUAAAAGAUAGGACUUCGAGUCUAAGGUCGCCGAUACGAUCGAGGGAAUAAAAAUCUAGACAAAAGUUGACUCGUAAAACUCCCCAUUCACCUCGUUGUUGACUUACCUUCUGAUUAUACCAUUGUCUAGCUUCUCCCCAUAAAGAAAAAGGAAAAAGCUUCCAACGUAAAGUUUUAUCAGAAAUGCCUUCAAUGCGAAGACAAUCACAUGUUUGCUCAAAAUCUCUAAUAUGAAGGUAAGUGUUUUCGUCUUCCUUUCAAGAAAAAGAUAGGUUUUGAAUCAUGGCAAUCAACCUAGAACUUAACUUAUACUGGUAUGUUUGGAUAGGCUGUGGUGACUCCCAUGGUAAAAGGUCAGUUACUGAAGGGAUUGCAGAUUCAUGGAUCGAUUUAGAAUUUUGGUUUUCCAUAAGAUAAGAGUAAACAAAAUAAAUACAGAAAACCGUAUUUCUCCCCGGCAACGGCGCCAGAAAUGCUUGUUGAUAUUUGGGAAUGCAAUAAGGAAUUGAUCCGCAAGCGCACGGAUAUCGGUGAGCACUUCACCUGGGAGGUUAUCCAGAGUAUAGUAUUUAUUUUUCUACCACUAGGAGAAAGAGUGCAUCUGACUAACCCGGUCUAUUACUACUAACCCUUUAGGCUACAAAGAAUGUUUCUCAAUGUGAGUGAUAAAUAGAGAAGACUACAACCGUAAUCUCUUUCUAACCUUGGUAAGGAUGAUCUACUGUUCUAUUGGGGAGGCUAACGGAAUCUAGACACCACAAAGGAUGUUCAACCCGCACCUAUAAACCCUAUCCUUCCUGCUAACGAGAUAUGGUUUGCAAAGGUAACUCAAAAAUGUCACGUUCCUCGCUACUACCACGGUCUAGCUAGUCAGGGAAUAUCUAUGAGUAUCCUAGCCCAAACACCACGUCUACGCUAGAGAUGAUUACUCUAAACUCUACGCGAAGAGAUUAAAGUAAACUCAUAAACCAAAGAACAAUAAAACAAGAACUUACUAGAAUUUAGAAGUCAAAAUACUGAAGAAUCCUAGGAGCAAGCUUCGGGUUAGGAGAACUUGAUCCCACAGGUACAAACUCGGAGUAGACACCAACAGGCCGGGCUUCCUCCGAUCUACACCUCCACUCUAUCUCUCUCAAUCUAGUAGAAACUAGAAGAUCUAUUUCUACUCAUAUUGGAUGCUAAGCCUAAAAAGAAAUUUUAUUUAGAGGAGAGGUAUUCCUUCGAGGGCUCCUCUCAACUCUUUGAUGAACUUGUCUCCUCCAGGGGCCAGGGGGUCUGGUUUUAUAGUCCCCUCAAGUGAACGUGAGCCAUUAGAUCAAACCGACAUUGAUUGGACGGUUAUCCUUGAUCCUUUAGGUCGGUGGAGCGUCGUCCACGAAAAGAGUUCUGAUUGGCAUCCAGGAGAGGGCGGGCGCCCUGGGCCAGGCCCCUUUCGGCCUCCGCUUUGUUCCCGUGGCUUCUGGAGUCUUCUAGAUGGUAGAAAAUUGCGCGGUGCGUUGAUAUCUCUAUGUAAUCCCGACAUGUGGGCCUUUCUUCCUUAUUUCCUGAUAACCCCCUGUAGAAAUAGAUAAACAGCAAAACUCAUGGAAUUCUGUUAGAUCAAACCCUAAUUCUUGGUGUUGUUUGCAUAUUGGUCCUUUCUCUUCUUUAUUUGAUAAUUAAAAUUGAUACUUAAGAACCGUCAACAGCCAUCACGCUACCUUUGUUUGUCCUAGUAAGUGUUAGUUUGGAAGUACUGCACAUACUUCUAUUGGCUUUUAAAUUAAGCAUGGUGCUUAGGUUAAACAACCUUCCUUAAUCUGAUUAGACAUGGAGUCUAGUUCGGUUAUUGAACUAAAAAUUGUUUGUGUAGACAUUGGUAUAUUUUGUCGGACUAACUCCUGCAGAAAAACAUUCAAUAUCAAUUUGGGAAGUCCUGAGAUAAACUCACAUCAGAUAUAAAGAGAGAGACACAUGAAGUUUAACAAUUUGCACAAGAAGGACAUAGCUCAUUCAUCAUAGAGAGAUGAUCCAUGGAAGGAGACAAAGUACAUAAACAAGAUACACAACCAUUAUGAAUGGGAAGCUUCCACAAGGUGAGACGGUACCAUCACUCUUCAAUUAAGGUAACAUCUUAAGAUAUGUGACUAUCACUUUUAUAAGCUUCCGGCGUUCACAUAAAUAAAGAGACAAACAUGUAUGAUUUAUAACUCCAAAUUAACCAACCCAACUGAUUCAGCAUGUUUAGUCCUUUAAUCUUUGUUCCUAGUACUACCUCCGUGAUCCUAUACUCCUAAUCAUAUGGGCUAAAAUGUUGCACAUUCAAUCUUUGGGAAGAUAUAAAGAAAAAGACAUAUACAUAGAUAGAUUAUCUUUCCAUAAGGUUGAGCGAUCUGAUCUGACAAUUGUUUUAAAUGCUACACUCAUGAACUUAUCACCCAUCAACUUUAUCUUGCUCCCUAUGCUUAAGGAUAAAGAAGAACAAAUACACUUUUGGUUCUGUUGGUGUCUUCCACCAACAGGACCCAUGCACUUGAUCUCUACCUUGUCUCAUGAGUAGGACACAUUUUGAGAAACAUGGAGGAGUUUUACAACUCCCAGACUCUACCAAGUGAAGGACCUAGAUCUACGAGCACAAACACACUGAGCAAGAUACUGCCAACGCCGCACUUCGAACUGCUGGGCAAACGAGGAACAUGGGUGACACCGUAUCAAGAGGUGCAAACAUCAAGGUCCACACCUGAAUCAAAUGACGCACCUAAAGAAUGAACACGGUGAGAAGUCUUGUUCAGAAGACUUAAAACAUUGAACCCUUGCCAAAAGGUAAAAUCGGUAGUUAUCCAUAUUUAUCCUUUCUGCAUUCCCUUUUUCCUUAAAUUAUUUACUUUCCUUAAAUAGCUUGUUAGUUAAUCAUGCUAUCUUGAAAAGAAAUUAAAAAUGUUAAAAAUAGUAAGCCCCAUGUGAGUAUGCUCAUGGCGUAAAACCCAUAAGUACAUUCACUGUGGUGGCGUAAAAAUAAAUAUAUUUCUGUCCUAUAAAAAUGAAAAUAUAAAAAUAAAUUUAUGAUCCUACCAAAGAGAGUAAUAUUUAUUAGAGGAAGCUCAACAUGAUAACGGUUAAGAGAUUUUAUGCUAACACUUAACCAGUUCCACAAAGCUUUGUAAUCUAUUUGAGCUCCACAGAAUUCAAGGAUCAAAGAAGACUAGCAGACGGAGGACAUCCUAAUCGCUGUCAGGGUGCUGCCGACAUUCAAAUACACCCCCGCCACCUGCUAGCUACAUCACAAGAAAUUACGUCAAAAUUCAGCUCGGGGGAGAGCACCCCCAUUUAUCCAGCUAAGUGUUUCUACUCAUGAUUAUACUUUGCUCAAAUAAUAAAAAUAUGCAUAAUCAUAAAAACCCAAAUAAAUAUUUUAUGCUUAUAUAUAUAUCUUUGCUUAGUUUGCUAAAUAAAUAAAUAAAAGUUUGCUAUGAACCCUCAUGAUAAGCUCUCACAUGGAAAUGAUGAAUAGUUGCUCUGCCAUGACUAGUUCUCAAAAUUAAAUUCUCUCUCAAGUUUAGGCAUGACUGUUAUGAAUUAAGAUUUGCUCUAAACCUGAACUUGUGGGAAGAGUACCAGAUCAAAAGUCUAAGUCGUUAACGGAUAUGAUAUGGGAAGUUUGAGCUGCUGUUUAUCUGUUCCUAGAGAUGCUAGACUUCUGGAGAGUUUUAUCUAUGGAAAUCUUUAAAAUGUUGCAUGAUGAGUUCCUGUAUGAUGAGAGUUUAAAAUCCUACCACAGCCACAUAUACAUGCUUAUUAGACUAUGAAUCAUACAUUUACUUUUUACUGCUUAUGAGCAUUGAGUGUGGUCAAGCUGUGUAGACCCUUAGGAGCUUGUCAUGCGGUUAAAAUCAAGAUUCACUUGCAUGUUUACUCAUACAUGCUGCUUCUACUCUGGAAGUACGCAUCCACAUACAUCCACUCAUUUCCAUCUCCACAUUCACCCAAAAUUAUUCUACUCCUAUCCGGGAGAGAAUAGCCAAAAACAUUAUCCCAUUCCUGCUUUUCCCAGUGAAAUAAAUGCUCGAGAUAUUUUGGUUACUACCACUUGCUACAUUAUUCCAGGAGGGUGAGUGCUCUAAAAAAAGAGAGAGUGAAGAAAAAAGUAAAAAAUUACGAGGAAAUAAAAAGGGGCAAGUGCCCGGAACCUCGAAGAAAAGAAAAAGUGAGACGAGAGGUAAAAAUGGACAAGUGUCCGAUAGUAGAAUUAGGGGUACAAGAUACCCACCUGAGAGAAAAGAAAAAAGAAAAUAUAGAGCAUCUCAUUCCCCUCAAAAAGCUUCAAAGUGCAAGAAAGGUAUGUAUCCCCUCAAAAGAGCAAAAUUAGAAUUAGACUUUCACCAUUGUUUUCACCCUCAUCACCAUACACCAUUCAUUCGCCACACAUACACAUCUUGAUUUGACUUAUUGACUUAUUUCUCUGGAUCCAUGGUUUGACUAUGUAAUAAAUGUCUUGUAAGUAUGUAUUAGCUGUCUCCCACCUAUGAGCUCCAGAUAUCAAAGCCUCAUUAGAGUAGUUUGAGAGAGAAGGCAAUAUCACUAUCCCUCAUACCACAAAUACUACAUACUUUGAGAGAAGGCAUAUAUCAUCACUGCCUUGGUGAGGAUCCAGAAAUACCACAAAAGAAAGACUAGAGAGAGUCAUACAGGAAUCUCUGAGUUUUAUUUGAAAAUCUGCAAAAACUCCAGAGCUAUAGUUGAUCAAGAAUAAGAGGCAUGGUGCUUGACUUAACCGUUCUAUCUUUUAACUGCUCAAGACACAAGUGAUGGUUGCAAGCCCCAUGGUGGAAGGUAAUAUGAGUAAGUUUAAAUCUUAACAGUUUACCCUAACCCAGAGAUGAGAUCUUGUUUGAACGCAUGUGUACCUUUAAGGCAUGAAACCACUGCAGAAACUCUUGAGUCCAUCCUUGAUUAGGGACGAGCAAGAGGUAAGCUUGGGGGAGUUGUUGCCAGUCCUUAAGUACCAAAUAUAAUCAUCAAAUAAAUAAAGAAAAGGAUUCAAAUGCAACCAACACCCAGACUUAGGGUUUUAUCUGACAGAAUUCCACGAGUUUUGGUGUUUGUCUAUUUGUACAGGGGGUUAUCAGGAAAUUUGGAGGAAAGGCCCACAUGUCGGGUUUACAUAGAGAUAUUAACGUGUGCGCCAAUUUUCUAUCAUCUAGAAGACUCCAGAAGCCACGAGAACGAACGGGAAGCCAAGCGGGCCUGGGGGUAGGGCGCCCGCCCUGUCAUUUGGACCAAUCAGGCUCCGCCUCGCGGAUUAUGCUCCACCGACCUAAUGGAUCAUGGAAAACCAUGCGAUUAAGGUCGGUUUGAUCCGAGGGCCCACAUUCAUUUGGAAGGGCUAUAUAAGCAGGCCCCCUGGCC
rnacentral:lncRNA from 1 species